rnacentral:lncRNA from 1 species
GUCGUCCUUCUCAAGUACUCAACCAGUCCACUCCUCGAAAAUGACCCAGGGUCAAAUCAAAGUCUAACCACAACCUUGUCCUCGAAGACCGACAGUGACACCUUUAAAGAAAUGAGUCAACCCAUGGGCAAUACUCAUCAUCCUCUGGACCUUCAUUUCUUUUCCACUUCUUGUUCCCCUAACUCUCCUUCCUCCUGACUAGAACAUCCAAAGCUCGCACCUCGCUCAUGACCUCUCAGCCCUGAAAUGCUCAUUCCUUAACUGAUUUCCUUUGAAAUCUGAACACACCUUCCCCUUCCUAGAUGAUACUUGGCCCUUGGUAGUCACCAUCUGGCGGAAGGACUUCCCUUAACCUACCGAGCAUCAGCUUUGCACUUUCAGUAUCCUUACGAUCUUUUUGCACCCUAAGCAUUGUUUCUAGCUCGUCAACCCGCACUACCAUGUCCCAGACAUAGAAGUACAUAGACCAGUCCUUGCCAUGCUGCUUUGAAGAUGCAGCUAGUCGAGCAGCAAGCUCAACCUCGCAACUUUGAUCUUGAUGCUUAUACUACUAUUCCCCAUUUUCUUACUGAUAGGUAAUACUAAUCAUAUAGUACUACCAAGACCUUAGCCAACUCACAGAAUCUUGUCAUCCUUUCCCAUGAUGACGGUUCCGACAAGUCUGAUCACGCUUGUGACCGUUGUCCCGCCACGCCCAUGGUAUUCUCCUCACCACACUCGUGGUCCUCUCCUUACCACGCUAGCUUGUGGUCGACUAUCAACAACGACCGUUGCCACUUGACUGUCACAGCCGUUGCCUCAUGAUCACUGCACCAUCACACUCGUGAUGUACUACAUGUCAUGACCAUGACUGUCAUCCAACCAUACCCGUCACGGACUAUUCGUCAUGCAUGUGACUAACUGUCAUCCACGACCGUGACGACCUUUUUGUCAAGCCCGUGAUGUAUCAUCCCUCACGCCUGAGGCCAACUCUUUGACAAGCCCGUGGCUGAGCUUCACCACGCCCAUUGCUUGUUGAUCAUCGUGACCGAGGUUAACAUCCCGUCACGCCCGUGACUGACUUCUUUUUCCUAGAACUACCAGAGUUGCUACAGCUGUUACAGUAACACGCCUUACUGUCUUUCUGAGACCAACAAAGACCUAUCUCUACUCUUGCCCUAACUACUCCAUCGGCCCUCAGAUGCUUCCCAUCCUUGCCUUCAAGCAUGGUUCUCAAUUAAAUACUAGAGGCUAACUGUCUCUUUGACGUUACACCUCAAGGAGCGAAAGCAUCCUUUAAACUCUGAAUUCCCUUCCCAUUGGGGUCCAAAAGGAUCAUCCGACUAAUGGCUCUAAUGAAGAGUUCCACUGGAUGAAAUUCCCAGAUUCCAUCCAAUGCAUCAUGUAACACCUUAGGCAAAUCGCACAUCGACAAAGUACGAGAGAGAUCAAUGGGUUAUGAGUAAUACUCUAUCCUUAACUGACAAGAUACAUUUUCGGGGUGAGAUGAAGGAGUUCGUGUAAAGAACUCUGAAGUUAAUCAUGCUCAAGUGGGAGCGGUUUAGAAAUGGGUGACCUCUUGGGAAGUCAUUGUUCAGCACCCGAAAAAAAAUCCGUGAGGGAUUAGCUAUACCCAAAGCGGAAAAUAUCUUAUCAGAAAAGGUUGGGGUGUUGCACUUCCCUUAUCACUACCCCUUGUCUUACUAGAAUUCUUAAAGUUCAACAACAAGCCUUUGAAUCAAGAAAGUAAGAUACUCUGCCCCUUGGUUCCUUAAUCCCUUUCUUUUCUCUUUCUAGAGCUGGUGAGAGAGUGGUCGUUCAAAUCCUGACAAACUAUCGCAAUGUUCCCUUUUAAAGCACCUGAAUCCUGAAAACUCUUUUCUUAAUAUCUUUUGCAAAGACUGACUCACCACAUCAUUUUUUUCUAGACACUCACCUACUGCCCCAUGAAAGACUAGUACCGUUACAUGUGUCGACUCACCUUCUCCCCUCUGAGGUUCGUGACGCCUCUGAGGAGUAGGUAGCAUACCGUUAGGGUUACAAGAAAACCGGGCUCUAAUACUAGUUGUCAAACCCCACCCUAGGAGUCCCAGUCAAACCACUAGUUCAACCGAUGAGUCUUACUCAGUUUUUAACUUGAACCACACUCAACUCUAGGCUACUAAUAAAAACAUUAAGACAAGCAUUAACAGCUUAAACUGAACACUUCAAUAAAAUUGACAAACUAGGAUCCGAAAUCCCAAAACACAACAAAUCAAAAAGAGAUGCAACUCCAGUUUAAAAAUACAUAAAAAUUAUAUCCUCUAAUAUAUAAAAACCAACCAGCUUUCUCCCCUCCAUCAGCUCCAAUACCUGUGACUGAACACAUAGAUAUGCCAAGAAAAACAAGUCUAAUGGGGUUAGUGAUAACCAUUGAGUGGCUAAACUAGGCUCGCAUAAAACUGCAACUAUACUAAGAAAAUAGGGCAAGAAUCAAGUAAUGUGACUCUGCGGUCCUGUAGGGAUCAUCCUAUCAAUAGUCACCCCUAACUAGUAGCUGAUAGCCUCAUGAAGGAUCAUACCAUGAAACCACCCGUUGAUACCGUGUGAGCAGCAUCUGUACGCAUACUCCACACAUCUUGCAUGACCGUAGAAACAUCCUGGGGGAUUUUGCAAUCCAUGGGUGGGUGACCAACACACAUAAGGAGCUAAUCUAGCUAAAUCUGAAUUUUGUCCUAAGCAUGAACUGUGAACCACAGUUCAAAUGUCAUGAGCUUAUGCUCGAACUUAAACAACUACCUGUUCAGUAGAUCACACGCUACUGCACAGUGUAUGAGCCCGACUCUGUUUCAUAACCCAUGUAUAGUAGAUGACACGCUAUUGCACAGUCUUGAGAGCCCGGCUCCGAAACACAACACAUGUACCGUAGAUCACACGCUACUGUACAGUCCUGAGAAUCCGAUCAUCGCAUUCCUGACAAUCCUAAUUACAGUUAUAUGCUUAAGUCAAAAAGUAAUCCUAACCCUCACCUAUUAAGAAGGGAUGGCAUUUCUGAUUCUCACUUGACAUGAUUCCUCUCACUGCCACUAAUCUAUAGCUUCUGACCGUGCAUCAUUUGGAGUUUAACCAAUUGAGUUAUACUCCAUUUACUUGUAGCAAUCUGAAACUUGCUAGGACAGAAACGUGGCGCUAAUCCUCCAACUGCCUCCAUUACACUAACUGAUCCAAAACUUCUACUCAUUGACAAAACUAACCCAAGUCCUUAACUAUAAAACAUCCAAAAGUUCAAAGUUGCUAAAGGUCCUCAACGCGUCCUACACACCACCAAAGCCGUUGCACCCUUGCCGAACGCGGAUGGCGCCACCGCUACUGCUAUUCCUAAAGCUCCGCCUUGAAUCUCCUCAAUCUCCUCCGAAAUAGUGAUCGGCACCGCCACAACUCCAUCCUCGUUUGCCCUCGAUCGAUGGAAUUCAAAAUCCUCACCUCUUGGCGUCAAAACUAAUGGCAACAAGUAACUUACCCUGCUCAUCGUCUCAGUGCAUCACCAGUUAGAUCAUGGAAGGGAAGUUAAACCAUUCUCCCACUUGAUGGUAAUGGGGCCCAACUCCACAAUCUGAUCCAUCAUACGGCCCAAGGCCCACCUCAACUUUAAUUGGACUCAAGGCCAUAAUUUAAGCCUAGGGUGGCAGUCCUCACCCUUCACUUGAAUGGUUCAAGUCCUAUCCAGAGCUAUAAAAUCAAUCUAACGGUCUAGAAAUCUUCGAGUUCAUAACUAACAAUUCACAGGCUUAACCCCUCUUCUGAUGGACUUAGUCAACCCAAUAACUAUCUCGAGCCUUACAAAUCUUUAAUACUUGGUCAAUUGCUGAGUCAACUCAUCAAAUUAAUUAAAUUAAUUCAUUUUUCAACUUCCGACUUCUACUCAACGAGUAAGUUUUGAAUCAAAAAAAAUUUUAACCGAACCAAAAAUUGAGGUGUCACAAUUGUCUACAGUAUGCUUAGCUUAUACAUGUGAUGGUUAGACAGUUAUGUUCAUGUUUCUACUUGAUGAUGUGAAAUUCAUUAAACUAAGAUAAGUUGUUAAACUAUAAUAAGUCCUUAAAUUAUGAUAAGUCAUGUUCAUGAGAUCCAUGUUAUGGCAUGUCUUUUUUCCAGGAUUAAUGCUCCCAUUAUGUCCAUCAUAUUCAUGUUACGGUUAGGUAGUUAUGUCAUGUUAUGUAUUAUUUAAUGAUGUGCAAGUUGUACCCUCGAAUUAUGAUAAGUCAUGUCAUGUCUCCCUGAUAAGGGUUUAUCUCAUUUUCAUGUGAUCCAUGUUAUGGUUAAGUGGUUAUGUCAUGAUAUGUUGGGUUAUUACAUGAUGAUGUGCAAGAUGUGCCUUGAAUUAUGAUAAGGCUAGACUACUUCAAGGUUAGGGUGUGAUAUGUCUACAUGACUAGUGAGUAGUGAAUAAGUACACGUUACUUAGACAAGUAAUGUGUAUUAGAAACAUGUAACUUUCUGGCUAGACCACCACCCCCUAUGUUGUGAUCUCAUGGUACCGUCUGAUGGAUACAUACUCACGGACUCUCACGUUCACGUUUGGGCCGGUAUUGCCCCUCAUGUUACCGUCUGACUGAUACGUACUCGCAGACUCUCACGUUCAUAUUUGGGCUGAUAUUGCCCCAUGUUUCUCACGUUUGGGCCACAUUUUUCCCCUUAUGUUACCGUCUGAUGGAUACAUAGUCCCAAACUCUCACGUUCACAUUUGGGUGUUGGACUAGUUAGUUGAGUUGGGGGGGGACGUCCCGCUAUUGAAAGUUCAAGUGAUAAGAUACCUCAGAUAAGUUCAUGUACAAGUAUGUCAAGUUCAAGGGAUAAGAUAACUUAGAUAAGAUCAAGUAUAAGAUUCAAUGUUAUGUGUUUUCAUGUUCGCUAAGUGAUGUUGGUGAUAAUGACCACCUGAUAUGAUAUGUUCAGUGAUUGUCAUGUGCUGAUGUGUUGUGAUAUGUUCAAAUGUUUCUUAGAUGUGAUAACUAUGUGUUGGGAUAAAUAUUCAUGUAAUGAUGUGUUCCUUAUGUUCCAAUGUGCCAUGGAUUUGAUGACUAGUUGUGAUCAAUAUUCAUGCAGUGAUGUGUUCCUUAUGUUCCAAUGUUCCUUUAGAAUGGAUUAGAGGUUCAACCUUUGAUGAUGACUAUGUUACUUGCCAUGUUGAGUUCUCAUGUGUUAGGAUUACACAAAGAUGGAUACUAUAUCUUAUAUGCCUACUUAGCUAGUAUCAAUGAUGCCUUAUACAAUGAUAUGUUUUUGUCUUCCCUAUGUUCUAGCAUGAUACUCAUGUUAUGUGUCUACAUAACUAAGUCAGAAUAUGUUGUGGUUAGAUAACUAGAAAGCAUGUCCCUAAGUAAAGGCAAUGUUUGAAUAUAGCAAUGUCUGAUUAAGGUGAUGUCUGAAUAAGGUAAUGUCUGAUUAAGAUGAUGUCUGAAUAGUUUGAUGUCUGGAUGAGUUGAUGUUUGAAUAAUUUUGAUAUUGUUAAACUUAAGUUGGAAAUCAUAUGUGUUAUAUUAGAGCAUAAUAGACUAACCCCAGAACCACCCACUAGGGUGUUUCUAAGUUGAUGCAGUAGUAGAGUUGAGCUGAUUCGGAUGUGCAGCGAUGGACUUGGUAUUCAAUGUCGGGUUUGAGUUUCAAGUGUUUAUUCUGAGACUUGAUUCUUUUCAUGUUGUCUUAUGUUGGAGCACUCUCCGCUUUUGUUAAAGCAGAUGAUCAUUUUCUAUCUUUUUGGUUGUUCUAUUUAAAUAAAGUUUUUGAAAUUCCUUUGAGUUGAGUCCCUAUAGGGCAAUUUGGUUAUUAAAUAAAUAGAAAGUUUUUGGGGUGUGUCACAAGCGCCCGCGACAAAGAGUAAAACCUGCGACCAUUGUAUGAGCGCUAAUGGAUUUAUUCAAACGUUGUCGCAGUCCGCCUAAAACAAGAGCUCGACUGCGAUAAACAUAGUGAAUGACUACCCUUCAGCAGCCGAUCUCCACUCAUUCCACACAGCUUCAACUCUCCUCCCAUCUGAAAUCCUCCUAUUCCUCUCAAUUUCCUCCAUCGAUUUUCUCCUCUUCUCUUCUCCAAUUUUGUCACCCCGACUUCCACCCUUUUCUCGAAAUCGCCAAUAUCAGCUUACUGUUACUAACAAGAAGCAUAAGAGUUCGAUUUUGAUAUAGUUGUGUCGGGCAAUCGCAUUGUGUUUGAGUUGAAGAAUCAGGGGGUUAAACCUGUAGGUCCACUUCAUUCCUUCAUGGGAUACUACAUAAGUGAGUGUACAAGAAAUUAUGCUUACUACCCGGUCUCUCCAAUCGAAUGGAAGAAGUUGUCGCCCCAAUUGAAGACACGGGCUUGGGAGCAGUUUGUGCUAGUAAGUAUUAUUUUAGUUUUUUUAAUUAGAUAUAUUUUUGUAGUUAAAAUUGUAACUAGUUAGUGCUUAAUUGAUUUAUAUUAUAAACCUCUUUUCACAUUGAGGCGAAUGAGAUGGUUGAAGCUCGCAAAUAUUGGGAUCGCAAUGUUGGAAGACUGUUGGGGGAAGUCAAGGAUCACAAUUUGGCAAGCUUAGUUGAAGCAUGCACAAAUAAACCAACUCCCUCCAUAGUGGAUUAUGAAUAAUUCCUUGACAGGUUGUCCAAUGGCUGAUUGGAUAACGUACUUGUUGCGAGUUAACGACAAGUAGUUCGAGAUAGUACAUAUAUUUACAGAUUUCUAAUUGUAUUUGAUUGUAGUUUUUAAUACCGACUCAAGAACUUUUAUGUGCUUGAGUCAUAUCAAAUCAAGCCGCUCAAAUGGAAAACCAUAAAGGAGGGAGAAGGCCAUGUGAUACAUAUGUCAAGGAAACCAUUGAGAAGAUGGGUAAGCCACCUUCUCUACGCCAGAAGUUCAUAAAGUUCUUCCACUAACUAGAUGGAAGUUACAAAUCAGAACAUGGAAUACUUGUGGUGGUAAUGACUAGUUUCCAUAUAUAUAAUAGAUAUAGCUUUAAACUAGAAGACAAUAGAAUUAAUUGAACAUCUGUUAUGUAGGAGACUAUCAGCAACUAGAGCGGGAAGGAGCACCGACUGAGGUUGGGCCUAAUGACUCAUUGGCUCAAACACUAAACAAGCCAAAGCAUCGAGGCCACGUUCGGAUGAUGAGUUUGGGGUUUACCCCACAAUGGUAAUAAUGUUCAAUUUCAAAUUUGUUCUUUCUUGGGUCGUUAGUGUUUGUACCUUGUUUGGUGAUAUUUGUACUGUUUUUUCUUUAAGGUAUUUGGUGGUGCUAGCACUUGUUCAUCAUCAUCAUCAGCUCCUUCUGCCUCUGGGAAUGCAAGUGUGUCCUCAAAUGCUGCUCCUAGUGCUCCCCCUCCCUUACGAGAAGAGUUUGAUUGGAUGUCGUAGCAGAUGGCAUUGAUGUUGCAACAGUUGGCUACAAUGUAUUACAUGAUGUCGUCGGAGCUCGCCGGUGCUUUUACCUAAGUUUUGACUCCUGGGAUAGUUCCUGGUACUCCAUUCAAUCCAAGUCCUCUAUAUCUGUAUUAGGAGCCUAUGCAGCAGCAACAACCAUCUCAACAAUAGCAACAAGCUCAUGAGACCAAUCUUAUGGGUUACUUCCCAUUCUCUCAAGAAGCCAAAAAUCAGUUUCGCCUUCAUGGGAUGAUGGCGAAGCCUUUUCUUCCCUUCUUCAUACAUUAGAAAGAGUGAGUUUUAUAAUUAGUUUCUUGAAAUUUCAAUUAGAAUUCAUGUUUGUACUUACUUGUGUUUUUUAUGUUUAUAUAUAGGUCCCCAUUCCAGACACGAGGGAGCAACGAGAUGAUGAUGAUUGUUCGUAGUUGUAUUUCUAGUUAGUUCUAGCUCUCUCCCCAUCCCUAUUCCCAUAUAUUAUGUAGUAUUUGAAACUUCUAAGAUAGUUUCUUAAGAUAAUUUCUUAACGUUUGCAUAUUAAUGUUUGUUAUUGUAGUUUGGAAUUAUUACAUGAGAUGGUAAUUAUGGAAUUAUUAUGUGUUAUUAUGGAAACCUAAAAACUGCUCUAAAUUCUAAAAUUCUGCUCUAAAUUCUAGAACAUUGAAAAAGCUCUAUAACUGCAAAGGUAGAUCAAUUUGAAAGUGAUAGGUGGCACCAUACCAGAAUAGACACAUCUCCAGCAUUAUUGUAAUAGGCUAGUCGCAGGCCCUUUCUCGCAAGUGUUGACUACGAUUGGCCGGUCACUGGUAGCGCCUGUGAUAAAGCGCCUACAACCAGCCAAUCGCAGCCAACGGCUACGACAAGGCGAGCUUUGUCACAUCAAUAAUUGUCGCAUGCCUAUUUCUAUUUGUCGCAUGCACUGUAUGUAACCAUCCUUCUAUUUUAUGGCAGGCUGGCCUGCGACAUUGUUUUGUUUUUGCUUGUGACUGUUUUCCCUUUUUAUUGCAGUGUAAGUUAUACACUUUCAUGCAUUAUUACGUGUUGAAGAUGGAUUCUAACGUGAUUUUGAAAGCUCCUAGACCGAAACGAGUGACCAUUUAGUUUGAUUCUUUUAGUAAUGUGUAAAUGAAAAGUCUACAUGCUAAAUAUAAAUUCAUAAAUUUGUUCUCAAUAAUAAAAAGUUUACUAGUUAAGAAUAGUUGAAAUAUUGAUGGACGAUGUUAAGUUCAUCCUUCCAUAAAUUUAAUUCACAAACUUAAAAUGAUUCGUAAGUGAAAUGUUAGUAUUAAGACGUUCACAGAUGAAAACAACAAAGAUUGAACAUCAAACUGUAAAGAUAAAAAUAAACUGUAUCUCAUAUUAUUUGGAAUUAAGNNNNNNNNNNNNNNNNNNNNNNNNNNNNNNNNNNNNNNNNNNNNNNNNNNNNNNNNNNNNNNNNNNNNNNNNNNNNNNNNNNNNNNNNNNNNNNNNNNNNNNNNNNNNNNNNNNNNNNNNNNNNNNNNNNNNNNNNNNNNNNNNNNNNNNNNNNNNNNNNNNNNNNUAAUAUAAUACUCAUAAGUGGACAUAACAUAGACAUAAUCCACCUAUAAAGUGGACACAAUGAUUAUAUAUAUAAUUUUAUCAUAAUAUGAACAUAACAGUGACAUAAUUUACUUAUAAAUGUAACAUAAUAGUGAAUUAACAUACUCAUAAGGUGAAUAUAAUAGGGACAUAAAAUGUUCGUAAACCAAGCCUAAAAGAUGCCUAAUAAACUUAUAACUUAGACAUAACAUAGGCAUAAAAGAAUUGCAGUAGUACUGAUAUUUAGGUUAUGUAGCAUAAUAGCCUAAAACAAGUGGUCUACUCAAAACACUAAAAAUUGAUAUAUAAUCGUAAUAUAAUUGUUCUAUGACAGUUAUCCGUUAUUAACAUAGAAGUUGUACAAACAUAUUGUGACACCUUGAUUUUGGGUUGAGUAUGAUUCUAGGAUAGUAUUGGUUUUUGUGAGUCGGUGAGAAUCACUGUCAGACGGUCCGUCACGGGCGUAUCGGACAGUCUCUCAUAGGCGUGAUCAUCAGGUAGAUCAUGAUCGUGGUCAAUGAUAGUCACGAACGUGGCAGCCGGAGGAUGACGGCCGUGACCAUCAGUAGGUCAUGGACGUGGUUUCCAUGUCACAACGGGUGAGGUAAGCAGUACGCCAUGGGUGUGGUGGACAACUUAUGAAACCUAAUUUUCUUCUUCCUUGCAAACUUCUGACGAGCGACGAUUGUUCCAGGCACAGGGGAAAGUCUUGUUGAUCGAUCCAGACCAGUAGGAGAGGCCUAGAGAUCAUCGAGGAAGCUUUAGGAGGUAAUCUACCUUCUUCCUCGUUCGUCAAUCCUUUUCUUUGAAUCCCAUGUAGGAAAAUCCUGACAGGUUUGGAUUUGGAGUUUUGGGAUUUCAAUUUUAUGAUUGUUCCCUUCAGGUUAUAUGGAUUAGGCAAGCAAACUCUAGGUUUCAGAUCAUACUCUUCAGAGGAAAGCUUUCAGAGGUAGGGGUUAGGAUUACUUUUCUGCUUUAUGCGAAGAAUUGUAAUUAGUUGUCAGGAAUCCUUGUUUGGAUUUUCAGAAUUGUACAAUAGUGUGCGAUCUACUGUAUAGAAAGAUUUGUUAUGCAGUUUAGAGUUUCGGGUUGUACAAUAGCGUGUGAUCUACUGCAUAGGCAGAUGGUUAUGAUUCGAGCAUAAGCUCACAACGAGAAACUAUGCAUUUAUACAGUUCAUGUUAGGAUUAAGAAUCAGAACUAGAAUAUACUAGCUCACGAUAUACGUUGGUCACCCACCCUAUAGAUUGUGCGAUCCCCGAGGCUACAUUUACUUUCAGGUAGGACUUGACGAUAAUGCCUUCAGUUGCUGCUCUCACGGUCUGAUCCACCAUGAGGUCAUCCGCUCAUAGCUAGGGGUGGCUAAUGUUAGGAUAAUACCUAGAGGACCACAUGGUCACAUUACUAGAUACUAGUUCAGUUUUUCAUGUUCAGGGUCAGCUGCUCAGUGCUUAUCACUGACCUUGUUACAUUUCAUUAUACAUGAUCAACCUUGGGACUUCAGGAGCCAAUGCCGCUUAAGAAAGGAGCAUGAGUAGUGACACCACCUCGCAGUGAGUCUGGGAGUCACACAGAGAGGUACCAUCGAGUACCUCAGCUGUCUCUUUCAGUGUUUUCAUAGUUUUAAGACAGUCUUUCAUGUUUUUUCAGUUGUUUGUGAGACUUAUUUUACAGUGGUUGUUUUCCCAGGUUUGGGAUGUCUUUUAGUGAUGUUCAUUUUUGAAUUCGAGCCAUGAUGCUCUGUUUAUUUUUUGCUGUCGUUUUACUUAAGUAUUGAGGAUUUUCAGUUCAGUUAAUGUAUGUCAGUUGUUAUGAUAUAAGUUUGAGUGAACCCAUGAGCAAUGCAUGGAUAGAACCGUGUGGUUUGAUCGAGUCAUCUAGGGGUGGGUUUCACACAUAUUAGUUAUAUUAUGUGACAUUAUAAUAAAUAAUAAAGGGAAUAUUGUCAUUUACCCUCUUUUACUUCACCCAACUCGCAUUAAGCCCUCUAUACAAUUCAAUGUUCCAUUAACCCCUACACAUUGCCCACUUUACCAUUCGUCUCCUUCCGUUACGCUUUCCAUAUGUACACCGUUAAAACCAUACAACUCAACAUGCCAUGUAAGUUUUUCGGCACCACAUCAGCGUUUAAUUCCUUUAACAAUUCAUGAAAUAUAAAAAAUUCCAGACACCCUUCUUUCUUCACUCUUCUCCACUCGACCCCCAACCUUUCUCACAUCCGAUGCAGCCGAACUUCGCCCCGAGGGUGAACACAAGGAGAGGAGGGUUGCUAGAUUUUGGGUGUUGUUUUUGCACUCAAAUCCGAUUCAAAAGAAAUAUUGGCCACACUGGAAAAAAGUUAUGGUUUGAUCAUCCUCUAAACAUUCGUAGCAGUGUAAUUCAAGGUCUUAAAUUGGCUACCACUACCAAUUGGAAAGUGAGCAAGCCAAUUUGUAGCGAACACCAAGUGUUCAACAAAAUUCUUAGAUGCUAAAAGACUCUUACUGGCAUCACAAACACUUGACAAGGGUGCUAAGUCACUAUUUGACACCCCCUAACAUUCCAAUCACCUAAAUUGUCACUACCUAAGUGAUUACCAAAAUGCACUCAAGGUGUUAGAUAAAAUGCCACUAAGAGAAUCCUCACACUAAUGGUUGAAUUGGGGUGUGUGCUUGGUCCACACACCCUUACCCCAAUCUUGGACUACACACUUACUCAAGUCAAGCACAAUUAAGUAAUUGAAAGAGUACAUUUGACCUAGAACAAGCCAUAGCACAUUCUAAGUUGCAAUAACCAUAGUCCAACCAUUCUCAAAUACCAUAAUCCAUAUCUAACAUGUAUCCAAAUCCUCGUCAUGAGGGGAUCAUCCUAGUACAUAGCAAUACCCUAAUCUAACAACUAAAGAGUCUAGCCACUCAUCAUGACACUAAAACUAAAGAAAAGGGAUACAAUCACCAUCAAUCAACUAGUAUGAAGAAGAUGAUGAGGGUAGGAUCCUUCCUCAAAGCUCUACUAUUCCAAUUCCUUCAAUCCUUGGUCUUCUCUAGCUCCGAAGCUUCUUCAAGGUCUUCAAUUGAUCUUCUAAGGCUUCAAAUUGGGUGAAAAUCGAGAGAGGAGUCGGGUCUCAACAAUUGUUAUGACUGUAGUGUGAAUUGUUCGUCCAAUCUCCAUGGACCAUAUGCCAUGUGGACCAACACGGGCUCCAGAUGCCAUGUGGCCUAAUUUCCAGCUUAGGACUUUGUUCUUUGAUCGCACAUAUCUCCCUCGUCCGACCUCCGUUUGAGCUCUGGUUGGUCUCAUUGGAAUUUUCUCGUUGUUCUUUAUGCAUCGGAUACCUACAGCCUCAUAUAUACAAUGAGAAACGAGGUCGAACGGACCAAAAUGAUCCAUUUGACAAAAUGAAACAAGAACCCCUUUUUUUCUUCCAACCAAUCACAAAGGAGGGUCAAAACUAGGUCAAACAAGGUAAAAAACAGUCAAGAUGUGGUCAAAUUGGCAACAAAUAAUCGUGCUAUCACAUCCCCCCACACUUGAACGUUGCUUUUCCUCAAGCAAAUCUACUAAUCACACUCAAAGAGAACUCGAAACAGGGUGAAAAGAAAAUAUUUCCUAGCAUUUCAAGCCUAUUUCACGAUGCCAAGAUUGCAAGUCAAUCACCAAACCACUCAAUUAUGUAUAAGACAUUGAAUCCCUUAAAAAAUUUCACACCAAACUCUAAUAUAUAGAUAUUAUGAUUAGAUACCUAAACAAGCGAAUGUACUAAAGUUUCUCCAAUGCACUUAUGUCAUAUGGUACUAGCGGAAGAAAUGGACAGACAGACGGUCCUGGCUGGGUAUUUUUCCCGUCUUGAGGGAGGGGAUGCCUGAUCUAACAUAAACAUAACUAUCACCAAGUAUACUAGCAUCUCCCUCUUCUUUUACUCUACUUUGCUUUCUUUUGUAUUUAGUUUUCAACUAUCUUUUCUCCCUCUUUUUUUUCACAUGGAUGCUUUUUCCAAAUGAGGUGGUUGUGAUUCCAAUUAGGCUCAGAUCCGGUGAAUACCGGGCACCAGUACCGCAAUCCACACAUCGAAGGGUUGAGAAGAGGAGCCCGAGGUGUUGAGCAUACGAGUGGCAGAUCGAAAUCUACCUUGCGUGUUUGAAUCACAACCUUCCUCCAUAUCAUUCUUAAGCACAUUGGCCUCCUGUCCAUUUUGACUUCAUAAUACCAUAGACAAGUUCAAAAAGGAGAAUCAAUCAUACAUAUCGAGCAAGUAAAGGUGAAAACUCAAAACAUCCAUAUGUGCGAGUUUGAAGCAAACUAAUUUCAGGAAAAUGGGAGGUAGUCCACAAAUGAUUACUCAACAACCUAUUCGUCCUCAAGUAGUAUGAAUAAACUAGGUAUGCAUCCAAAGAGAUUCACAUAUUCAAAUUUGAGAGGGAGUAUCAAAAUUCAAGAGCAAGUCAGAAAAAAUGCUACCAAGAUAUGCACAAAAAUUCUCAAACCCGAAUAGUAUAAAAAAAUCCUCCCCCCCCCCACACUUGUACAACACAUUGUCCUCAAUGUGAAAAGAUAUAAGGGGAAGAGGGGUACCAAACGGGGGUGAGGAGUGAAGCCGGAUGAGAAGAUGAAGGAUCAAGAUCGAGUACCUAGAGUUUCACAAAAGGCAAGAACAAAAAAAAAACAAAAAAAAAACGCAGAAACAAACACGAAUAAUGGUCGAGUCAAGAGAAAAGAAGAUAUCUCAAGGCCGUCGAGGAGCUGUCUCAACAAGAAUCCAAUCCACUUAGGCAAGAGUAUACAAGAAUGUGCACAAGUAGAUAUGGAAGAGGCAAGAUGCAUAAGAUAUGCAUAACCAAUAAAGAAGAUAACUAGUUAUUCUCAACCAAGACUAACUAGCAAUCCUAAACAAGAGCAUCCUAUAAUCCAUAAAUGAGUAAGACAAGGGUGAGAAAAAGCUAUGGAACCAUCUCAACUCAUUUAGAAUCAAUUCCAGAAAGUUAUCAUCACAAACGUGUACCAAGUCCAAUCAACAAGAAUGAGCAUAAAGAGUGUAUGCAAAGCAUCAAGUGAACAAAGUAUGCAUCAUUCAACUAUAAUCAAUUUGAGAGCUCAAUGGACUACUAGUAUGCAUCAUUCUUCUUUGACUCAUUAACCAAAACAAUGAGCACAUAUGGAUAAUCAAAAGUAGUGGCAUGAUCAAAAUUCAAGCAUUAGAAGCAAUGAGCAAAGUCACAAUCAUCAAUUCAAUAAUUGGACGCAUCAAAUUCACCUAGCAACAACCUAGGUUCAACCAUACAAGGGAGCACAAAGAUGCAAUUCCAAAUUCUCAUCGCAAGAAUUCAACAACCCACAUAAUUCUUGUUCAAAAAUAUCAUAUUGGCAAAGCUAGACAUUCAAGUAGGCACAACCAUCUGAAACUGGCAAUUGCAAUGUUCAAAUUAGCACAAAAGCAUCAUUUGACCAAAUUUGACCACAAUUCAAACUUUCCACACACUCCAUCAAUCAAACCAGAGCAAACAGAACACAGACGACACAGAUUCAGGCCACAUCAUCAACCAAAAAGUCGUAGGCAGUCAAACGAGCUUUCCAACGCCGCUGGUCUUGCGAAAAACAAACGCUCGAGCAAGAAGUUAUGCUCAAAAUACCGAACCACAGCAUUUUUUCGCACAAGGCGACCAAUCAACGGAGGGUCAACGUCCGGUGAACCGGUCUGGUCAAACUCAGGUUGGUUCGGUUUGAAAAUCGGUUAAACAAUGCACCCCCUUCUUUGAAUAGUGCAUCUUGGCACAUUUUUAACACAAUCGAGCACGUUUCGGAGCUGGAAAUUCAAGUUUUUUUUUAGAAAACCCAUUGGAACUGUAGAUUUUGCAUAAAAAGUACGCUUUAGCCUUUUGUUUCCAAAAUCAAGCAAAUUUUAGGAUCUGAAAGUUCAAUUUUUUCAGAAAACCCGUAGGAAGUGUAGAUUUUUCAUAAAAGUAAGUCUGAGCAUAUUUUUUAGUAAAACAACCAUUUUUUAGCUCUCGAAAAUAUAAAAAUUUCAAGACUGCUUUUUUUCUUUUUCCUAAUGCAACGAAACUUCCUGCUAGCCUUAGGCACACUAAGAUAAGAUCAAGCAAAUCUCCAAACACUCGUUCUCUCGUCCCGGUCAUCACAAGAACACAAGAAACAAAAACACAAACAAAACACGACAAACACACAAUCAUGCAAGUUUUAUUCAAUUUUCCUACUCCUAAGCUACACUAUUCAUGACGAGACACCUAUGGUAUCACCAACUUGGUAAUGUUCAAGAUGCAUCCCACAAAGUAGAAGAGGGUCAAGAUGAGUAGAGGAGGUUACCUCGAUCUUGGAAGGAACGAACUUUUGUUACCAUAAAGGGGCCGGAGAUGAGGACUCUAUCGCCCUCUUUGAGUGCUUGUUUGGUGGGGAGGUGCAAAUCAUGGAGUUGCUUGAUCGCUUUCUUGCAACUCCCAUCCUUGACCUUGUGGACACUUUUUUGGUGAGAAGAAGGAUUCUUGGGCUCAAGGUCUGGUGGUUCUUCAUGCAUGUUCCUCGCCUUAGCAUGCACUCCCUUGAUCGAGAUAGCUUCGGUUUCCUUAUUAUACUAUUUCACACACUCGCUCAAGGAUGGAUCCAAGGCUUCAUGAUGAAGAGAUACAUUAAUAGCAUAAACUAAAGCCAUUUCAACGGGCUCGCCAAUAUCAUUAUCAUCUUGAGGAUCCGGGUGCUCCAUACCCCCGAUCAAUUGAAAUGUGGCUUCCUUUUGACCCACUCUCAAGGUAAGCUUACCCUCAAACACAUCUAUGAUUUCCUUCGACGUGUUGAGAAAUGGACGACCCAAAAUCAAUGAAACGUCGGUGUCUCCGGUGUCAAUCACAACAAAAUCCACCGGAAACAUGAACCUUCCAACAUGCAUAAUAACAUCUUCAACUACACCACUAAGCAAUUUUGUAGUUUUUUCCGCUAGUUGGAUGCACAUCUUAGUUGUUGUAAGUUGACCUAGGCCUAGUUUCUUGUACAAUGAAUAUGUCAUGACAUAUAUACUAGCACCUAGAUCUGCUAAACCUCUUUCAAUCACAACUUGACUAAUCAUGGAAGGGAGAAAGAAACUACCCAGAUCUUUGCGUUUGCAAGGGAGGUCCCUUGAGAGGAUUGUCGAGCAUUGCUCAUUGAGAUUGAUGUUGGAAGCUUCUAUGAGCCUUCGCUUGUUGGUGAAGAUCUCCCUUAGGAACUUGGCGUAUUGAGGCAUCCUUUCGAUUGCCUCGACGAAAAGAACGGUGAAGUUCAUAUUGCAAAGUCGAAGCACAAGUUGCUUUAAGCUCUUCUCGAGAAGAUCCUUAUCCAAUUGGUUGGGAUAAGGUGGCUUAGGGUUGUAUGGAGCCGACUGGGGCUAGGAGAUAGGAGAAGCCUCAGUUGAACUCUUCGUAGCCUUCUUGGAACCAACUUCAGUUGACACCUUUGGCUUUCCAUUACUCUUUGGAGCUUUCGGAACUAAUGCAUGCGGAACCGGUGCACUUUCUUCGACCAUCACUUCAUUCUCUUAAUCACUAGAUGCUUCAUUUUUCAUUAACAUCUUUCACAAGAAAUUCAUUAUCAUGCACAAGCUUGCUAGGUACAUCGAUAGGAGGAUCGAUUAAAUUUAGGAGUUGUGGACACAUAGUGUCUCAUGCUCCUAGUUGUGAUAGAUCCACAAGUUUCCUUGCUCUUUGGAUUGGUUAUGAUAUUUCUAGGUAGAGUGCACGGUUGCCGACUUGAAAGAGCGUGUGUGAGGUAUCCAACUUGAUUCUUAAGAUCCACCAUUUGAGCUUGAGUUGAGGCAUUGUGGGUGUCUUGAAAUGCUCUUUGCUCUUGAGUCACCUUGUUGUGCUCUUGGAAGAACUUAGCUUGAUUCUCAAUCAUUUGGUUUCCUCCAUUGAAGCUCCCUUGAACAUAAUCAACUUCUUUAAUGAAGUGCUCUUCCUCCGGUGCGAAAUCGGGAGCAAGGGAUUGGCAAGUAGAGGUGGCAUGCCCUUCGUUCCCAUAACAUUCACAAACAAAGAGUUGCACAACCAGUUGAUUCACCUUUGGUUCUUGUACCUCUUUCUUUUGAGGUGGAGUGGCGGUUGGUCUCACCACCGGUUGAGCCAAGGCAAGUGCUUUGAUUUGAGCCGCCAUGCCAUCCAUCCUUGAUAGCAUCAAGUGAACAAGAUGGUUGGGAUCUUCCUCCUUAUGUCCCGGCAUCUCCUUAAGGACCUUUGGAGCUUGAGUGCGAGUACAAACAUAAGGAUCUAUGCUCACCACCUUAGCUUCUAUAGGACCUUGUUGCCUAGACCAACUCUUCAUCUUCACCGCCAUUUCCCGGAAGACUUGAAGCCAUCAUUUGGCGAGGAGUGAUCUCAAGUCUCCUCCCGCCGCUUGAUUGGUCAUCUUGGUGUCCUCAUAAGUGAGUCCUCAUAAGUGAGUCCUCUAGCAAAGGUCUCCGCGAGUUUCCACUCAUUGAAGUUGAAGUUGUGAUGAGGGCAAGAGUAGAGAAGGGCUUGGGACCUCUCCCAAGCUUCAAAGAAUGGCUCUCCAUUAAUUUUCUCAAAGUUGGAGAUUCUACUUUGGAUCUCAUCCGUCUUGUAAGGCAGGAAGAAUUCCUCCAAGAAGGCCUUUGCUAGAUUGUCCCAAGCUUGGAAGGUAUUGUUUCGUUGGUUGUCGAGCCAUUGAUUUGCCUUCCAUUGGAGUGAGAAGGGAAGAGUCGGAGUUGAAUGGCUUCUUGCGACACAUGAUUGAACUUCAUUAGAUCCAUGAUCUCGAGAUAGCUACUUGGACAUUCGUGCUCGUGCCCAUGGUAUACGUUUUGUUGCACCAUUUGAAUGUAGUUGAACUUCAACUCGAAGUUCCGGUUAUCAAUAAGGGGUGGAGCACACUUGAAGAAGUACCUUCAAGAGUUGGCUUAGGUAAUCACCUAGAGUUCUUUGAGGUUCUUGAGCCAUCUCAAAGAUGUUAACAAAUUCAUCAGCCUCUCCUUUGCAAGAUGAAACAAUUGAUGAGUGAUCCAGGGUUGUUAAAGAAGUUGCGAUGUGAGGUGGUGGUGGUGCUUGAGGUGGAGAUGAGAUGAAUCUCUUUGGUAGACGCCUUGUACGCUUCAAUCUUCUCAUGCACUAAUAGUGCAUGAACGGAACCUACACAACAAAGCAAACAACCAAGGGAACACAACAAAGGAAUAAACACACAAGAAGGGGGUAGCAAUAAGUAAAAUGGAUUAGGUAGAAUGCCUAAAUCGGUGUCUAAUCUACUCUUUCAAGGGGGUGAUUACACUCCCCAACAAUGGCGCGAUUUUGAUCCUCUAAAAAAGAACCAAACAAACAUGAUCGGCUAAGAAAAGGGACUAAUCCCAAACCCAAGGUCUCAAGUGACAAUUUUCACGAGGAACAGACCACCAACCCUAUACUCAACUAUUAAAGACACGGUUUAAGCUCACAAAAGUUCAAAAUGCUAGUUCCUUAAAUUAUCCACUAAAGUACAUAUCAUUCACAAGAGUAAUUGGAACUAAAUUAAGCUAACGAACUAAGCAAACAAGAUACUAAAGAGGGUGAACACAAGGAGAGGAGGGUUGCUAGAUUUCGGGUGUUGUUUUUGCACUCAAAUCCGAUUCAAAAGAAAUAUUGGCCACACUGGAAAAAAGUUAUGGUUUGACCAUCCUCUAAACAUUCGUAGCAGUGUAAUUCAAGGUCUUAAAUUGGACUACCACUACCAAUUGGCAAGUGAGCAAGCCAAUUGGUAGUGAACACCAAGUGUUCAACAAAAUUCUUAGAUGCUAAAAGACUUACUGGCAUCACAAACACUUGACAAGGGUGCUAAGUCACUAUUUGACACCCCCUAACAUUCCAAUCGCCUAAAUUGUCACUACCUAAGUGAUUACCAAAAUGCACUCAAGGUGUUCGAUAAAAUGCCACUAAGAGAAUCCUCACACUAAAGGUUGAAUUGGGGUGUGUGCUUGGUCCACACACCCUUAAUCCAAUCUUGGACUACACACUUACUCAAGUCAAGCACAAUUAAGUAAUUGAAAGAGUGCAUUUGACCUAGAACAAGCCAUAGCACAUUCUAAGUUGCAAUAACCAUAGUCCAACCAUUCUCAAAUACCAUAAUCCAUAUCCAACAUGUAUCCAAACUCUCAUCAUGAGGGGAUCAUCCUAGUACAUAGCAAUACCCUAAUCUAACAACUAAAGAGUCUAGCCACUCAUCAUGACACUAAAACUAAAGAAAAGGGAUACAAUCACCAUCAAACAACUAGAAUGAAGAAGAUGAUGAGGGUAGGAUCCUUCCUCCAAGCUCUACUAUUACAAUUCCUUCAAUCCUUGGUCUUCUCUAGCUCCCAAGCUUCUUCAAGGUCUUCAAUUGACCUUUUAAGGCUUCAAAUUGGGGGAAAAUCGAGAGAGGAGUCAUAUCAUCAUACAUCUUAAUAUUAUCUCUAAUUGGGACCACCUCAAUAUUAUCUGCAACAAUCUCAUCCUCAGUGUCAACCUCUAUGGCAAGUAGCUGUUGUAACUCCGUUUCUGAAGAUGAUGCAACCACUCCACUAGAGGAGGCAUCACAAUGAACAGCAAACCUACAUGAACAAACUCUAUACGAUUGAGGUUACCAAACAAAUCACCCCACACUUAUCUUUUGCAUAAACCAAUAUGCAUUAAUCAAGCUGUAGAAAAAGAGAAGAGUGGGCUUAGAAGCAACUAUUGAACAUCUCAUCCAAAUAGGAAAUCUGUCAUAAUAAAGAAUACUCAACAUCAUUAAGGCAAUCCACGUAAGGUUUAGGGCACUUAGAAACUAUCCACAAAGUCACACAAACAAUGUAAGACAUGUAAAAUUUCAUAAAUUCUUAACCCAGAAAAAUACCGAGCAAAACUCAACAUUCCUAUGACACCUAAUCAUAUAAUUUCAAAGUGCAAAGGAUGUCAUUAACAUCCUAUAUCAUACCCAAUUGAAUUCUAGCAUCAUCAAUUUCACAAAACCUCAUAUUUGAAAUUUCAAGUUCUUCAAGCUAAUCAUCAAUCUCAACAAUUUAACCAAUCAGGGCAAAGUGAACAAGGAGAAACUGGGCAAAAUUCAAUGUAAACUAGCUCAAAACUCACUCAAAGUUGAUGAAAAACGAAGGGGGGAGAUUGGGGGAGGGUUCGGCGGUGACCGACAACGGUUCUAUGGUGACAGGAGUGCGGAGUUUUGAAUGACGGCAAAGGGGUAGGAGGGUGGAGUCGGCGUCAGUGGAAUGUUUGAAAAAAAUAUGGUUCAAAAAUCGGCUAAGGCUAGAAUAUUUAGAAACCCGUGUCAACUAUUGCAUUGUAGAAGUGUCAAAAAUGCGGUAUGGACAUAGCGCAAUGUUUGACAAAUCAUAGCGCAAUGAUUGAAAGGAUUUCCAGAACUCAAUGUCAACAUUUUUUCUAUAGAUGGUCAAUUAUUGCGCUAUGGGCAUAGCACAAUGCUUGACACAGAUCCAUAGCACAAAGGUUGACAUCCUAUUAUGUGAACUUCCAUAGUUCAUGAAAGAAUCAACACUCUUUGCAUUGACGACUGGGGACAAGAAUGACACUCAAGUAUCACGUUCUAGACUCGAUCUAACUCCUACACAUGCAAAUUGACUCAAAGAAUAUGAAAAAUACUGACUCCAGACAUGGGCUUCCUUCCAUGAAGCGCUCUUUCUUUAACGUCUUUGAGCUAGAUGAUACAAGGACCUCAAUUUAGCAUCUUCAAAGUAAUGAACUUUUACUCCAUCGGUAGGCUUGGUACUGAGAUAUAGCUUGAGACGUUGACCGCUGAAUUUAAUGUUCCUUGGUCCGGAUGUGUGAUCUCCACAAAUCGGUAGGGAAAUGAUUGUGUGACUUCAUAAGGUCCCGACCAUCUUGAUUGUAAUUUUCCCAAAAAUAGUCAGAGCUGGGAGUUGUAGAGCAGCACCUUAUCUCCCUACUUGAAUUCUUUGACCCCUUGAAUAUUAGCAUCGUCGAUUCGUUUCAUCCUUUCCUUAUAUAUACAUGAGCUCUCGUAAGUAUGAAACAUGUGCUCCUCUAGCUCAAGGAGCUAAUAUUUGCAUUCUGAAGCUACGAGACUAUCAUCCAUGUUUAGCAGCUUCAUGGCCCACCAUGCAUUAUGCUCAAGCUCGACCGGUAAAUGAUAAGCCUUUCCAUAAACGAAUCGAUACGGGAAAGUGUAGAUAGGGAUCUUGAAGGCGGUUCGGUAAGCCCAUAGAGCUUCAUCGAGCCAAAUCGACCUGUCCUUAUGAGACUGAUCGACUGUGCUAUCAAGAAUCUGCUUAAGCUCACGAUUCUUCACCUCCACUUGACCGCUUGCAUGUGGAUGGUAAGCGGUCAUCAAUCAAGGAGCUAUGCUAAAUGUUUGGCAAACUCAAUAGAAUUGACCCUGAAAGUGAGUGACUUUAUCGCUAAUGAUAGCAUGAAGGCCGCUGAAACGCAUGAAAACGCAUGUAAUAAACUUUCCCACUGUCAGAACAUAGUUAGUAGACAGCGGUUGCGCCUCUGCCCACUUUGAGACAUAAUCCACUUUGAAAUGUUACAUGUACGUUGGCAGUUGAUUUUGGGCUUUAAUCUGAAUUCUGUGAAUUUUGGAAAUUGGCUGAUCAAUGGACAGUCACAGGCAUGACAGUCAGUCUAUCACGGGAAAGGUUGUCAGACAGACCACGACCGUUGUCAGCAAACAUUCAUGGGCGUGACCACUGGAAGAUCAAGGGCUUGACCAUCAGGAGGUCAUGGUUGUGACCAUCAGUAGGUCACGGGCAUGGUUUCUAUGUGGCCACGGGUAUGGUGGUAAGUUGGACAUGGGCGUGGUGGACUUAUUAUAUAAGGACAGUUGCAACUUACAACUCAGAAUUACUGAAACCUAAGAACUUUGAAUCCCUCUGCAAAUGGCAAUCAAUUUCAGGAGAUGGAGAAAUCCCAUUUGAUCUAAUCCCAAAUCAUUAGGAAAGGUCUAGAAAUCGUUGAGGAUGCUUCCAAAGCUACUCAAUCUUCUUCCUCCUUUCUCAAUCCUUGAUUGGAAAUCCUACGUAGGAAAUUCCUGACACAUUAGGAUUUGGGGUUUUCAGAUUUCAAUCCUAUGAAUUAAUCUCUACGGGUCAGACAGAACAUGAGGCUUGAUCUUGGGAAGGUAGCUUCAUAUUAGACUCUACUAGGAAAGCUAAUCAGAGGUGGGGGGUUAGGAUUUCUUUUCUGCUUUAAGUGUAGAACUGUAAUUAGGAUUGUCAGGAAUCCGAUUAUUAGAUUCUCAGACUGUGUAGUAGCAUAUGAUUUAUUGUACAUGUGUUGUGAUUUGAAGGGCUCUCAAGACUGUGCAAUAGCGUGUGAUCUACUGUACAUGUAUUACGAUUUUUAGAGCCAAGCUCUUAGUAUUGUGCAGUAACGUGUGAUCUACUGUACAUGGGUUGUGAAACAGAGCCAGGCUCUCAGACUAUGUAGUAGCGUGUAAUCUACUGUACAUGCAGUUGUUUAAUUUCGAGCAUAAGCUCAUGGUGAUUAAACUAUGCUUGUGAUUCACAGUUCAUGUUAGGACAGGAUCAUGUUUAGCUAGAUUAGCUCUCGAUAUGCAUUGGUCACCCGCCCAUGGAUUGCGCAAUCCCUUAGGUCAUGUUCAGGCUCAUGUUGGACGUGUCGAGUAUGCCUAUAGAUGCUGCUCACACGGUUUUCAGGAUGGUUUCAUAGUUUGAUCCACCAUGAGGCUAUCUACCAUAGCUAGGGGUGGUUGUUGUCAAGAUGAUGCCUACAACCUGUGAGUAAUGCAUGGGUCGAACCAUGUAGUUCGAUUGGGUCUUCUAGGGGCGUGUUUCACGGUAAUCUUCUAUAUAUGUCCCGAAAGCAAGGAUGGUGGCUAUCUCGGUAAACCACUAGCGCUUGUAGAGGUGAUGAUCCGAGACUUCCUUUGCUUCUUCCAAGAGAAAUAAUUGAUCAUCCAGAAAGAGCUCAUUUAUCUCUGCUUCAGCGAAUCGACCCAGAGAAGGCCCUUCAAGGUGCGAUAGGUGGUUAGCUGCAACGUUCUCUGAUCUCGCCUUGCCCUUAAUAGUCAUGUCAAACUCUUGAAGGAGUAGCACCUAGUGAAUCAAUCUCAAGUUCCCAUCCUGUUUAGCUAUAAGAUACUUAAGAGCAAAAUGGUCGCCGGAAUCUGGGCAGAGGUCGCCAGCGGUAACGGCCUCACUAGAGAAGAAGGGUGACCUCCCCACAAUCAUGAGGAGUUCAGUGACCAGAUCUGCAAAGUCUGAAAGAUAAGUUGCUGUUGUGCAUUUGAAUAUUCUAAAGUCUAGCUUCCGUAGCUCUGAAGUUUUGGAUGGUUUACAGUUAUGGACCUUGGUCAGAUUUUUUAUCAUUUGGAAGUUCUAGAUCAGUUAGUGUAAUGGAGGUCAUUAGAGGACUAGAGUAACAUUUAUGUCCUUAAAAUUUUCAGAUUAUUGCAAAUAAGUAAAUGGAGAAGAACUCGGUCGUUUGAGCUCCAAAUGACGCACGGUUAGAACUUACGGAUUUAUGGCAACGAGAGAAAUCAUGCCAAGUUAGGAUCAAAGGUGUCAGAUCUUCUUAACAGGUGGGGGUUUAGGAUUACAUUCUGCUUAUAAGCUUAGAACUAUAAUAGGAUGUUAGGGAAUCCGAUUAUUGGAUUCUUCAUGUGAUUCAGAGCAAGGGCUCUCAGGAUUGUACAAUAGCGUGUGAUCUACUGUAUAAAUGUUGUGAUGUGAUUCGGAGCAAGUGCUCUCGGACUAUAUAGUAGCGCAUAAUCUACUCUAUAGAUGUUGUGAUGUGCUUUGGAGUGUGGGCUCUUAGGCUGUACAAUAGCGUGUGAUCUACAGUAGAGGCAAUUAUUAUAAUUCGAGCAUAAGCUCUUGGCGUUUGGACUGUGGCAUGUGAUUCACAGUUCAUGUUAGGAUAGGAUAGGCCUAGAUAGACUAGGUCACAAUUAUGAUACGUCGGGCACCCACCCAUGGAUUGCACAAUCCCCCAUGUUAUAAUCGGGCUCAGGCAGGACGUGUUGAGUAUGCAUACUGAUGCUGCUCAUACGGUAUUCAGAGUGGUUUUAUGGUCUGAUCUACCGUGAGGUCAUCCACAUAGCUAGGGGUGGCUGAUGUUAUGUUGAUGCCUACUGGACCAGAUGGUCACAUUACUAGAGUAGUGACUACAUAGAAUUCCAUGUUCUAUUCUUAGUACAGGUCAGUUUCAAUCUCAGUUCUACGCGAGUCCAGAUAGCCACUUAGUGUUUAUCACUAACUCUAUUAGAUAUUAUUUUCUCUGGUGUAUAUGUGUGUUCGGUCACAAGAACUGGAGCUGAUGGUGGGGAGAGAGCUAGUCGGAGUUUUGAUAUCACAUGAUAUAUGUUUUGAUGUAUUUUCAGUACUAGAGUUGCAUCUCCUUUUAUCAUGUUGUGAUUUGGGAUCCGAGAUCCUUGUUGGUCAAUUUUAUCAAAGUAUUUCGGUUCAACUUUUAAUGCUUGUUUUUGCUCAUUUAUUAGUAGUAGAGAGUAGAGGUUGGUUCAGCUUGGAACCCGAUAAGAUUUCUUGAUUGAACCAGUGGUUCGACCAAAACUCUUAGGGUGGGGUUUCAGAGAAAAUGUGAUAGUGAAAUAUACAUUUCCCAAAAAAAUUCAUCUUCCCACCGAUAAGUUUUGGCUAUUUUCGUAUUUUCAUAAUUACCUUUAUUUUAGAUUGUAUGAUUCAAUUCAUUACCAAUUGUCAGAUUAUGUUGUGACAUCAUCAUUUCUAUCAAACGAACAACAUUGGCUCCAUUUAUAGGAUUUUAUCUAUUGCAUAUAAGACUAUUGGAUCCAUUUUGAUUUGUAAAAGUGGGUCCUACUUCCAUCUCAUUUUGUUUUGAAAUUUUGCAUACUUCACUUUGAAAGGCUUCUCAUUAAUGCAAUUCAAAAACAUUUGCAAAAGUGGACUUACAUGAAUAAAAUGAUCAUUUCUUAUAUAUUAUUUUAUUAGCAAAUAAUGAUAUGAGAAGGCCCAAUCCAUUGGGUCUUGAUCAGAAUGGCACAACCUAUUAAAAAUACCUAUUUUGGCAUAACAUAAUUAUAAUUUUACAAAAUAAAAUAUUUAAUUGACUUUUUAAAACUCAAUACAAAAAACUAAAAAAAUAUCAAAGUUCAUCAUAUUCUUCUCCCACCACCAUCCUAUCUCCACUAUCUUCUUAUCAUCCCCAUCAUCCAUUGCUAAACCCAACAAUUACUUUCUCUAAAUCUAUCACUUACCAAAUCCAAAAUCAUAUUCAUUUGUACACACAACCAAGUAUGCAAAUUUUAGAUAUGAUUUGUGUUGGUUUUUUAGAUCUGAUUUUGUCGAUCUCGAAGGUGAAGAUGAUUGACGACGGGGAAGGGGACUCUAAUACCCAAAUAUGCUACUGGAGAAUAAUCCAUCUUUCCAGACUAUUGCAAUUCAUACCGCUCCUUGAAUACUUACAGAGAAAGACGGCGCAUCGAGCUCAAAAGGAGAGGGUAGCGAGCAAUCGAAGGAGAGUAGAAAAAGCCGUUGCAAGCAAAAGAGAAAUCGACCACCAGAUCUCCUAGGAUUCCUCAUCUGAGGAAGCCAUCAAGAGAUUUUUUCCUAUAAGUCAGUUCAGCUACUAAAGCUACAAGUGGUGAUGAUGAAUAAGCUUCCAUAAGUGGUUCGCUGGGUAUCUCUACUUUGACCUCCUUCAUGGGAGCUCCGUCGUCGCCGCUGGCGACCCUAAAAAAGAACAUGCAUUUAAACGCGUUUACACACUAAACUAAAAAGGAGAAUGAAAGACUAUAAUUGGAAUUUCAACAACAAGAGAAAGUUAACUUCUUUUUUCUAAUCCACCGUCGGGAGGAGCAGCAGCAAGCUUCGCCCGUCUUCUUCCCUUUUGGGAUUUUUUUGAAUUAAUUAAGAAUUUUAUUAAUUAGAAGUUUAAAAUUAUAUGAUGUGGAGCCUAUAUUGAAGUCAAGUGGGAGGUACGUCAGGGGUGUUAAGUUUGACUGUUAAGUUGAUGGUCAAAUUUCAAAUAUGUGCCACAAUAAGUAUUUCUAAUAGGUUAUGCCAUUCUGGGUUUAGACCCAAUAGGUUGGGCCUCCUUAGAUCAUUAUUCAUUUUAUUAACUACAUAUAUGUUAUAAAAAUGUAUAAGUGACAAGUGGGUCUCAAAUGAUUAAAAAAUAUAAAUGAAAAAAUGGGCCACAAGUGAGAUUAUCACUUUGACUUGGAACGAGUACAAAUUUGCACUUAAAAUGAUCCUUUCCCAUCAAUAAUAUUCUCAUUUAAAUUUAAAAAUUGCCACAUAGGCUCCAUGUUACUUAACAAGUAGGGAAAAUCUCAGUGAUAAGAUGCUAUAAUAACAAAUAAUCUUGAGGCCAAAUCCAAUAACUGAGCAUGCCUUCUACAUGUCGGACUCCACCAUAUAAACACGGCCCACGUUAUAAUUGAUUCAUUAAAAAAAAGAAACAAUUUGAUGAAUUGAUGAAAGAAGCGAAAGGCAAAAGAUGGAAAUUGUCGUUUCUCUUCCUAAAACUAGGGUUUUGUUUCUCUCACUAAAAUUAGGGUAUCUCUUCGUCAUGAAGACUUCCUACACCCCCAUCGCCAUCAUGCUCAAGCACAAACCUACUCCUAUCAUCAACAAACCCAUCCCACCUACCGAUGUUGUCAUCAAAACAAGACCGACCCUUACUGCACCCAUGGCCUCCCUAUCGUUGAAGGAGAGUCAUGGCUCGGAGGACCUGACCGGAAUGACAUGGCUGACGAUUGGAUACCAGAGCUGCAGCAAUCUGGAAAGCCCCACAAAGAUUCUCCGCCGACAAAGACCAGCAGGUCAACACUAAGGAGAGGCGGUGUUCCUCCGAUCUUCGAGCUACAGGGGAGCGAGACGACUCUACCCCAUACACCAUAGUGACAUCGCCGGUGUGGACAUCCGAUCAUUCCAUUCAAAGCUCAUGAAGAUCGGCUACACUUGUGUUUGGCUUUCUUUAUUUUUGUUUAGUACUCUCUUUUUAGACAUUUGGUUGAUUUUCAGUCGUACGUUGCACUUCAUUUGUUUCCUUCCUUGAGUCGGGGUAUAGUUUUGUUAAUUUUUUUGUUUAUUUCGUUGCAUCUAAAACCGUUGAUGGUCGAAGAGAUUAAAACUGUAAAUAAAAUAUUCAAUUACCUACUUUCCCCUUACAUCUUUUCUAAAAAACAACUCUCAAUUGCAUUUCUCAUGGUCAAUGUUAUAUCACGCCUCCCUCUAUAAAGAAAUUAUAUUUUGUAAAAAAAAAAAGCGAAAGGCAAAAGAUAUCGCGAGACCUAGUUCUAUAUAAACCCAUUCCAUUCGCAGGUUACGAGCGGCCGUCAUCGCUGUCACAGGGCCAGAUAUGGGAAGCGCUAAAGCUGGCAAACCCUCAAAGAAGUCUCUCAGAAACCCUAAUCCGCUUCGCAUUACCCAUAGGAAGAUUACGAAGCACAAACGGCAAGACAUUGCUGUUGAUACAGUUCCCACCGCCCUGAAGUAGAAACACAACCUCAUAUCGGAGAAGAGGAGCCCCUUCCUUCAGCUUCCCAGCAACUCAGCUUUUUCCUCAGCAAGUUCCAGUCAGCUAAUGGUCUUCAAGGUUAGUCUCUACCGCUGGAGCUCCACAAUAUUGUAUCCCAUGACAUCUCUAUUUGGUUGCUGGACAGAGGGAUUAUUAACAAUUUGUGUAUUGUAUUUGCAGAAACAUCCUUUAUUCAGUUAUUUUGAGAGCUGCCUCAGGAUGUUGAGGGCCUAGGCCAGCAUUUGAAGACUGCUUUCGGAAAGUCAUGGAAAGAAGAACGCUGUGAUCGAAAGCUCGUGGAUAGGUAAACUGAACCAGAGAGUCCUGCUGCUCUUUUCAUUUCUACAUCUGCAUUGAGAGCAAUAGAACUUUUAAGGUAUAGAUUCUCUCAGUUCUUGUUAAUGAUCUUUGUUUUGCUCGAUUUAAUCAGGGUUUGGGCUUGAUUCAAUCUUCUUCUUUUAGGGGUGUGCGUUCACUGAGCGUUCACUGACGAAAGAAUGCCAUGCUGCAAAGCUCUUCUCUAAGCACAUGAAGGUUGAAGAACAUGUGAUAUCCUUUCCCUUUUGUCACUUGUUGUUCCUAUUACAUCGUUAAACAAAAUACUAUCUCUUUAUGUUUCGAGGUGUUGUCAUUUGUUUUGGAUAUCAUUCAGUUCCUUUUAUUAUUACUGCUGCUCGAGUUACGAACAUCUGAGGAAAUAGCAAUGCUUAGGAUGUUAUUGUCCACUUCACUGUCUCGAGACACCGACAUUGUCUUUAGUUAUUAUUUAUGGGUCCAACAAGUUAUGACUUGAACCAUGGUCACAUGGAACAAAAUUAAUUUAUAAAUUCGGACUUCUGUUUCAUCAGUGACAUUUUCACUCUUCGUCAUCAUAUACAUUUGGUGUUUGUUUGUUUUUGGUAAAAGGAUUUGAUAUUACCAGUUAUAAAGAUCAAAGGGCAGUAGCAGUGCAGGAUAAGCUUUUUUCACAUCAGUCUGCUUCUAGUUCAGUAUCUUAGUUUCAAUGAUUUAUGGCUGGAAGCAUGGAGCAGUAUGGAAUUUUUGCAAACAAUUGUUGGAUUAGGAAUUUCAUACUUCUUUUCACUGCAUUUUGAUGUUGGGAUAUGAUGAGUUACACGGAUCAAAUGCUCUAGCAGUGCUGAAUAUGUUUUUUGCACGUCAGUCUGAUCCCAACUUACCGUAUUUUUACUGCCCCUACCUUUAAAUGCAUGUCCGAGUUCUAACAAUAGAUGACUUGAGACAUGGAGCCUAUGAAUGGGGGUUCUCUGUUUGAUUUUAUGACAUUUUACAAUAAUUGUCACAAAUUUUUUUGACAUUGGAUAUGAUGAUGAGUUAGAAUCAAAGGCACUAGAGAUGCUGAAUAUGAUUUUUUGCACGUCAGUCUGAUCCCAGCCUUUCGAUUUCUGAUUACUGGAAUUUAAAAUUUUACUUUGUUUUCGUCAUUUUGACAUUGGGAUAUGAUGAUGAGAUGUAGAUCAAAGGCAUUAGCGGUGCUGAAUGUUUAUUUUGCACGUCAGUCUGAUCCCAGCUCACUGUUCCGAGAUUGUGCUGCCUUCUUGCAUUUCCUAGUUAAAAAAAUGUACUCCUUGGACAUGGAUCUAAACGAACUUCAAAAUAUGAAUGAUUAAGAUUUCGUGAUCAGUGUCAUUCAUAGUUUAUGAUCACUAAUUUAAAUCUCGUGGCAUAUCUUGCAGGGUGUUUAUAGCCAAUUAGAUGCCACACUCACUGAAAGCUUAACUUACGAUUUAGGUUCUGGUUGUGUAUCCCCCCCCCUGUCCACCGCCUUUAACCUUGUACUUCUAAGCAAUUGAUUGUAUUUCCUGAAUAAUGGCUACAUAUUUCGUAAUUGUUCAUGCUCUGCUGAUUAUAUUUUUGCACGUCUCUGUUCCUAAUAAAACUGCACACUAUUUUACGAAAAAAGACGUGCACGCUAAUAUCGUACACCAAUGUAAUAUAACACUAUUAACAACAAAAAGUUCUUAGUACGGGUUCAAUGUCAUCAUGCAACAUCCAUGAUGCCGUUCCUUAGUCUCUCUACGUGACUCUGUGUUGCAUUUGGUAAACUAUUUCUUAAACUUCUGGCUCCGUUUACUGCAGGUCACUUUCUUCAAGAAUCGUGUCAAUAUUGCCAGCGGCACACCAAACAGGUUAGUCACCAGUCAUUUCAUCUCGAUAUUGAUGUUACAAUGGGUCGUUUGGAUGAGGUAUUUGAAAGUGGUAUUUUGGCUCAAGUAACUCAAACUAAAGUUAUAACUGAGUUAUUUGGGCCAAAACACUUCGUUUUCCAUCCGAAAUAAAAGUCGUUAUAUUUCAUAACUGUGAUAUUUGAAAUAAUUAUGGAUGUGAUAUUUGAAAUAACUCAAUUUAAAACCAUAACUCAAAAUGAUAGCUAAACGAAUAAUUCUUAUCCCCCAAAUUCUUACAACUGAUCCAAACGAUUAAUGUUUACUUGCUCAUCCUUUUCGUUCUAGCUGAAUAUUUGCAUUUCCGAAAUAAUGCGCCCCACAUGAGUUCGGUAUACAUUGGUGAUUGCUUUUGCAAGUUUUCCGUGCAUGAAUUGUUGUGGUAUUCAUCAGAAAAUUACCAAUAGGAAAUAGUUAAGAGGUCGUAGAAAAUGCAUCGGGAGUGUCAUUUUAUAUUGUAGGGGCAAAAAUUGAUUUUGAUGAAUUUGAACUUUCUUGACUAGAUUCUUGAUAAAAAAAACUAUCUUGACUAGGUUGAAGAAGUUGAUAGAUAUAAAAGCAAUGGGGCUCUCGCGGUUUUAAAGUUAUCGUGCUAGAUGUCCACCAUGAUGUAAAGGGUUAUUCCUUGCUCACACUUCCACAAGGGGGAGAUAUAGAGAGAAUGUCCGGUCUCUUUUCAACACAGCGAGGAGCAUAGUCGAUUUUGUCAUGUGAAGAGUUGCUGUUGUACAAGUGUUAGUUUGUUAUUUUGACAGGACACUUUUUCAAUUAUUCAAAACUUAUAUUCUAGCUAAGCUAAGGGUAAAUAUCCAUUUUGUAAUUUCACUUGUUGCUGCUUCUACCAAGAGACAGCACACAAGGAAUUAUACUCAUCGGCUUCCUGGCCGCAAUUGAGUUAAAUCUUCUUUUCGGCCCCUAGCGUUUAAAAUAAAAUAAAUCUUUCACCGGCUACCUUCAAAAUCCUCUGUUUAUCUUUCCUUUGAUCUUAUCAAAUUUUUAUAGUGACAAAGUUUGUGAAAUUACUUAAUAAAAAAAAGAAAAAAUUAUUAAACAAUUGCUAAUAUUUAGGCCCGACAUUCGAUAUAGCACAUGUUUUUUAUAAUAUUUUUUUUUGCCCAAAUUUCAAAUUAUGUUAAUUCCUUUAAGUUAAAAUUAACGGAUUGGUGACAAAUGCUGACAAGGCAAACAAUGUGUCUGAUGUGGAUGGAUGAAAAGAAGUCAAUCGGAAAUAAAUACACAGUCAACAUACAGUUAAAAAAUUUUAUAACAAAAACCACCCACAUUCCUUAUCCUCUUCGUCGACCAGCCUUUUAUCACCCACCUGUCACCUCCCUUCUAAAUUAAUUUUCAUCAGAUGGGGAGAAAGAGUGGAAGAAGAAGAAGAAGAAAGAAAGAUGGAGCAAGGUGCAUUUGAUUUGAAUCCCGACAAUGUCGACAACAAUCUUGUAUCUAAAUUCUUUGUCGAUUUGAAUUUCGAUGAUGCCAACAACAACCUCAUUCUUGAACUCUCCGUCGAUUUGAAUCCCGACGAUCCCAUCAACAACACCAUUCCUGAACUCUUCGACAAUUUGAAUCCCGACGAUGCUGAUAACAACCUCAUACCUGAAUUCUCCGUUGAUUGAAUCUCAAUGAUGCCAACAACGACUCUCUAUCGUUGUCGAUGAAAUGCCCAAGCUUGUGGAGAGAUGGAUACAGGGAGUAGUAGCAGGUACAUGUCCAAAUAUGGAUGUUGAGAAAUCCUCCUCGGCUGUCGAUUUCGAAUGGUCCCCACGUUUCAAAUUGAUUUUAGUGUUCUUGCUGGGAGUAGGUUUGCACGCGGCUGAGAUUGGGUUUAUCUGUUUGUUGCAAAUGAAUGAAUUGAAUUGGUUGGUUUUUUAUUGGGGGUGGGUUUUGCAAGCAAGUUGAGUUGUUUGAUUGGUUUGAAGUUUUUUUUGUCUUGAUUGGGUUUUGUAAAAAAUGCUAGCAGAAUACUGACAAUGGAGGAGAAGGUGGAGGAAGGAAAAAGAAGGUGGAGGAGAUGAAUGAUUUUUUUGGUAGCUGAGUUAUUAUUAUUUAAUGAAAGGAGGUAAAUAAAAUUUACCUAACUAAGCUGACGUGACCAGUGAUUGUUAUGUGGCGUCGGACAUGGUAUCUUGAUGAUUUUCUUCUUACGGCGUUUCGUGUUUGGUUAACUAUAACGGUCAACGACAAAGUCAACUGAUUUUCGUUAGUGUGAUUUGAAUUUUGUCAGAAAAAAAUGUAUUUCGGAAAACAUGUGCCAGAUCAUUUGUCGGGUUAAAACAUUGCCAAUUGUGUUAGCUAAUUUUUCCUAAAAUAAGUUAGUGACAUUUUAUCAAGUCGAUCUACACUACAGGAAACUAGAUGUUUAACAACAUCAUUUUUUCUUGUUGACGACAACCAUUUCCUGUUGUUAUGUAUCAUAACGGCGGCUUUGAUUGCGCUAUUAAGAUUGCCAAUGCAAAGAGAUCCUACCAGCGAAAUAUUGGCCGCGGUUAAGUGGGGAAGCGUAACAGCGAAUAGCUGGCCGCUGUUAGGUUGCAUCCUAAUAGCGAAAUAUGACCGAUGUUAGACGAAAUUCUAAUAGUGGCAUUGUGUCCGUUGUAAGGAUUUCGCCUAACAGCAACUACAUAUCCUCAUAGUUUUCUUAUUAUUUUAUUUUUUUCGUUUGGCUAUUUUCCAUAUAUAUCCAACUUGUUCAAGUAAUUUUUUCGAUAGGUAGAUAGAAAUACAAAUUUGGGAAACACUUUGCUAAAUAUAAAACUAGUCAUUUUGAUUAAAUAUUUGAUUGUUAGGACACAUACUAAUUCCUUGGCUUAAACUACACCAUCCUUCUAAAGUAACUACUUGAUUCAUAGUUGUUCAUCCAACAUGUACAAUCCACUAAACAUAGACUACUCCUCUUGGUCGUAAUCAAGCUCAUCGUCCCUCUCAUUUGUUUCCAUCAUAGUGCUCGUUCACAUUUGUUUGCAUCAAAUGGCUGCCAUCAUACAUUUGGAUUUAGAACAUCUGCCUCAUCUCCUCCAAAUCAUGAGAUAAGCCAACUUGAGAGUUGGCAAGAUGAGCUAUACACCUACAAUACACCAAAUAAAAGUUAGUUUUUUUAUCCAAAAAAAUUUGCAUGACCAAUUCGAAUUCACGGUUUAACUUAUACUCUUUGAUCUACAAAAUGAACAAACGAUACUAGAUUUGGAAGGACAAGUUUCGACAGCUACAAUGAAUCAAGGAAACCUUUUACAUCUACAUUAUCAAAACAUAAUUGCAGAAUUAAAAGUAUAAACCAUGAGUAAGGUUGAAUGAUAAAAUUUUCACUAUUUAGAGGUGUCGGUUAAAAUGUGCAAAUUGGAUAAUAAAUUUGCAUGGGAAGGAUGAUUAUGUAGAUUACGUAAUAAACUAACAAAUACAUAUAUACUUAUGAUUUGAAUGGGACUUGUAAGUUAAAAUUGGAGGCGCCCCUCUUAAUUUGUACCUAUUGUAUGUUCACUAACCACCCAUAAUAAAAACAAGCAAGAAAAAUUGGAUUUGGUGGAUCACUCGAUGAAGAAACAAGAUUCGAAACUAGCCCUCAUAACUUGAUUAGGUGAAGUUUCUACCUAUAACAGUCCAACUUAGUGGUAGAAUUAAUUUAGGAUUAAUGCUGAAAAAUACAAAUACUUAUUCAUUUUGCUUUCACUCUAAAUCCUAAAUGGCGCACCACUGUUCCUGACUUCUCUUUUUUGUUCUUCGAACGUAUACGAUAUGCCCUCGCCAUAGCAUCCUCCUUGCUAACCCCAUGUUAGUAUUUGGUUCCUUCAUAAACUGUUUGACUUCAACCUAUAUUCAAUCUCAAAAUCUUAAAUAUAUUAGAAUUGCAUCUUAUCAACAAAAGGUCAAAACACAAUAAAAUUAUAUGCAACUUACAUAAAAGUCUCAAGUAACAUAUGUUUCAUCUUCUCUUUCAUAACACUUGAAAAAGAACUCAGAUCUUCUUACUUCUUUUCCUUUCGCUUUCUUCUACAUUAUACGUUCUACAAUCAAUACAAAUUAACUUCUCAUGACUUUUGGAACAUAAUAUAAAGACGAUUGAUGAGAUGCUUACUUACCAUCUCUUCACGAAUUAUAUUGAAAGGUUUUGACCCUUUCGUAUGAUAGAUGUCUUGAUUAGAACGAUACCUUGUUUCUUUGCAGAUGCAGUCUAUAAAACUGCUAGUAAUUGACAAAUGACAAUAAUAAAUAUCAUUAUAUCAAAUAUAAGUACAAAUGUAAAACUUACUAGAGUUGGCUUCCCCUCCUAUAUCUGCAAAACAUAUCCCACUCACGUUCAUCAAUAUUUGGUGGUUUCCUGUCUAAGUUGAGCUGAAGACCUUGAGUAGCAUCGAUAUUUGGUGGUUUCCUAUCACGUUCAUCGAUACUAAUCAAUUUUCUUUGGAUAUGACUAAUGUAAUGAAGAAGAUAGAAGAGAUUAAAUCUAAAACCCUUAUGAUUACCCUGCAUUCAUAAAGACUGCAAUGCAAUAUGUACAGAGAGGCGUGGACACAUAGCAAAGUCCUUACAAUUUUGACAAUUACCAUCCAAUACAAUUUUGUAAGCUACAGCUAACAUUCAUGAGCUAAUAAGUUUUGUCAGGUCGGUUACGAAAGAAAACACACUUAACUUCAUAAACAAUAAUAAAUUAUGAAAACCCCCAAAUCAAAGUUAGGGCUCAUCUAAAUCAUUAACAAAUCAUACAAACUGAUUUCAAUCUCAAAAUUAAACUUAGACCCAGCACUAUAAAUAAGAUGUCUAACCUAAAGCUAGAACAAAACACUUCCAAUUCACUAAACGGAAAACAUUUCAAAGAUCUAGAUUUUACUAACCUUUCAAUUUUCUUGCUAACACAAGAUGACUGAUUGAGAUGAUGGACAGGAACCAAAAUGAGCCGCAGCUGGAAGGCCGGAGCAAGCGACGCCGGCACGAAGAAGAAAAACGCCAGCGAACGGCCGUUGGUGAAGAUACUAUCUGGCUGUGUCCUUUGUUCAAUUUGGGGAAAGUUGGGUUUUUACGUGGUGUUGGGGGGUUAUAUGUAUUUGGAGUUUCGUUUAUAUUAAUAUAAUGAAGAAUUAAGUCUCAUUUUGUUUGGGGCUUUAAAUUAAUAACCCAACGUCGGCUUGAUUCUCUACAUAGCCGCUGAUAGGAUUACUCUUAGCAGCUGCCAUCUAAAUAAGAGCCACUGUUAAGUUGUUGUAUUCCAUCAUAUUUUUUAAUUAUUAUCCUAACAUCGGCCAAUAUUAAUCAGGGCCGAUGUUAGGUAGUAAUAACGUAUCAGUAGCCUUCCAUUUAUUGUUAGGAUAUUGACCUAACAUUGAGACCAUGUCCGUUGUUAAAUUUUGUAUGUUAAAAUAUCCUAACUGCAGGUCUAUGUGGCUACAGUUAAAUUGGCAAUAUUAGGUAGUCAGUUUCUUGUAAUGCUACCUUGUUUAUCAUAGAAAAUUUGUUAUGACAAACGUGAUUGUUGUUGUUACAUAACAACACUCUAAUUUUCCAUCUAUUUUUAAUUUUAAAAAUUUGACAGUCUUAAUUUGUUGAAUAUUUUUAAUCUUUUUUACAUUUUUAUCUCUCAUAAAUAUGUCCUAAUUUUUAGUUAAAGAAUCCUCAUUCAAUUUCUAUUUCUAUUUCUAUUUUUUUACCUAUAUUUAAUUAAGUUAAUAACUUAAUAUUUCCUUAAUUGCUUUUUACAGGUUGUCAACGGAGUUCUGGUACUCCCAACAAGUGAGAAGAACGAUCAGAUUAGUAACAGAGCACAAACAAAGGUACAAAAUAAAUUACCAUAUCACAGUCUCAGGUAUAUAACUCCAUACAAUAGCACAUUCAUGGGUACAUAACUAGACAAAAAUUAAUCAAAAAUUGAUACUUCAAUACACGAGGUAUAAAAUGCAGUACCAUAUCACAAACCCCUUUUUUUUUUUUUUUUUUUUUUUUUUUUUUUUUUUUUUUUUUUUUUUUUUUUUUUUUUUUUUUUUUUUUUUUUUUUUUUUUUUUUUUUUUUUUUUUUUUUUUUUUUUUUUUUUUUUUUUUUUUUUUUUUUUUUUUUUUUUUUUUUUUUUUUUUUUUUUUUUUUUUUUUUUUUUUUUUUUUUAUUUUUUUUCUUUUUUUUUUAUUGUCUGUUUUUUUCUUUUAUCCUGUUUUUCUUCCUUUUCAAGAUCUUGAAAAGAGAGAGAAAAUGAGAGAGAGAGAAUGAGAAAGAGAAAACGAGGGAAAGAGAAUGAGAGCAAGAGAGAGAGAGAGGAGGAGAAAUUUUUGGAGUUUUUUUAUUUUUAGUGGCUUUGAUAUUGAAAAUACUAUAUAAAGAAUUUUAGAUGAAAUCAGUCAGUUGAUACAAUUAUUGUUGUUAUGUGCUAUUAUCGUAUGAUAAGCGGGUGGGGCUUUUCUUGUUUUCGUAAACAUCAAGAUUUUAUUGGUUGGGUCUAUGAUUCCAGCCUACAUGAUACUCAAAAGGGCCCUGGUUCAUCUGGAAAUGAAAAGUGCUUUAUGAACGUUUGGAUUGGUGCUUCCUUGACUCGGUUUGGUAACUUCAAUUUCUACCCACCUAUAUCGUGUUAAGUCGGAUCACCGACCUAUUUUCAUGGUUGCGACCAAGCUCAAGAAGUCAAAUCUUCCUCAUACCUUUCGCUUUAUGGCUUCAUGGUUGUCACAUGUUGAGUUUAAGCCUUUUUUUGUCGGAAUGGAAUCGGUCUUUUACCUUUAUUCAUCAGAUGUCCAUUCGAGCUACCAAACUGAAAAAAUGAAAUAAGGAAAUUUUUGGCAACAUCCAAACGAAUAGAAGGAGCUUAUCUUUAAACUUGCUGAUGUUUAAGCUCUCGCAGCUCCUCUACUCAUUCAAGACACCACAAUGGACAUUGCAAGUGACCGGAAUACUCAUUUUUUUCACGUAUCCACCUUCCGUAGGCGUGCUCGGAACCACAUUAUUAAGUGAAGGAUGACUGUGGGGUGUGUAUUCAUUAGGUUUGGGAGUCGGUUAAUUUGGUUAAUAACCAUCGGUUAAUGGUCGGGAAGCGCUUUGAUGAUUGAAAUUAAUUAACCAAAUUAACCGACCGAGCAAAAGCCACGGUUAAUCUUACCGACCGAUAACCGACCAAUCAGUUAAAUGAUCGAUUAUUAACAGACUGACUCUCGGUUAACCGUUGUAACCGGCUCUGACCAAUUUAACUCUCUUCUCAUAUUGCAACAAGAUUCUAGGCUCUGGCUCUAGAUCCGUCGUCGAUUCAAGCCUUGGAGACCAUAGCUUCUCUUCUGGAAACAAUCCGGUGCUCUACAACUUGAUCCUUCGGGACUGGAAGCUUUCCGAGACGGCGUUGUUGCGGAUCAGUAAGGAGAGGAGGAAGCUUCAAGCCUAUGGUGUUGCAGAUCGAAGAAUUGAGAGAGUGGAGGAGGAGAGGAUUGGCCGUGGCGACGAAGGAAGCAUGUGGUGUUGCAGAUCGAAGAAUCGAGAGAGUGGAGGAGGAGAGGAGCGCUUGCGGUGACUCGUCGUGGUCGUCGUCGUGACUGCCGGCGAGAUGCUGAAAUUGAAUCGCUUGGAUUGAUAGAGUUGUCGAGAUGGAUUGAUGGAGUUGUCGAGAUGGAUUGAUGGAGAUGGCUCGGAGUUAACCUAAUUUCAGAAUGAGAGGUUGUGAUGGAGUGGGAGGCUGGGAGGGGAGGGAGCGAUUCUGCGAUUGUGGUGAGCAAAGCUUGAUUUCCUAAUUGGGGACCUUGGUUUUUUUAAUUACCGGUUAACGUUGGUUAACUCGAGUUAACCAACGAUUUUACCCUGCUCCAACAAGUACUCCCAACUGUUCCCCGACCGACCCCUACCUCGGUUAAACCGACACUCUAACCGAGUCGAUCAGUUCAUCUGUUUAACCUAUUAACCGAGACUGAUGGCCCACCCUUAGUAUUCAUCCAGCUUGUUGCUGCAAUUAGUGUCGUAUUGAUAUGGUUGAGAGAGGAUAAAAUAUGCUUGAUUUCAAGUUCUCCAACUUGAAAGGUUUAGCUGUUAAAAAUGUAGAGGUCAUGACUGAGUACUGAUUUCCAGCAAGGAGAAGUUGGAUAUUUGCUUGCGAUAAAAAAGAAUUUGGACAGUCUAUCUUAGGCACAAAAUCUAACGGAUGAGAUGGCAACUUUACUUCAGGGGCCUAUUGGUCAUUUUAAAAUUUUCUUGUUUUUCAGUUUAUUUUUCCAUUCUGUUUAAUAUUGGUUCAAGUAAAAUGAUUUCUUGUAAAUUGGGUCUAUUGAGUAACGUGGGUGGGUAGACUUUAUUGCUCCCAUCGAGCUUGACGUGAUAUUUUCUUCUUCGUUUCUUUAACAUGCAUAAAUUGUAUAUAAUACGAAAGGUUGGAAAUAUAUGUGAAGCUCGAGGUUUAUUAUAUAUGUUUCGAGGUUUAUUAUAUAUGUUGAACCUUUUUGCCAAUUGGUUAUUUUUAUCAUGUAGUGCCUUAUCAAGUAAAGGGAAUGGUUGUUUUUAUCUACUGUCACUAGCCAACUUUCUUUCUCAUGUGAUCAAUUAUUUGAUCACGCAUGAAUGACUACAGUACACAAAAGAUAGAAAUAUUAUAAAAACAAAAAACAAAUAUUAAAAAAAAAUACCUAAAAAGCAGGUACAUAACAACAAAAACAAUAACCGUAAAUAUCAAGUACAUGAAAGCGGAUGCUCAAAAUAAGCACGCACACAUUAAAAACUUUGGUACAUACAAGGCAAGAAAAUCGAGAACAUAUUGGAACUCGAGUACCGGAAUUGGUACGGUAUUAAGUACAACGUGAAGAAAUAUCAAGUACAUUAAAAAGCGAGUAUAUAACAAUAGAAAUAAGUACACGAAAACAACUCAGAGAAAUGAUAAUUUGAUUGCCAAAAUUGAGUAUGAUAAAGUAAAAUGCAAGCACGUAGUACAUGAAACAAAUAUGAGUAAGAGUACAUAAAUUUUUUAGUACAAUACAAGACAAAAACUCAAAUACAUAUAAAAACUGGACACUAAAAAAAAUAAUUAAUUAUUCACAAUUUUAAAUAAUAAUAGUCACGAUUUUUAUCAUGAUUAACAGAAGCUAGUCACGAAAAUAAAUCCGUAACUAACCUAACCGAUGCUAGAUGAACUUGUCACGAAUCUGAAUAACCUGUAACUAAGUUGUCACCGAAAUUUUCCGUGACCAACUCAUCACGGAAGAAACCGUGAACAUAUGUGUUUUUGUUUUUGUUUUUUAAAUUAGUGGCACGGAGCCAUAUGCUGUGAUAAUUGAUUUAUUAAUAAAUUAAUCCCACAUCUCCGUGGCUACUAUAUCACCAGAAUUUCCAGAUUCCGGCAACCACAAUUUCCAGAAUCCGGCAAUAAGAUAGAGUUGAUAAUUGCUUUUUUAUUAGAGUAAAAUGUUCUACAUCUAUACAUUAUGAUACCCAUAUCAAAAUUCCAGAAUCCCAAAAUUGAACAUAACGUCAACGAAAGGCACCAUGCAACAAUGGUGACACUAAGGGUUACAACAACCAGCAAAACCGAAACACAGACUGGAAAUGCUACCAAGAGAAGGAUGAGACUAGAUGAUGAGAUUGAGAUUGAGAGAAGAAAAAUGAUAGUAAGAAAUUUUGUUUUCGAGAGAGAUCAAAUGAAGAUGAGAUCUACUUCUAAUUUAAUAUAAUGGAAAUGGAGAUAUGGUUGUUUAAUGGCAAAGAGAGAAGAAAGGAAUAGCCCAUUAAACGAGGAUAGAGUCUGCAUCAUUUCUUUUUUCGACCUUUUCCCACUAAAAUGCUAAUUUUAAAAUUAUAAAUAAAAGUUGGUCACGGUUCCAACAUUUACCGUGAGUAGUUGGUCGCGGUAUUCAACAAUCCAUGACUAGUUAUGGAUUUUUUUUUAUCUAUAAGUAGUUAGUCAUGGUUUUUAAAGCCGUGAUUAAUAAAUCGUGAUUAAUCGUUGAUUUUUUUUGUAGUGCGAGUAUGAGUAUUGAGUAAAACGUCAUGUACAAAAACAAGUACAUCAAAAGCGAGUACAUAAUUAUCAAAACAAGUACUAAAACGAGAGGAAAAGUACAUAAAAAGCGAGUAUAUAAUAAUAGAAACAAGUGCAGUAAAAAUCAAGUGCAUGAAAGGAAAACGAAACUCAAACUAAACACUAAUACAAAAAAAACUUUAGUACGCAAAUAAGUAAAUACAAGAAAAUUAACAUACACAAACGAAUACAUAAGAGUAUAGUGUUUAAACAAAGCGAUUAUACGGAUCAAUACGAUGUUGAGUACAAAACAACAACUUGAGGCUUUAUCCCUCAUUUUUAGAUGAUUUUGUACUAAGUUCUUAUAUGUAUUAGUUUUUAUUAAUGUAAUCCCUCGUGUACUUUGUCUUUGGAUUUAUUUUUAUGCCAUAUCUAUUUAUUUACGCAUUUGUGUAUACUUAUAUUUUUAGAACUUUAUACUCAAAUCAAUUAAUCAAACAAUAAAACUAUUUUCUCUUUACACGAACCAACAUAAUAACCCAUCACCCCAUACAGGGUUGUGAAGGAGGUGCAGUGACCAGAAUUUUCUAGUUGUUGCUUUUCUAUAGUUUGAUAAGGGUAAGCAUCUUGUUCUAGAAUAUAUGUUGUUAGGUUAUAACAAUGCAUCUAGUUGAGCAUGAUUCUUUGGUCAAGUGUUACUGGGAUUCUUUUUGUUCCACAUCAAUGCUCGGAGGUCGAAGAGGCAACGAGGGUGACGAAGAAAUCGGCAUCACCACGUGAGAGAAGAUGAAGAAGAGGUCAGAGAGUGGAGCCGGUGGAAAAGAUAUACUAGAAGAGGUACUUAAAGUUACUUGUACGACAAAACUGCCCUUAUUCAAUUGGACAACCCCUAGAUUAAAAUUUAAAAAUGAACGGACGCGAUUCGUUUGCGGCCAGCAAACACAUAAUAUCAUGGCUGCCUAUCCGGACUCGUCAUAACUGGCGUCAACAUUACGUAGUGUUGUCAAAAAUUAAAAAGGGGAAUAUAUAAUAAUAAUAAUAACAGACGUAAUCUUGUGUAUAUAAUGAUAUUAAAACGUUUUUCAAUCGACAAAGCCAAGUCUGCGGGAGGAACAGCUAAUGGACGAACAGCCUAAGCAUAAGCCGCCUUCUUCGUAUUCUUCAGAUUCUCUGAAUCUCUACCCUUUUUUUUUGUUACGCGGAUUCCCUUCCCUCGUCUGCAAACAAAAAGCUCUUCGUUGACUUUUUAGCAGGCUUUUUUAAAAAACCUUAAUUGAAAAAAUUUGUACAUGGUUGUUGCCUUUGUUGGCGUCAGCAUGACCCAAUGCUGUUGUCAUGUUCAUGAUUGCUCCAACUCACCUGGCUGCGCAUCUGCCUUCUGACCUGACCUGCCCUCCUCCUUUUUUUUAAAUUAUGUUUCCCCAAAAUUAAAUUUAAAUCGUUACAAAAUUGGUCUCUCCUUCUCCUAUAUAUAACGUGGAAGAGCUCCUGCCAAAAAAGUCAUUCAAACUCAAAGCAGAUAAAUUAUCAAAAUAAAAAAGAAAACCCCAGUGCUCUGCCUGCCGUUAAGAAAUUAGUUUAUUGGGUUUGUUGUGUUUAUGAAAGCUGUGUUCCAGAGACUGAUAUCGUCAAGCACCCAGAUUGGCUGUAGGAAGAAAGUUGCAUCUUUUCCAUUAAUCAGAAGCGCUAAUAUGUCUGAAUCCUCUGCCUUUGAUUCUCCGAGAUUGGUGACCAAGAAGGUCCUUGCUAAGCUUCAGCGUGAAGGGGAUGGUGCUUCUGUCAGGAGAAGCAUUGGAAGGUAUAAUAUAAUAUAUCAUGGAUGGAUGGAUGGAUAUACAAUUUUCUUCUUGUCAAAAUUGAAUUAACUGUUUUCGUUUCUGUGGUGAAAUUGAAUGAUUGAAUGUUGAAUUAUUUUGGUUCAGGAGUGAGCUCAGGUCUCUGGACCCUUUCCUCAUGUUGGAUGAGUUUUCAGGUCUGCUUUGCUUAAUUACUUGAAACCAAAUUCCUUGAUAUUUUCUAGAAUUAGGAUGAUGAUGGAUGAUGGAUGGUAUUUAAUUUGUUGUUGCAAAUUGCAAUGCAUGAAGUCUCAGCUCCUGCUGGAUUUCCUGAUCAUCCACACAGAGGUUUUGAGACUGUUACAUACAUGCUGGAGGUACAGACAGUACUGGAGUUAAUUAUUUAUUAUGAAUUGAAGGCUGUUUUUUGUCCUUGGUAGUCUAUUUAUUGAUGUCUGUGAAAUUCGUGGGUGGCACUGGCAGGGAUCAUUCACUCAUCAAGAUUUUUCUGGGCAUAGAGGGACUAUUCAUGCCGGGGAUGUUCAAGUAAAAUAAUUCACUCAAUUACAAUACUACGACGUUUACUUAAUUAGCUAGCUUUACUUGAUCAAAGUCAAAAACUCUUUCUUUUUUUAAAGUAAACAACAACAACAACUUGUGUGUUUUCCUGUUGGGCAGUGGAUGACAGCAGGUAGAGGGAUAGUCCAUUCAGAAAUGCCUGCAGGAGAAGGAGUCCAGAGAGGCCUUCAGCUUUGGAUAAACCUCUCUUCUCAACAUAAAAUGUAUGUUUUUAUUUCCUUUUUUGUUUGUACUUUCCAACUUCACCAUUCCAACAGUUUGUAAUAUGGAACCAACAGGAUUGAGCCAAGGUAUCAGGAACUUCUGAGGCAGGACAUCAAAAGAGCAGAGAAAGACGGGGUUGAAGUCCGAAUCAUAGCAGGGGAAUCAAUGGAAAUCGAGUCUCCAGUUUAUACAAGGACCCCAACAAUGUACCUUGAUUUCACACUGCAACCAAGGUCCCAAAUGCACCAGCCCAUUCCAGAAUUAUGGAACGCAUUCAUUUACGUCAUUGAAGGUGAGGGAGUGUUUGGGAUCCCAAACUCCUCACCAGUUGAAGCACAUCAUACACUCGUUCUAGGCCCUGGUGAAGGAAUGAGCGCCUGGAACAACUCCUCUUCCAAACCCUUGAGGUUUGUCUUGAUUGCAGGCCAGCCACUUAACCAACCAGUGGUGCAGCAUGGUCCUUUUGUCAUGAACACAGAAUCUGAAAUCCACCAAGCAAUUGAAGAUUACCACUACUCCAAAAAUGGGUUUGAAAUGGCGCAGUAUUGGAGUUCCCAAUAGGGAACAAGUAAGUGCUUGGAUCACUCAAAACCAAAUCUCCACAUUCCCUCUCAACUUUGAAGAAGAAAAGAGUAAAGAAUAAAAAUACACAUCCACAAACACUAAAGGCCACACGCAUAUGUGAGUGAUACUCAUUUGUGUUCCAUCAUGUAUUAAUUUAGCUUUUAUCCUCUUCCAACCUUUUACUAUUCCAAAUCAAAAGGUUGAUUAUUGCAUUGUCACACAAAACAAUGAUAAUAAAAAUACUCAAUUCAUAUAAUCCUUAGAAUUAAUUCUUUUCAUAACUAUAGUAGAUGUUUGAACAAGUGAGAACAAAAUAUAAGCUUAAUCUUAAUAGUAAUAUCAACGGAUAAUAGCACUGUGUGUCACUUAAUUAUUACCCAUGUCGCACAUAAACUACUUAACUUUCUACAUUGCACAUAAAGCCACUUAACUUUGCUUAUGCUUGCAACAUCCAAAUUUUCAUUCAAUUUAUGGAUAGACUGAUCGAAUUGAUGAGUUCUUAUUCGAGAUCUUCUGUAUGAAUAACCUCCAACACAUUAAAGAGAACAAUAAUUUAUAAGAACUGACAGAAUAACUUAUUACUUGUUUACAGAAAAGAAUGAUAAAAUAAAAAGGCAAGAAUAGAUUAUAAUCAUGCCUUGGACACUGCUUUCGAAAAAAUAUUUCCCGAAUUUAGAACACCAAUACAACUAAAGGUUAAUCACAAUAUUCACUCAAACUCUAGUGUAGGGCUUGAAUGUUGGAACUUGGAAACUUAUGCUAUUUUGAUUCCGAUUUUGAGAGUGAAAACAAAGUUUUCUGCCCAUAUUAAUCAACUAGGAUUUCCCUUUUUAAAGAGAACGCAUCCACUAACCAACAUCAAAUCCAGAUUCUCCUUUCUGAUGAUCAUCAAUGAUAAGCAGAUAUGGGGAAGGUGGAGUUGAGCUCCCGAUUUCUAGGAAGCCAACCAAAUACUUCUGUUAAGCAUAAGUCUUGAGUAUAUGCGGUAUGUAACUGAUCAUUACUGUUACUUCAAGUGGUUAGAUAAUGGUUACAUCAUCUUGCUGUUGUCCGUUGAUGACAUGUUGAUAGCAAGUUCUAUUGUAAAAGAAGUAAACAAGUUGAAGAAACAGUUAUCUAACAGUUUACUAUUAAGAAUAUAGGAGACGCUAAACAGAUUUUGAGUAUGUGCAUUGAUCAUGAUAGGCAAGUAGGAAAGUUUUAUCUUUCGCAAGUUGAAUAUAUCAAGAAAGUCUUGAAGAGGUUCAAAAUGCAGGAUGCAAAACUAGUAAAGAUUCCUUUGGGUGGCUAUUUCAAGCUAUUUGAGAAGGAUAUGCCUAAUAAUGAUCCAGAACGUGCCCAAAUGCACGAAACACCAUACAUUUUUGUAAUUGAUAGCUUGAUGUAUGGAAUGGUGUGCACAAUACCAGAAAUUGCACAUGUAGUGGGAGUUGUCAAUAGAUUCAUGGGAAAUCGGGGGGAAGCGAUUAAGUACUCCUGAGAUAGUUGAAGAUUACUACUAAAAGGGUCUUGGGCUUUGAGGGCAAAGUAAUGUAGUUAGAAGGAUUUGUCAUCAAGUGACCUUGAUAGAAGAAGAUGUACAACAUGGUAUAUUUUUACUCUUUGAGGUACCAUGGUUUCUUGGGCUUUUAAGUUGCACUGUCUAACACUCAAGCUAAAUAUGUUGCGGUAACGAAGGCCAGCAAAGAGAUGGUAUGGUUUUAGAAUUUCUUUGGUGAAUUGGGGAAGAAGAAAGAGGAUAGCAUAUUGUACAUUAGUCUUAUACACUUGCAAAAAAUUCAGCAUUUCAUUCAAAAUCGAAGCUCAUAUUGAGUUGAUGUAUCACUUUAUGGGUUGAUCUCUUGGAAAGGAAGAUCUUACGGCUUAUGAAGAUUCUAGGAAGUGAGAAUCCUAUGGAUAUGCCGACUAAGGUUGUAAAGUUGGAGAAGUUGACACUGUGUAUGACUUUAACUGGUUUUGUAACUGAAGUUGAAGGUCAGAUGCUGCUUGUAGUAGGAAGACGUUGAACAUGGAGAACCAAUGAGAGGAGUAUGUCUUCAGGUGGGAGAUUGUUGGGUUAUGGUGCCUAAGAAACUGAAGGCUUGGUCCAGUUAGUUUGUUUAGUUAGAUAAAAAUUAAGAUUAAUCUUGUCUAUUCUAUAUAGGAUUAGAAUUAAUAUGGUAGCUCCCUAUAAAUAAUCUAUAUUCAUAUCAUUGUAAUCUGUAUCACAACAAUAGUAGUCGAAAUCCUAACUUGGUUUGUAAAAAAAGAAAUUCUAGCGUGGUAGCGCCCUAGACAUACUCUUCUCGUGAAGAGGAACUAGGUUCUUAAUUUUUCAGUUUAUGAUUGCGUUUCAUUUUUUACAGGAACGACCAGAUCCAGCUCAGAAACUUCCUCAAGAUGGCGACGUUGAAGAAGCUCUGUCUCGCUAACGCCUAACAAUGGCUUCUCUAGACUGAUUCAGACUGUCCUCACCGCUGGAAAAGGAGAUUAGAUAGAAAUCCAUCUUUUAUUCCUCUUCAUUGUUUUUAUGACAAUUUCUUCUUUUCUUUUAUAAUAGAGAACUAUUUAUCACUUUUGUUGGACAUUUCUUGUUUGUUUCCCUCAAGAACUAAUAAUUUUGGUCAAUGGGUGACCACUGAUGAUGUUGAUUCUAUAAGCUUUAGUAUUUAGUCAAAUUCUUGAGUUUUUUUCAACUAGAAAAAAAAAGAAGAGAGGUUACAGUUUCAAUUAUUAAGUUUGAAGAAUUAAAGAAAAAAAACUAGACUACAGAUAUGAAAAGGUAAUUCUGAUAAUUUUUAUUGAUGAAUUUUUUUUUUGUAAUGAGUAAGAUAAUUUUUUAGGUUUUAUAAAUGGGUUUUUGGUUAAAAAUCUCAUUUAGAUAGAGUUUUUGAUGGGUAAUUAUGAAAUUUGACAUAAAGGGUACAUGAUUAAAAAGGUGGGAAAGGAAGAUGCGAAAAGAAGGUAAGAAGGAAUCAAUUCAUGGCAAAAAAGAAAAAUAAAUAAGAGGGAAGAAAGAAGACAUAUAUUGAUGGGAGGCGGAGGUGGGAUAGGGAGGUGAGAGAAAGAUGUAACAACAAAGAAGGGUUUAGCGAAAGGUGNNNNNNNNNNNNNNNNNNNNNNNNNNNNNNNNNNNNNNNNNNNNNNNNNNNNNNNNNNNNNNNNNNNNNNNNNNNNNNNNNNNNNNNNNNNNNNNNNNNNNNNNNNNNNNNNNNNNNNNNNNNNNNNNNNNNNNNNNNNNNNNNNNNNNNNNNNNNNNNNNNNNNNNNNNNNNNNNNNNNNNNNNNNNNNNNNNNNNNNNNNNNNNNNNNNNNNNNNNNNNNNNNNNNNNNNNNNNNNNNNNNNNNNNNNNNNNNNNNNNNNNNNNNNNNNNNNNNNNNNNNNNNNNNNNNNNNNNNNNNNNNNNNNNNNNNNNNNNNNNNNNNNNNNNNNNNNNNNNNNNNNNNNNNNNNNNNNNNNNNNNNNNNNNNNNNNNNNNNNNNNNNNNNNNNNNNNNNNNNNNNNNNNNNNNNNNNNNNNNNNNNNNNNNNNNNNNNNNNNNNNNNNNNNNNNNNNNNNNNNNNNNNNNNNNNNNNNNNNNNNNNNNNNNNNNNNNNNNNNNNNNNNNNNNNNNNNNNNNNNNNNNNNNNNNNNNNNNNNNNNNNNNNNNNNNNNNNNNNNNNNNNNNNNNNNNNNNNNNNNNNNNNNNNNNNNNNNNNNNNNNNNNNNNNNNNNNNNNNNNNNNNNNNNNNNNNNNNNNNNNNNNNNNNNNNNNNNNNNNNNNNNNNNNNNNNNNNNNNNNNNNNNNNNNNNNNNNNNNNNNNNNNNNNNNNNNNNNNNNNNNNNNNNNNNNNNNNNNNNNNNNNNNNNNNNNNNNNNNNNNNNNNNNNNNNNNNNNNNNNNNNNNNNNNNNNNNNNNNNNNNNNNNNNNNAUGGGUUUGUGGUUAAAAAUCUCAUUUAGAUAGAGUUUUUGAUGGGUAAUUAUGAAAUUUGACAUAAAGGGUACAUGAUUAAAAAGGUGGGAAAGGAAGAUGCGAAAAGAAGGUAAGAAGGAAUCAAUUCAUGGCAAAAAAGAAAAAUAAAUAAGAGGGAAGAAAGAAGACAUAUAUUGAUGGGAGGCGGAGGUGGGAUAGGGAGGUGAGAGAAAGAUGUAACAACAAAGAAGGGUUUAGCGAAAGGUGAUAUAAACAAAAUUAAUUUUGUAAGAAAAUAUUUUUUUUAAUGCCAUGUCAACUAGUUUGUAACUUUUAGUGUCCAUGUCAACAAACAAAAUUUUAUAAAGUUACCAAAAUUCAAAAUUUGUGUUACGAAAAGUAUUUCUAAUAGAUUGUGCCAUUUUCGGUAAAGGCUUAAUAGGUUGUGCAUUUAAGAAAAAAAAUAUUAUUGUGUUUCUACAAUUAACAUCAAUUAUCACCAAACCAUUAAAUACUAAAAACCAAUUAAGAUAUAGUCAUGUUACAAAAAAUGACUCUUGUUAUGAUUUUUUUGUUUAUGCAAUGAUAGGAUGAGAUUAAAAGGUUAAUUUCUUUUUCGACAAAACUUGUAAAAUAUUAUUAAACUCAAUUAGAUAUAAUAUCAUCUACAGUUGGUCAAUCAAAAAAAUUGAGGGUCUAUCCACCGAAACAAUCGUGGAGUUCCAAUGAGUCUGAUUAUACGCCAUAACAUGGGUAAGCUUGUUAACUUAUCUCCGGCCAUGACGCCAAUUACCACAAUCAAACUUUGCCAAAAGGCAACGAAUUAUGGACUAAAAUCCAUGUUCGGUAUGAUGAUCUUCCACAUGAUGCAAAGUCUCAACCAUGAUCAAGCUAUCACUUUCAAGAACCACAUUAGGAUACCUAUGUUGCAAGGCCAAUUGUUAGCAAAAUCUUGCCUCGACCGCCUCAGUUAAAGUAGGCUCAUAGCAACCCUACAAUUUCAACAUAUCCGCCAUUAAGUAAUGCCGAACGCCAUCCCAGAUAACCACCCCAAUACCCAUUCUGGAUCCUGUAAUGAUAGUUGCGUUUAAGGUAGUGAAACUGGUGAGUCAACAUGGGAUCGAAAAGGGACCUAGAAUCGUAAUCGUAAAAUCAAAUCGCAAAAUCAUAAAAUUUCACGGUUCUUCAAUAAUACUAAAUAUUCAGAAAUUCACCUUAGCAUAAAGACGUAAGUUCAUUAUCCAAUCUAAAAUUAAAAAUAAAAUCUCAAAUUCACCUUAAUAGGUUCUUCAGUUGCACUACUUUGAGCUGAUUUUCGAGUCUAGGAGACCGGAGACAAAAUCUGUGAACAAAAUUGUACAAUCUUACAACAAAAAACAAAAUACCUUCGAACAAAGAACCUAAACACCAAAAAUCCAAAACUAAUCUAACAAAAACAGAAUUAGAGAAAGGAAUGGGAUGAUGAGCAAAAUCAUGGAAUGGGAUGAUGAAGAAUCAUGGAAUCAAGGAAACAGAGAUACCUUCGAGCCGUAGGAGUGGCUGGAGCGAUGGGGACGACCAAAGAGGCUAUGACGAGGACCAUUGACUCCUGGUUCUGGUCUUCUAGACUUCUGGGGGACGACCGACGGGGGAGACGACAAGAGAGAAGACUGAGGAUCGAGCAGAGAUCGAACGAGCAAUCGACGACUUGCACAAUUUUUUUCAGAAGAUAAAUGAAUUUAAGGUUCGAUUUUUUGCCCAAAAUUGAACUCGGAUUUCCGUUUCGGUUCGAACCGAAGCAUAAAAACCAGCGGUCAGCACAGAGUAGUGGACUCGUGAAUCGUUGUAAACUCGUUCGAUUCCACGAUUUUCACGAUUUUGCGAGCGAUUUCAUGCCAUUAUAAGCCAUUUUGAUUGCGCGUGAAAUCUGACUCGACGGACCUAACAAAACUCGUAAAAUCGUCGAUUCCACUUCCUUCGUUGUGUAUGUACUGAUAUGGGGUUCCUGGUUUAGUGGUUGAACCGGGGUUGGACCGUUUUUAAACCGGGUCGGCCAUUUUAAAUAUUACAUAAAGUUAAAUCGGACCGAAAAAAUAUUGGAUUGAACGAAAUCAAACUGACAGUACAAAUAGUCAAAUUUUGAGAUUUAACCUUUGAAAAUUGAACAAUUUUAAAAAAUUUAUGUACAUUAUGAUGUUAUUCUUUUUUAAGUUUAUGUAAUAUAAUGAUAUUAUCUAUAGUUGAAGUCUUCCACACAUAUAUAUCUAGAAUGCUAAAGAAACCCUAAUGGAUCUUUCAAUCUUUCUUUAAUUGGGCUCCAACUACUCAAUACCCUCUCUCACACUUUUUUUCUCUAUAGAGAAACUCUCUCCCUUUUUCAUCAGAUUUUUUUCUCCUUGUAAUCUAAUCUUAUUUUUCUAAUAUUUUCAUUCUAUUUCUUCCCUAUUUGUCUCUUUUACUUUUUUCUUUUUGGAAGGUUAUUAGAAAAAGAGGACCACUAAAUAAUUCCGUCGACGUCCAGCAAUAGGGUUUUCCAAUUUUUUCACAGAUGGAUCCAUGUUUCCAAAGUUCUUUUGUUUUUUUUUCUGAUCUGAUAGUUGGUUCUUUAACUAGUUGAAUUAUCUGGUUUUCCGGGGAAAUCGGGUCAAUCCUCAGUUUUGUUCAUUCUCCUCAACCGCUAACUCAGUAUUGAUCAAAUGAUCGGUUCACAGUCGGACCGGCCGGGCUGAUAUGGUUUUGCUAACAUUGAUCUUAGUAGAGCCGACUAGAGGCCAUUCCAACCGAGCCACAAUGGCCUCAUACGAAAAACUCCUAGUUACCCUGAGUUCUUGAUAAUAAAUAAGAAUUGGAGUGCUUGUGCUAUGAUAUCACACUCCAAUUAGUGAAACUCAUUAAGCAUACACACAUUCCUUUCUUUCCAUCAGAAUCACAUAAGCAUUACCCAUCUUUCCAACUCCAAAUUCAAAACUUUGCGGUUGCUAAGUGAGAACCAAUCGCAUCAGUCAUUAGAAUCAUCAAAAUCAACCAGUGAUCAUGUUUAGAGUUACCUCAAAUCCGCCAAGUCCAUUGGCAAUCUCGGAAAUAGUGAAUUUGCAGGCAACCUGCAAAAUGGGCAUAUAUCACCAUGUCGAGGAUUAUGCUUAUACAUAUUAUACCUGUAGGUAAAAUUUACGAUGAAAUUUUCAUAAGAACUGCUCACCUUCGACGGAAUCUACAAUGACCAAGAACAAUUCCAAACAUCCGAGUUGCAAUUUGGAUUAAGACCCACUAAAAGAAAACCGUGUCCAUUAUUACGGAUAAAACCGGCCGUUGUCACUGAUAUUUCCAUGUCCCUGCCUCGUUGUCGCGGGAAAAUCAUCCGCGACAACGGGCGCCUUCAUAAUGAGGGGUGNNNNNNNNNNNNNNNNNNNNNNNNNNNNNNNNNNNNNNNNNNNNNNNNNNNNNNNNNNNNNNNNNNNNNNNNACGGCCGCCUUCAUAAUGAGGGUUGUGGGGACUAAACUAUCCGCGAAAAAUAGGGUUGGCGCGAACCCGUUAUGACCGGUUUGGUUCAAAUAGUUAGGUUGAAAGGCAUUUUAACAAGUUUAUCCGCAAAAACGGCAAGAGAUAUCCGCGACAAUGGCUAACAACAUUUGUUUUGCCGUCAUAACGGUUCCCCUAACGACGUUGAGUUUAUCCACGGCCAAGGUUGACAUUGUUAGUUUCUCCAUCCUACCCGUAAUGGUUGUUGUGCCAAAUACUAGGCCAUAAUAUCUGCGACAACAGCUCAAGUACUGCCUAAAAUUUUGUUAUUUUUGCUUGUUUCGUCCACUGUGGGCGCCUAAAAUAAAAGUUUAUAUAUGCACUAUUCUACACAUAACACAAUAUAUACCAAUAUCAUUAGCAUAACGAUAACACAUAUGAUCAUCCAAGAGUUAAUACUAUAACAUAAUCCAUAGAUCUACUCCAACAUAAUUCCUUGAUUUUUUACCUAACUAAAGUCAUUAGUUCACUAGACUACAUCACUAUCAACCUAGAUAUAACUACACUAGAGACUCGUCAUCCUCAUCCUCGUCAUUAUGACCAAGAUCCUUAUUAGCUCAAGUAUACAAAAGAAGAUAUAUAAAAUUGAAAUUAGGUUAAAACACAUAAAAUUAAGUAACAUGAACUUUAUAACAUAUAAAGAUUACUAAUAAUUUACCCGCCACAUCGUAGUCGUAGUUCUGUUGGAUGUGGUUAUAUUAUAUUAACCGCUACAAUCGUCGUUACGGAUCAUUAUCCGUGUCCGACGAUGACCUAACCGUGACACCCGUUAUCGCGGAUAUUAUCCCCCAUAACUAAUCUACGUCAGACAUCAAAUUUUGUUGUAGUGGCCAAGCUAUUCUUUAAAGCUAGUCAGCCAGUUUUAAUACCCCUAUUUUUUCGAAUAAACAGCUUUACUACUUGAAAUCCAAAUAAGCAUUCCGAUUCUUGAACAUCGCAAUGAAUAAUUUGCACGAUAGAAGUUGAUAUAGUUGACCAAAAACAGCUUUCAAUAAGAGCAGUAUUCUACUGAUAAGUCGUUCGAUUAACCAACUCACGAACUGUAGCAUCAACAUCAAACCUCAUCGGCGUAGAGGUCACAAAAUUACCGGGUACUAACGGAAGCCAUCCGUCUCCCCAAAUUCUAACGGACAUACAAUUUCCCACCCACCACCCAAGGCCACUCCAUACAAAACAUUGAGCACCAAAAAGGCUAUGCCAUAUAAAGCUAAACCCAACUCAGCUUUAAAGACAUAAUAGAAUUUUUAAAAUACUUAGCUUUCAUAAUUCUUACAAUAAGGGAAGAUGCUCUUGAGUGUAAGUUCCAAAGAUGUUUAGCAAGUAAAGUAAUGUUAAAGCCUAAAAAAUCACAUAAUCCCAUCCUAGCUUCGGAUUUCAAACUCAAUAGAUAUUCUUGACAAAAUGAGGGAUGAGCACUGGGUCGGGUCACCCAUCAAAACCCACCCGCCUAUAAUCACUCUCUACCACUACUACCCUUUUCCCCAUCACCAUAAAACUUUGCAUGCUUGUUUGUGUGUUUUUGUAGUUUUUUUGUGUGUUUUAUGUCGCUUUUCAUCGUUUGAGUAGAGAGAGAGAGGGAGAGAGAGAGGGAGAGAGAGAGAGGGAGAGAGAGUAUUUCAAGGGUUGCAUGUCAUACCAAUGAUUAAGAAUGCAUGAUAGAAGGUCUCGAUUCAAAUUAGGGUUCGGUCGGUGUCUGAUCGAAGGACGAAUGAUGCUUGCAUUAUUUUAUUUUUACUGAAAAAUUGGGCUUCUGGAGCAGCCUUUAGAUCAAUCUCAAGGUGUGUGGCUUUGCAUAGUGUGUGUCGUUUCCUUAAGUUUCUCUCGAUAGAAAAUCGAGUUUAUGGCGUGUGAUCCCACAUGCCAUGUGACUGAUUUUUGACAAAACGAACCGACCAAAGAACAACCAAAAACCCAACCGGCUCAAACCGUAAUGAACCAGAUUGAUUUUCAAACCGAUUUUCAACCAAAUCAAACUGAGUUUGACCAGACGCAUUGACCCUUCGUUGACCGGCCGUUGCCCCCGUUGACCGGUCACCAUGGAAGAAAAAACAUGGCAGUUUAGUAGUAUUUUGGGCAUAACAUUUUGCUCGGGAGUCUGAUUGACACAAGGUCAGUGACGUUGGAAACUUGUUCAGUUGCCUACAACUUUGAUGUCAUGAUGUGGCCUAAAUCCAUGCAGUUUGUGCUCAUUUUUCUUGGUUUGGAUUGAUGGAAUUUGAGAAAGUUUGAAUUGUGGUCUUGUUUGGUUUGAUGAUUUGGUGCGAUCGUGAUCAAUUUCUUGAUAGUAUUAUAGUGAUAUGUUCAUUGCAAAUGCUAACGUUUGGGAUGGUUGUCCAAAAUGGAUAAUUCUAGCUUUGCAAUGUGAAGAUUGCUGGAUGUUGAGACGUGAUCACUUUGUCACUCUUGUAUCGAUGGCAUGUUGUUGAUUUUCAUGAGAACUUGGAAUGGCAUCAUGAUGCUUCAAAGUGUGGUUGAACGUAGGUUGUUACUAGGCCUGAGAGUCGGUUAAUUUGGUUACUAACCAUCUGCUUAAUGUUCGGGGAAAAUGAUUUGGAGAUUAAAGUUGGUUAAUCGGUUUAACUGACCGACCAUAUGUAAUGGUUAAAAAGCCGACCAAUAACUGAUAAAUCGGUUAAAUAACCAAUUAUUAACCAACAGAUUAGUCGGUUAAUCCUAUGAACUGACUUUGAUUGAUUGACCGACUAUACCGACUUAACCUAACAAGAUCUGAAUCUCCAUGCUCAUCUCUGCCAUCGAGUGAGCCACGUUCUGCUCAUGAUAACCGUUCGUCCAAGCAUUCAUACUCUACUAAGAAAGCUUGCCAUGGCCGCCACUCUGAACACCGGUCAAAGAACUGAAUACUUGUUCCAAGAUCCGAACUUCCAGAACCGUCUCCAAUCCAUCUUCCCAAUUGUAGUUUGGACAAAGUUUCCUCAUCUGAAUUUUUACUCAAUCACACAACUACAACCUACACGACAACCAUAAUCAAUAGAGUGGAGGGGGAUAGGAUGAAACAGAGGACUGGUUGAAAUUAUAUGGGCCUAUGUUGCAUCCUCAAUAGCUCGUCGUCGCCAAGCCUCACUGAGCCGUCCCCGAGAGAGGAAGAGACGUAGAGUCUAGAGAUCGUGCUUUACUAGUGCUCAACACUCAUGGAGCCGUCACUGAGAGAGGAACAUAAUCCCUAAUGAAUCGUGAAAUCGAGAAUGAACGGGGAUAAGUGAAUAUGUUUGUGUGUGUGUGAGUUUGACCUAAAAAUGGGGGGAUUGGGAAUACGACGUAGACAUUUGGGUUCAGACUUGGGGUUCUUUUGACCGAUUAAUGUUGGUUAACACAAGUUAACUGACGGGUUUUAACCGAUUCACCGUUUAACUGAAGUCAGUUUUUCUCUUUGACCGUCCCCCAACCAACCUGUAGCUCGAUUAAACCUUCCUCUAACUUAUUCGGUCGGUUAAUCAAUUUUAAACGAUUAACCGAAACUGAAUUCCUACCCUUAGUUGUUACUAGGUGCUUUUGUUGCUCCCAAUUGAUGAUUUGUGAUUAUUUCCAUGCUCAUUUAAUUUGCUUCCAUUGCUCAUAUUUUGUCCUACCAUUACCCUUGAUGACUCAUUGGUUACUCACUGUUUUGGUAAAUGGUUCAAAGAAGCAUGAGGCAUAUUACUAGUCCAUUUGUUCCUGUAAUGAUAUAUCUUUGACCUCACCUUUUGGUAUAACUUGAAUGAUGCAUACGUUGUCACUUCAUGCUUUGCAUACACUCUUUAUGCUCGUUCUUGUUCAUUGGACUUGGUCAACAUUUGUGAGGAUUUCUUUGUGGCAAUUGAUGAUAAAUGAGUUAAGGUGGUCCCAUAGCUUUUGCUUACCCUUGUCUUACUAAUUUAUGAAUUAUAGGAUGCUCUUGUUUAGGAUUGCUAGUUAGUCUUGCUUGAGAAUAACUAGUUAUCUUCUUCAUUGGUUUUGCCUUUCUUUUACAUCUUGCCUAUGCCAUGUCUACUUAUGAGCUAUUUAUUGCCUAUCGUUGCCUAAUUCGAUUGGAUGCUUAUUGAGGUGGUUCCUUAGUGGCCGUAGGAUUAUGGGUUGACACCUCUACAUGCUUGAUGUGUAUGAUUAUUCUCCAUUUCGAAAUUUUCAAUGAUACUUUAAAGUCAAAUUUGAAUGCUCUUUACAAAUGUGUCAAUUUUGGCACAGUUUUCAAGGAUUCAUCAUUUAGUGUUUAUAAUUCAUUUUCGUUUUAAAUUUUCGUUUCCCACAUUUACUUUUCAUGUUUUGUUGCUUUUAUUGUUUUAAAUUUUAUUAUUUUUAUUUUAAUAGGCUUACUUUCCUUGUAUAUCCCCAAUUGUAACUUGGUAUCCGUAUUCUCAACUAAAUCAACAAAUGACACCAAAUAACUUAAAAUUGAGAACUAUAAGAGCUCAAAAGAAGGAGAUUUAGCAGAGUCUCUUAUAGGUUUCAAAAAAGCGAGGAAGGAUCUUCAAGUGGAGAGGACCCUUUCUCCUCCCUAACUCCAAUGGCGAACAAAACUCUAGCAUUAGACCACCUAAAGUCAGACGAUAAGCCAUGCAUUCAUCUCGUGGACUUUAUCUUCUAUUGCGACACCAUCAAGCUACACGGUGUUUCUGUUGAGGUUCACAUCGUGUUCCCCUUGAGUUUCAGCAACCAUCCACUCCAAGCACCUUAAAUCAUCCGUCUUAGUUUCUGCUUGUCCCCAAACACCGUACAUCGCAUGUACUUCGUGAUUUUUCCAUUCUUUGAGGCAUUUAGCUCCUCCUUGUACAUCAUACAGUUAUGAAUAAUGCCUCGACGUUGUUGUGUGCCUGAAAUUGAUAAAAAACACAACGCAACAACAUCAAAUGGACCCCAAACGGGUAUGAGACACUAAAUCGAGAUAGAAGUUACAAAUGCACAAAACAUCAUGUCGUGAAUGUUUCGAUCCGCGACACCGAUGGCUUGAAAUAUUUCAGAGUCGCCACCAAUCUGUUGAAGCGGAUUGGACGCUGUCGACAUAACCCAGGUCCUUUUGGACGUGAGUUAGAACAGGUCUGCGGAACAGAGAUCCUGGAUUCGAGAGGCGGUUACGUGCAGGGAAGGAUUAGCACCCCCAUAGCGCCCGUCAAACCGGUACUACUAAAUUUGAUAAGUUAUGUUUUAUUUUCUUAGUUUAGUGGUUUAAUUAUGCUUUAGUUUGGACGCAUAAGGUUAUGUAAAUUUUUUAGAGAAUAUUUUUAUUCAAUUGUAAGUCUUUAUGAGUUCCCACUCUUGUGGAAAUUUUUUUUUAUGUUGAUAAAUAUUUUGAGUUGAACAUUCUUAAUUUAAUUGUUUGGAUUUACGAAUUCCCAUUCUUGUGGAAAUUUUGUUUUACGCUGGUGAAUAUUUUUAAGUUGGUUAUUUUUAAUUUAUAUGUUUGGACUCAAGUCUUACGACUGCCUACGUACCUAAUUCUUUGGGAUCAAAGAUCAUGUAGUUCGUUAUGGAAAAGUUGAUUUGAGGAUUUUUUGUAAUUUUUACUAUUAUAAAAACCACGUUAUCAUGCUCAUUUUUUAUUUGAAAGACAUUUAUUUGGUUAUUUCAAAGUUGGAACUUUAUUUGCCCACUUAUGAUUAAAUGAUAAUUCUACAAAAUUCGAAACUCUUGUCACGGAUACGAAAUUCAUAUAACAUUGCUAUAAUAUCUUUAAAGGAUUAUUAUUAAGGAAAUUUCACAUUUUUUGCCAAUCGAAAAAUUAAUUGGUUUAUAUCAGUUAACUUAAUUUGACAUAAUUAAAAAUGCAUUACAAGACGGUUAACGAACUUACAUUUAAAUAAAUAUGUCACAAGUAUUUUUGGUGAUUUGACAAUUCUAUUGUGGUUAUGUUAAUGUUAAUUAAAAUGAUACGUUGAUUUGAAUAAUUGUAAAGUUUUGAGUUUUUAAGUUUACAACUUUAAGGUAUAAAUAUCAAAUAGGAUUAAAGAAGGUAUGACGUUUAUUCUGUUAUUCUUCCACACUUAUUUCACUUUUAUUCCACUCUUAAUAUGGCCUUAAUGAUAUAUGAAUAUAAUUGAAUCGACUAAAGGCUUGGCCUUUCUAAAUUAAUUGUGCCCAAGCUCGAGCUCGGCCCAACCGAACGAUGAGCCGAACCGGCGGGUAAGAGGAGGGCAGCCCGCGUGCCAAACUGGUCGAACCGGUUAUCCACGGUUCGAUCAGAAAACUCAAAAAGAUGAAAUUGCCCCUAGCGUUCCGUGCGCUGAAGAAGGGUGGCAGGGGAAAUUUUGUAACUUCACCUUAAACCUAAUCGGCCUUAUAAAAGGGCCUCUUAAAUCGAGAAAUGACUCAUUUGCAACUUCCCACUCUCUCUUUAUCAUCCCUCUUUCUAAACCGCCGCCCUUCUCCCCCCCCCCCCCCCCCCCCCCCCCACCCACCUUUAUCACGGAGUGUGCUGUUUUUUUCUAGUUCCUUUCUCUUCUUCUCAGCCGCCCUUUUUUGCCUCCUCUUACCUCUCAGGACCCCUCUUUCUACCUCCGUUUUUUCGAUUUUUCCAGAUUUGGACUUGCAUGUCAUCGGAGGAUACUCCGGUGAGUCCUCCGGCAAAAUGCAAGUCUCGAUCUGUAGAUCUAAUGUUUUAUUUUGGUAUUAAACAAUUUUGGUUAUUUGAGGGUGGUACCGACGGGGGUGGCGGGGAGGUAGAGAAAUGGAAAAAAGAGAAAGUUAGGUAAGUAAGAUUUCUUCCCUAUUCCUUUUGAUUAAUGUCUGGUUAAUUGCUAACGAAGCUAACUACCGGUUUCUUUGAUGACUUUUUUUAUGUCUUUGAAAAUGGGCAUAGUCGACAUGUUUUGGAAAAUGAGAGGAAAAGGAGAAGAUUGCUUUUAGGAGGUAAGACAGCUAAUUUUGAACCCAUUCUAAUUUUUCUAGGUAGAAGUAACAAUUCUAUUUGUUGAUAAGUUGCAUAAGAAACUAGGUUUGUUUUGUUACUGAAGUUGUAGUAGUAGUCUAGGUGUUUUAAAAAGUUUUGUUUGAAAAACUUUAUUUUUUUUACUAUUGUUUAAAUUUUUUUAGCAACAUUGUUUAUUCCAAAAAUCCGUAUUUUAACUCGAUUUUACUAUGAGUUUCAUAGUUCUUUAGGUCUUUGGUGCGAAAAUGAUGAAAGAUGGCUAUAGGUUUCGUUGUUAAUACUUUCCAAUAACUUUUAGUUCAUUUUUGAAGCUUAUUUGAUUGAUUUGUUGGUUGUUUAUUAAAAUGAAUCAUUUAUUUGAUUAGUUGCAACGAAUCAUUGGGUUCAAUAGUAGUUUAGAAGGUUGCUAAGUGAUAUAGCAUAACAAUGUAUAUGUAUGAAUGAUGUGUGAAUGCUUCAGAAUAGGGAUGUUUUGAAUGAUUACCUUCAUUCAAAAUUUCUCUUUUAUCGUAUUUCAGGUGGCGGCGCCUAUCGUGAGUGACGUCAAACCGAUUUGGCGGCUUCUAUGUGUAUGGCGACAAAAGAUGUUGUAAAACUUAUUUUUUUACAGUUUUGUAAUUAUUUCCCGGGACUUUGAACGAGUGAUGUUGGUGUAUUAUUUUUGGGGGUUUUGGGAAGAACUGGGGGACGAAUUUUGAAAACUGUAAGCUCCUCUUUUUGCUGAUUUUUGUCAGUCCAUUUAAAUGCAGAAAGGGCUACAGUCACUUCUUUUAACCAACCACAUCUUGCAAAGUUUUCUGACAAAAAUAAAAGGUGGCAGCUCCCCAAAUAAUAACCGUAACGGGCCCGAUAUUGGGCUUGAAAUAAGGCCUGGAAUCGGGCCCGAAAUCAAAUUGGGUCUAACACAUAAAUAGUUUCGAGAUAAGGGAUUUUGCCGAAUUUCGAGAUAGCGGACUUGAGGUCCACUCAUUUCGGCCGUUUCCGUUUAAAAAGAUCUAAAACAAAAUCGGCUUAGAACAGUCUGUAACAUAAUAAUUACAUCUCGAAAAUAUGCUAUUUGGCUACCAAGUUCUCCCCUAACGUGCACUUUGAUUAAUUUAACUGAAUAAACUUCGCAACAAGUAAAAUCUCGACGCUAAAUCCUUCCUAGAGAUGCUACGACUAUUUAGUGAAAUGACACUGGCGUGCAUUCUUCACUCGAACGAAAUUUGGUUACUACAGUUGUCCCUCUUUGUAUUACUUUCGCUUGGAAGUGGAAAGUGGUACAAAGACAGAAACCAAAUUUCGGACGAGCGCCUGAACUUCUCACGUCAAGUCCACUAGGGUCCAAGGAUCUGCCACAACAUCGGGUAGAAAACAAAAUUUGCAACCUGACCACACAAACAACAUGCAAUGCAUUUCCCUAUGGGUGUUAGGGUGAAUGUACUAGGGACUCAGCUUGACUUAUCUCCCGUUCCAUGGGUUGACUAUACUAGGGACUCAACUCGACUUAUCUCCUGUUCCAAGGUGCAAUCCGCUUUCCCCAGGAUGCUAAGGGUUGAUGUACUAGGGAUUCGACUAGACUUAUUUCCCGUUCCAACGUGCGAUCCGUUUGCCUUAGGACGCUAAGGGUUGAUGUACUAGGGAUUCAGCUUGCUUAGUUCCCGUUCCAUGACUACAAAUGUGUUGAUGAUGAAUGGUUUCGAAAGAGUUUGAGUAAGGCUCCCCCUUUUUGAAAAAAACAUGCAUCUGAUGGCAAUGCUUGAUUGAUAUUUUUCAUCAUUUUCACUCCGACGAGAUUCACUGUUUUGUUUUCUUGUCGCUUAGUUCGCACUACGUGCUAGCGCAAUGGUGUCAACCCUGCUGAUAGCUGGGUAACCUUUAAUGUAUGUGCCCAUUUUUCUUUGUUUUUCCCCCGACGUCUUCAUAUUAUUCCCAUGCCUUGGGAUUUUAAGGAUCUCUUUCCUACUUUGUCUCUACUUCUAGAUAUAAUGGUAAGAUAACGACGACCUUUGUAAAUUUCUUUCUUCGGUUAGGAAUAAGUGGAGAAAUCCUGCCAUCCGGGCUUCUUUUCUUUAACCCUUCCCUUUUACUAAUUUUUUCAUUCUUUCAACGGUUUUCAUUAUUAUUACUAUUAUUUUUCUCCCUUUUGUCUUCACUUUACCGCUAAUUUCAUUUGAAAAGACCUCCUAAUGAUUAAUUAGAGCGAAGGUGUUUGCACGAACGCAUUUGCCUCAAGUUCCUGUGGGGUGUUGUACCUCAUCCAUUUUGUUUGGUGAUGCGUGAACAAUGGUUAGGAGAGUAGUAUUUGAGAAUUCAUGAAGUAUCCAAAACUUAAAGUUGACUUAAAUUAUCACUUUAUUGAUGGAAAACCGAUCACGUAGAUCUCCGUCAGGAACUUUAAGCAUAGUACUUGUUUACUGAAUAAGAGUUAAAUAGGUAAGGGAGCUUGUCUCCGUCCAUGUUUGCCAGUAUUAAUGCCCCCCUGAGAAAGCCCUUUCCCCUACAUAGGGCCCUUCAUAGUUCGGCUUCCACAUUCCUCUUGGGUCCCCUUGUCAAAUGGAAAUCUUCUUCGUUACCAACUCUCCUUCGCGAAAUUCCCGUGUUUCACUUUUUUUUAAAAGAUCUGAUAAAUCUGCACUGAUACAGGCGUUAGUGGUGGAUAGCUGCCAACCUUUUCUCAUCAAUUUAAUUUAACUGGUCGUAUGCCGCUUUUACCUACUCAACUUGUUCUAACUUCGCCUCCAUGAUAACCCUUAGUGAAGGCAUUUCUACGUCCAUGGGAAGCACUGCCUCCAUCCCAUAGACCAAUUGGUAAGACGUCGAUCCCGUUUAGGUUCUUACUGAUGUUCAGUAACCGUGCUGGGUAAAUGGUAGAAUUACGUGCCAAUCGCGGUCGGUAACGACCAUUUUCUGUAUGCUUUUCUUGAGGUUUAUUGUUUGUCAGCUCGACCGCUCCGUUCAUCUUUGGUCGGUAUGGUACCGAGUUGUGGUGCUUAAUCUUAAACUUGUUGCAAAGCUCAUGCAUCAUCUUGUUGUUGAGAUUUUUCGCAUUGUCGAUUAUUAUUCUUUCCAGGAGCCCAUACUAGCAAAUGAUUUCCUUUUGUAUGAACUUUUUGACAACGCUCUUGGUAGUGUUUGCAUAUGACACAACCUCGACCCAUUUCGUGAAAUAGUCGAUGGCUACUAGGAUGAAACGGUGCCCAUUAGAUGCUUUUGGUUCAAUCAUGCCUAUGACCUCAUGAUGCAAAAGGCCAAGGCGAUGCCAUAAUGUGCAACGAUGAUGGAGACACGUAUUUCUCACCGGCAUAAACCUGGCACUUAUGGCAUUUUCUCACGUGUUUUACAUAGUCAGAGUUCAUCUUCGUCCAAUAGUAACCCAUCCUUAAUAUCUUCUUAGCUAGCGCAUGACCACCGACAUGUGUGCCGCAGACUCCCUCAUGGACUUCUUUUAUUGUUCUCUGAGAUUCAGGGGCAGCUACACAUCUUUGCAGCACAAAAUCAUGGCUUAGUCUGUAGAGGGUAGUCCUAUGAACAUAGUAACCCAUCUCCAAUCUCCGUAGAGUCCUUUUAUCAUUUUCAGAUGCCCUAGCUGCGUACUCCCUUUUAUGUAGGUAGGUCUUUAUGUGAUGGUGCCAGGGAUUCCUCAUGCUCUUUUUGGACUCUACCUAGGUAGGCAGGUGCAUUUUUCUUUUUGAUUUUGCUUCAUGGGUUAACCUCGGUCUCGUCCAGUUUGUACAUCGAGGACAAUGUGGCGAGAGCAUCCGCUAUUUGAUUGUCGACUCGCGAGAUGUGCUCAAACUGUAUCGACUCAAAUUUUGCGGCCAUUUCCCCUAUGUAUUUAUGGAAUGGGACAAGCUUAUGACCCCUAGUUUCCCAUUUUCCUUCAACUUGUAUAUUACUAGCGCUGAAUUACCAUAUGCCUUCAAAUUCUUAAUAACCAUUUCGAGGGCUCCUCGGAUCCUGAAAGUGCACGAUUGGCACUCUGUUAUGUUGUUGGUGCAAUCGAAGCAAAUUUUGGCAGUAAUAGGGCACACCCUCCCUUCAGAAGAGACAGAAACGACGCCGACGCCCUGUCCCAAUGAGUUUGAGGCCCCGUCAAACUUCAUCACCAAUGUUUUUUGGACGAAGCCUUCCACUAAUUUCUCAGUGUUCAGUAUAGUUUCAUCCGGAAAUUCCAUUAACAUCGGAUUCGUGUCCGAGAUUGCAUGCUCCGCUAGAUGUUCUGCCACUACACUCCCUUCAAUGGCCUUCCUUCGGAUAUAAACGAUGACGUAUUCUGCCAGCAGCACUUGCCAUUAGCCUAUCCAUCUGGAGAGGGCCAACUUUUCGUGGACAUCCUUGAUAGGGUUCAUUUUUUAUAUUAGGAGCUUCGUGUGAUAUAACAUGUACUAUCUCAGCCUUAUGGCUACCCAUACAAGUGCUCCGCAAGUUUUCUCGAGCGAUGUAUAUCGAGAUUCGUAGUCAUGAACUUCUUGCUGGUGUAAUAUAUUGGCGCGCUCUUUCCUUCCCGAUUCAACAUGUUGGGCCAACAUCGCGCUUACCAAAUUUUCAAAUACCGUGAAGUACAAUAUUAGUGACCUUCUAGAAGUUGGUGGGGCCAGAACCGGAGGGUUUAAUAAACACCCUUUGACUUUCCGAAAGGCAUGAUGACAACCUUCAUCCCACUCGACAUUCCGGUUCUUCUUUAAAAGCUUGAGAAUGGGUUCACACGUUAAGCUCAAAUGCGAUAUGAACCGACUAAUGUAGUUCAAGCGUCCUAAGAAUCCUAGCACCUCUUUAUGCAUUUAGGGAGGAGGUAUGUCAACCAUUGCCUUCACUUUGUCAGGGUCCACUUCAAUCCCCUUUUGGCUAACCACGAAACCGAGCAGCUUCUCCGAGGUGACUCCGAACGUACACUUUUCUGGGUUCAGCCAGAGCUGGUACUUCCCGAGUCGCUCGAGCAAUUUUCAUAGCACAGUUACGUAGUCGUCUUCCUUUUAUAACUUUGCUAUAAUGCCAUCCAGAUAUACCUAUAUUUCUUUGUGUAUCAUGUCAUGAAACAGUGUGACCAUGGCCCGCUGGUAAGUUGCCCUAGCGUUCUUCAGCCCAAAAGACAUAACUUUAUAGCAAAAGGUUCCCCAUAAAGUGAUGAUGGUCUUUUUUUCUCGAUCAUCCGAAACAUCCUGAUAUGGUUGUAUCUUGAGAAACUGUCCAUGAAAGAGAACAUAUUAGUUGACGGUAUUAUCAACGAGGACAUUUAUGCGAGGCAAAUGGAAGUUGUCCUUUGGGCUUGCCCUAUUUAAAUCUCUGUAGUCUACGCACAUUCUCAUUUUUCCAUUCUUCUUAGGCAUAGGGACCAUAUUAGAGAUCCAAUCGGUGUAUUACGCCACCUGUAAGAACCCGAUUUCGUAUUGUUUCUGCACUUCUUCCUUAAGUUUGAGUAUCCAUUCCGGUUUCAUCCGCCAUAACUUUUGCUUUACUGGCUUGCACUCCUCCUUUAUUGGCAAGUGAUGUGUUACUAUUGUUCAUCGAGGCCCAACAUAUCUUGAUAAGACCUUGCGAAAACGUCCUAGAAGUUCUGGAGUAGUUUGACGAGCCUGUUCUUUUCUGCUUGGUCUAAACUGUCCCCUACCUUAACCUGUCGCCGAUUGUCCUCUGUUCCCAAAUUCACGACCUCUACUGACUCGUAGAAAGGUUUCAAGGAUCGCUCUUCUUAUCCUGCCAUCCAAUCUGUUUCUAGGUUAGAACCAUCACUGGCUUCCUCGGUUUCCAUCUCAUAAACUGGGUGGUGAAAGUCAACUUUAGUGUUUCGUACCUCUUCAUUGUUUUCAAACACAUCUGUAACCCUGUUACGUGACGGGAAAUAGAAAAGGGAAAAAGAAGAAAAGCGGAAGUGAAUAAUAUAGACGAUGCACGGAUUGAGACUUAUGAAAACAUGCUUUAUCAAACAUGUGAAAAUGUGAUACAUGCAUUCAGGAUCACUUAAAAAACACUAGGAAGCCCUUGCUUAUUUUAUUUAGUAGUCAUAUUUUAGAGUUAUUACAUCUGCAAUGGCGAAAGUAACUCCAAAGCCUCCCAAUUGCUUAGCUCUUCCUUUGGACGGAGCUGCCGCACCCAUUUUAUUCCGGUCAUAAUUCCCGUACCCAGCAUGCUGAUGAAGAGAUCUGCAAAAUCCGACUGUAACUCUUUGGUGGUCGGAUCAGUGUAGUUUUUCCUCACAUUUAUCUUUCCAGCAUUCUUGCUUGUGAUGUGAGGUAUGAAAGUCAGGCCUUCAUCAUCUUCUGUCCCACUUAACCUGGACACCCUCCUCCUUAUCCGUUCCUUUUGGAUCCUCCUUAUAUCAUCAUCGUUUAGAAUGUAUCGCAAUCCCGCACGGUUCUUAUUUUCUUUGACCUGGAUGGGUUCUUUCAGCACCUCCUGCCAUUAGUAUCAUAGAUUCCAUACUCGAUAUUAAUCUAACCGAUGUCUCGAGACUAAUUAGAGUUAAUUACCAAGUGCAUUAAUAUAGUACAAUGAUUAAUCUGAAAAUUAAUUCCAAAGCGGAUCGACAUUCCGCCCCUCUCUCAAGUGUAGCGGAGACGACGAUAGACCUUGGCGUUUGGGGAUUUAGUCUCACUUUCGUAUCUAAACCAAAUCCCAACAAUAAUCUUACAACUGGAAUUCGACAAUUACAAAAUAAAGCAGUAGCUAUAUGCAAGAGAAAGACAAUAACGAAAUUAAUGAUAGUUCCGCUUAACACAAUCGAAAUUAUGUCGUAUUAACACAUAAUCAAGGUUUCAUCAAUUUCGGACAGACAGCUUAGUUACACAUGGUGAUCAAAUUAAAAACACAGAAAUCAAGAUAAUACAUGAACCUGGAGCUCCAUGCUUCAUGAACGCUCUGCCGUCGUAAAAUUCAGCAAUGUAGGCGGUCCGAACGGAAGUUCCGAAAUGGAUUUCUUCACCUUCGGAGCUCGAAAUUGCAUGCGGUUUGAAGUGGCAUGUUCCUGGGUUGAAGAAGGACGUCUUGGGGCAGAGUAGGAAGGCUUGCGGGUCUGAUAUGGUGUGUGUAUGGUGUGAUUUCGAAGUGGACAUGACUUGCCCUUAUAUAGGCUCGAAAAAUGGCGUAUUAAGGCCUCCGACAUGGGCAUACCAACUCCAUCAUCUGUAUGCAAGCUGUAGCUGUCCCUGGACUGAUGAUGGACGGAUCUACAUGUGCUGGACGUCCUCAACCAUGCCCGGUUAUCCUUCCGGCGAUCGGUUGAGCGGUGGAUUGUAAAACGGGUCGUAACUUCUUCGUUGCAAAUCUGAUUUAGCUCCGGUUUGUAUCGUUGGAUUUUUAAUUCAUCCCUUUAUAAUACGUGACCUGAAAUUUUAUUAAACACACUAGAAGAAAUAUAAAAUUGGACCAUAAAGGUCCAAGGGUUGAAUUUACGGAAUUAAGUGCAAUAUAACUGAUAUCCGUCGAAACUUUUGUUUGCAAUUGAUAUUAUGACUUGAAGUGUAGAAAGUUUAGUGCCAAAUAUUACGGUAUGUUAUGAUGUGAUCAAAAUACCCCACACUUAAACUUUUCUUGUCGUCAAGAAAACUGUAACUUAACCCACACGAAAUACCAAAGAUAGUUACCAUCAUUUAUACAAGGUUUAGGAAAUGUAAUUUUACAAUUUACGAUGCAACAGAGGUUAAAUGCUUGGCCACAUCGGUGAGAUAAAUCUCUAGUUAGAAAUUCACGAGACAGUGCACACCAGAUUAAUCAAGAUUCAAAUGCUAAAAAUAAAAGGGUUAAAUGCAUUUGUUGCAACUAUAAGAUUCAUUUUGCGCUUCCUUACGAAAUUAUGAAAUUUUAUUUCUUUUUUAAAGUUUCAAAAUUUUGAAUAACCCGUAGCCGAGCAAGACUAGUGAGUACUAUACUCAACCUUUUAACACAUUUCAUUCUUCCCACACACACCUCAAUUAAGUCCCGUAUGGGAGGCAUCUAAACUGGCUGCCUAAUUGGCAGGGCAGCUAAUGCAGAGGUGCUAGUCCUCUACCACACGCGUUAAGUUAAUCAUUGAAUUAUUGAGACAAAUUAAAGAAGCAUUUUGAUUUAAACAUUUUUUUAUGGCGAAAGUUGAAUCCAGUUUUGAAUUUGCAGAUUUAAACCAAACAUUUUAAGCAUUUGCAUCAAUUAAUCCGAGAUGUACUAAAUACAAAAAUGAAAGUCUAGUAAAAACAAGUGGUCAUUCCGCAACAACUACCAUGUCACCCAUAAUCGUUACAUUCCCAUUGUCUAUUUUAAUGUGAUCCCUAAAUUGGUAGAUGUGUAACCGCUAGUACUGUUUGUGAGGAGAUUAAAGUAAAGUACGGAUGAAAUGUUGAAAAAAAUUUAAAACACCUCUCGUUACACCAUCACCCAACACUUGAAUUAUACAUUGCCCUCAAUGGACUAUGAAUCUGGGAUAAGAGGGAAACAAGUAUACCGAGAUAUCGAGAAUGACAAUGCCAAAGUAAACUGCUCUAUAAUACCUGUCUGUCGGAUGAUAACGGUAACACAGUGAUAACAAAACAAAACAAAACUCAAAACACAUUUGGCAAAUGCCACAACUAAAAAUCAUACUAAAUCACACCACACAAUGAUGCAGAUCCAAGAUAAAUAUAUUCGAAAAUGUUAAUAUUUUGAAAUACAUCAAAAAGAAGAAGAGAAAAAUACACAUCCUAGAUCGAAAAAUCAAUCAUAACUAUCGGAUCAUAUUCAAAAUUUUGGGCAGAGUCAAGAUGAUUUUAAGGGUCUUGGAUGAUUUUAUUGAAUGAAAUAAGAAACUUGGGUUGUCUCCCGAGGACCACUUUUUUAUCGUCUUUAAGUUAGAAGUUUCCAAGAAAAUUAUUUAAUUAGCCAGGUGAAACACCUCAUGGAUGGUGAGAGAGUCGCUCGCAAGGUAGAGUUUCAACCGAUGACCAAUAACUUUAAACAUACCAUGAUCAGGGCUCGAGAUUUCAACAAUUUCGUAAGGAAGAACUUCAGUCACUGUGAAUGGGCCCAACCAAUGGGAUUUAAUUUUCAUGGAAAGAGGCGAAUCCUAGAAUUAUAUAGGACUAUGUCUCCCGGACGAAAGUGUUUUCCAGGUUUUAACCUUGCGUCAUGAAGACGCUUUGUCUGUUGCUUAUACAAAUUGCCAUUUUAAUAGGCAUGAAGAUGGAAUUCCUCCAGUUCAUGUAUGUGGAACUGAUGGCGAGGUCCAGCGACACUCAUAACAAGGUUUAGAGAUUUAAAGGCCCAUAAUGCCUUAUUCUCUAACUCAACAAGCAGAUGUCAUGCCUUUUCGUAGAAGAGACGGUAAGGGGUAGUGCCGAUAAGAGUUUUAAAAGUGAUAUGCCCAAAGUGCAUCGUCCAACUUUUUUUACCAAUCCUUGCGAGUCCAGGUGACAGUUUUCUCCAAAAUCUACUUAAGUUCUCGGUUCGUUACUUUCGCUUGACCACUAUUAUGUAGGUAGUAACCAGUGGACAGACGAUGAGUGAAACCAAAGCGGCGACACACAUGAUCAAACUGUCCCUGACAGCGGGUUCCUCGAUCGCUGAUGAUAGUGCGAGGUGCUCCAAACCGAGUGAAAAGUAGUUGCACAACUGGCUUAUAAGCUAGCCUCUUCCAUAAGAACUUUGUGGGUAAAAAAAGAGGGAGAGAUGCUUCGAAUAUCAUAGAUUUUCCAAGAAAUGGCCUUAAUAUGCUCUUUUAAAAGGGUGAUGAGACGUCCCUUUUAUUCCGGAAUGAGGGAGGCAAUGAUACUGACUAGAAGCUUCGAGUAAUCCAUCAGAAAAGCAUACUUGAGGUGCUCCGGUAGUGCUUUCAUCUUCAAUAUUGGAGGCUCCUCAUAUGAGGGUUUGACGGGCUCAAUCCUUGAGAGCUUGACAGGAGGUUCAGGAGCAGAGUCUUAGCAAUCUGCUCAAGUUGUUGUACCUCAUCAGAAGCAUCCCAAACACCAAAAUAAAAGGCACAACUCGAGAGGGUCUUAGCAAAUGCCCUCAGAUAAGAAGAAUACUGAUCCAACCUCAAUGGAGUCAGCAGGAUAGUUUCAGUCAUCCUGGACAUGGGCAUAUUUCAUCCUGUCAGCAUGGCGAAAUGUGGCCUUUCCUUGACCUACUUGAAGAGUAAGCUCGCCUUCAUGGACAUCAAUGAUGGUGCGAGCCGUAUUUAAGAAUGGGUGGCCAAGAAUGAGGGAGGCAUCUGAUUCAUUGGUGUCAAUGAUAACAAAGUCCACCGAAAAGACAUAAGGUCCCAUCUGCAUAAGUACAUCUCUCAGGAUUCCACGACAAAUUCGAGUGGACUUGUUAGCCAACAGGAUGGUCAAUUGAGUCGGUGUUGGUUCUCCUAAAUCGAGCUGUUGGGAUAUCUUGCAUGGCAUUAGAUUGAUACUUACCCCAGAGUCAGCCAAAGUCUUAUCCAUGCAGGUGUUGGUGAUAUAGUAACAUAAGGUGAAAGAAUCGUGAUCCUUAUGUUUCUUAGGUAGCUGGUUCAGAAUGGCAGCAUAACAUUCAACAUCAAGAGUAACAGACUGAAUCUCAUCCAAUUUUCUCUUAUUGGUCAGAAUCUCCUUUAGAAAUUUCGAGUACUAGGGCAUUUUGGUAAUUUCCUCAAUAAACAGGAUAAUGCCAUUUGCCGUAAUCAUAAGUUCAAUGAACCUUUUGUAACUGGCACCCAUCAUAUCACUCCUUAGACGAGAAGGAUAAGGAGGUUUUGGUUUGUAGGGUGGUAACUCUGGCUUAGGGGGAGAUGGUUACAGUAGCCUUUGGAUAGGUGGCCGAGGUGGCUUUCUCAUCCUUCUUCUCGACGCUAAAGUCAAUGAUCAGCGUUGGAGGAAUGAUGACAGGUGUGGACUAUGGAAUGGGAGGAUCCUUACUGGUGGUUCCACUCUUGAGGGUGACACCUUCACAAGAUUCCGAAGUGUCAAAUCCUUCAUUAGUAACAAAGAUUGCUUUUGAUUCUUCUUGCAUAGAAUUGUUUUCUGUGUUGCUAGGGAGAGAGCCUUGUGGUCUCUCACUAAGAAUUUUGGAAAGAUUUUUCAAUUUCAAUUCAAUGUUAUGGAAAGUGGUUUGUUGCCCACGGAUAAUCUUUUCCAACCUCUCGAGUCUGGAAACUUCAUCAGACUUGGAUGUAGAAGAGGCUUGAAUAGGCGGUUAUUCAGGCUUUUGCCCAAAACCAGGAGGUCAUUGGUUAUUAGUAUAGUUCCUCGAUUGAUAGCCUUGAUUAAGACGAGAGGCAGAGUUUCCUUGGUUGAAGGUUGAUCUGUAAUAGGCAUGUUCAUCUAAUUUGUGAAUGUUUUGCUGUUGUGACGGUCCUGAGCAUUGGGUAUCAUGGUUGGUUUGGUAAGAGUUUUGGAAAGACUUGGAUUUAACUUGAUUUCAAAAGUUUGAGUUUUAAUUUUGACCAAAAAUUUAUCAAUCUUGUGGGUAACCACCACCCAAAAAGUCAACUUCUUCUGUCUGGUUAAAAACGGUAUCCCCAGAGUAACAGUCAGUAGAAUCACAUCCUUGAUCCCCUCAAGCAACAUAGACAAAGAUUAUUGCCGUCGAAUUCUAUAGGGUCCUGACGUUCAGCUUGCUCACUUUUUGAGAAAGCGCAUGCAGCUGAGAGAGAACGGGAGAAAUAACCGUCCCAAGGGUUUCAUGACGAAUCACAAAGGAUGAAGUGGUAGGCGGGGUGCUAUGAUGCUUCCCAUGUUGCCUAGUCAAAGUAUGACUACACAUAUCACAUCCAGCAGCCAGGUUGAUCAUUUGUGUGCUUUCCCGAUUGAGCCUUCAAUUGAAAAUAUCGGCUUGGUUUCGGUCAUCGAAGCUGUGAUGAGCGCAAGAGCGGAGGAGGGCUUGGAAUCGAUUGCAUGCUUCAUAUAAUUGUUCAUUAUCUCAUUGCAUGCAAUGGAUAAUUCUCUCUUUUAUCUCACCGCGCUUCUAUGGAGGAAAAAAUACCUUGAGAAAGGCUUUAGCGGGACCGUCCCACAUGGUAAAACUCCCUACUGGUUGAGAAACAAGCCAGAUUUUUGCAGCUCCCUUGAGAGAGAAAGGGAAACGCUAGAGGCGAAUGGCAUCAUGGUGCACCUGUUGGAGUUGUAAGGUGUCGCAUAUUUUGAGUAAGUAUUUGAUAUGUUGGGUGGAGUUAUCGUCCUCUUUCCCCAAGAAUUGGACUGUUUGUUGGACCAUGUAGAUCAUAGCGGGUCGCAAUUAAAAAUUGUUGUCUUCGACGUGGGGUCGGGCGAUGGAGGACCCCAGGUUCUAGAGACUUGGUUUGGCAUAAUCGCCAAGUGUCUUCUCUUCAGCCAUGGUGAAGGAUCCUUUGGGGGAAAUGCUUACGUGAUCUUCGCCAGAGUACUCAUCCUUGGAAUCCGUUCUACCGAGAGCCGGAGGUGCAAUUGUAAUUCCUUCAAGGACAUGUUUAGAAAAUUACCAAGUAAUCCGUCGAGUCAUUCAUUUGACCGAAUAGGAGUUUGGAAGAUGGGAGGAGAGAGGGAAGCAGAAUGAAUGAAUUCGUUGAGUUUUAGGUUUUGGAGGUUUGAAGAAGAAGUUUCGAGAGAGUGUUAAAGAAGGUGAGUGGGAAGAUUAUGGAGUACUUUACUUAGAAACGCCGCCUUGUUGCCAAAACCAAAACUUUCAUUUCAGUUCCAAGGAAAGUAGGGGAGUCACUCAGACUACUUAAAUCCCUUUAAACUUUAGGUAGCAUCUCUUUACGAAAGCCAAAAUAAUCCUCUCAUCUUUUUUAAUUCUCCUUUCUUAUGAUUUUAAAUUUUUUCUAUUUUUCUAUUUUUAGUGUUUAAAUUCAUAUAAAUGAUUGGUAGCAGAUUUUUUUAUUUUUUAAUUAUUUAUUUGGAUUUUUUUGUGGAAUAGGAAAGAUUCGGAGAUGAGUGGAAGAUAUGGAAAAGAUUGAGAGUUCAGUUGAGCAAGAUAAAAUAUUGAAUGGCUGAAAUGUAGAGAGAGAAAAGUUGAGUGACCAAGAGGGGAGCAUGGGAAAUAGUAUCUAGAAAAUAAAUAUAAAAUAAUUUAAGAAAAAGUAUUAUUAUUAAAAGUGAAAAUUUAGUAACUGUUUCGUACAAAAGGAACGAGGUCCACGACAACGACGCCAAAAUUUGAUCACCCCCGUAGGCAAGUUUAAAGAUAAACUCGGAAAAACCGAGGUCGUAUUCACGCGGAUUCAUUCCGAGUAUUACUCCUGAAAGUGCGAAGAUGAAAGUCUAAUCGUUGGAAUAGCGGGUAUGAAAGCACACAAAUCGCAAUCGAGUAUAAUGGAUGAGUGAAACCUGUCCGGAAAUGAAUUCACCAAGAAUCAGAGCAAGGAUGGUCAUUGUAACCCUUCUUCCUUGUUGCAGUUUCAUCAUGAUAGGCUACACCUUUUGUUGUUAGAUUAGGGAUGAUGUGGAUGCAAGGAGAAUCCCCUCAUAAUGAGGGAUUGGACAAGAUUUGGAUGAUUUGUGGGCUUGCUUUGGAUGAAUGUAGGGAGAUUGAUGCAUGUACACACUUGAUUAAACUAGGAGUGUAUCAUUGAAUGAGAAAUUGGUAGUAUACGAGGACCUUCCAUACCCAAUUCAUCCAUCUUUUUUUGUAAAUUGCAUUGACGCAUUUAAUCAAACAUUUGGCGUGCAUUUUGGUUCUUUCUUAGUGGACCAAACUAGGUUUAGAUAGAGUCAUUGGGUGUUGAUGUGACCACAUUAGCAUCCUUCAUAGGUGUUUGGGGUGCCUUAUUUCCUUGUGCAUCAUCAUAUUAUUCCGAUUGAACAUCAUUGAAUGCACUUUUGGCUUAUAAGUUGUUUGUGACCACAACAAGUUAUAAGGUCCAUUGGUACUGUUAGAUAUGACCAUGCAUAUAGACUUUAACGAAUAGGAAUGCAUGGAAGCUUGUAUAGUUUGGUACCUAACAUUACACUUUGGUCAUAAAAUACCCAUCACAUAAUCAUAAAAUAUUCAUAACAUUUGGUUUAUGUUUUUCUCGCAACUCUUUUUGUUGGAUUUAAUAAUCACCACCAGGAUGCCGUUUUUAGAGUCUGUUUAAUGUAUGAUGAUAGAAUUAAAUCAUUUGAUUGGUUAUUCCGUACAUUUUUACAGUGCCUGUGAGGGAAGGCACCCAAACCAUUUUCUCAAAUCAGGACCCGACCAUGGAUGCGGCAUUGAAGAGUGCCAUGCCAAAUACAUACCACGCGACGGCGGUGGGGUAUGAUAGGAAUCCUCUGUCGACACACCCUAACUGUGAUGCAUGUCAUCGGGAGGUUUGAAAGCGAGAAGUUCAACACACUUCCCGCAUAUACAUGUUGAGGAGAUGGACUAGAGGAGCCAAAAUUCGGUUUCAUGACAUAGUUAUUACGCGGCUCCUCUCUCAGGAUGGUGAGGAUGGUGAAAGACUUGCUGAAGUUUGUUUCUAUGAUUAGGGUUGUUUAUAGGGUCGAUCAGUUUCAUAAUAUGUUGGAUGUUGUGGUAGAUGGGUUGGCCAUUCAGGUAUGCAGUAAUCAAAGUAUACUUAUUUGUUAUAUUCACCGUACAUGACUUGUAUAUGGUCAUAAUAUACCUAUUAUGAUAGUGGUAUUUCUGUAGGUUGAACAAGCAUUGACCUUGUAUGAUGGACAACAGCCAAGGGAAACUGUGGUGGCAGAUAGAGAUACCACCAGCGUUGCAGUCGCUACGUGUUGUAGUAGUGUGAUCAGGAGAGAGAUUGCAACGAAGUACACCCCGCAGAGCAGACCAAGUAAGAACAACCAGCGUGGGAAACAUAUCACAGAUACGGUCGCAUGAGGCAGUGUAACAAGUUUAGGAAGAUUCGUGCAAAGGAAGUUCAAUCCGAACAAGCAGUCGCAAUGGACGUGGAAAUGGAGGACUUACUCAAUAAUGAUGUUAUACAUCAGUGCAUCGCAUUUUUGCAGGCACAGGAGAGCACCACUGCUACUGGCAACCCCCCUCGAUUGAGAGUGGCCCUUGAUAGGGUAAUCGUUAAUUAUUUAAUGGUCAUUAUGGAGAAAAGCCUACCUGUAACGCUAGCAGAACUGUAGCAUUAUAUAUGUACACUAGUCACGUAGUUAUGUAAGAACAUUGCCAUAUUAUGGGUAGAUCAGUGACAUAUUUUUGGUAAAACAGUACCAUAUUUUGGUAGCACAGUCUUGUAGUGUUGGAAGAAUAGUGGCAUAUUUUGGGAUGUAGAAGAAGACACAUUGUUCGGAAUUAUAAUAUUAUAUGUGGUGCUAGUAUUGACAUAUUCUGCUACAAGGAUUACACCAUGUGGUAGGUCCACUUCAAGGAAUACAACAAGGAUACUACUGUUACCCUAAACAAUAGGCAUAACAUCAAUGUACAAUAGCCAUAACAACGUUACACAUACUUUCUUAGGUUCAAACUGCCAACCAUUGUUCUUCAAAUGGAAAAUGUGACCUUCAUCGCCAUGGCACUCAAAUGGAAGGCCGUCUGGAUGCUCUGAUAUGAUAGUGCGAAUGACGUUCCCUGCUUCCUUGAAAUUGACUUUAGCCUUCCAAAAGGUAUCCUUCCACAUUUCAAUCCGACUGACCAAGUCAACGUGGCUGCUCCUUUUGUCUCCAGAGUGAAUGAUACCUUGGUCCACGAGGCUCCCCUAUCAAUGAUUUCCAUGCAUAAUACAAACACCCACUACUGUACUAGUAUCAACCAGAACUGAAAGUAUACAUAUCAUUUUUCAUAUUCAUGCAACCUUACUUUCCAAUCGUGACAUUCUAGUAAGUCUCUUGUAAAGCUCCCCAUACACAUAAACUAUGCUCUUAAAUAGGGCAUAAUUCAGAAACCAUUUAUAACGAAACCGUAAGAGUAACAUGGUACUAGCAUACCAUACACAUAUCCAUAACAUAACAUAGAUAUCUAACUAGGAGGGUUGGUCGAAGUUCCAGCUUCUAUGAGGAGGUCCACUACCCCUUCAAUUAAAAUAUGGGGAUGAAGUCGACUCCAUUGUGAGAGGACCAGGCGACAGAAGUACUUGAGCAUGUCCUUAAUCAUAACGUUCUCCUCAUCCCACCACUUCGUUUGGUCCGUUGUAAAACAACCAAUGUGUUGCCCCAUAAAACGAAGUGCCAUACAGGCCACACCUGUGAAUGUCAGGCUUUUGUGGCGCAGACACCACCCUCAACUUGAAGUCCUUGAUAUCCACGUGAGUGUUAAGAAGAACAAAUGACCUCGCAUAUUGCAUUAUCUGUGUUCUUGUCGGCUUGUUGUAUGGCUUGGUCUCAAAGUCCUUCUUAUAGAUAAGGCUAUUGAGAAUAACUCUUUCCUUUUUCUCCAUGUCCAACCCAAAGACAUAGAAGUGCUUGAAACUAUUUCCCCUUAUGUUGGGAAGAAGACCGAACACACAAAUAUAAUAUAGUAAUCACAUCAGAUUGUAUAUCAACUGCAUACCACAAAUACAAUACAUACAUAUUUCACGGAACUCAAGCCCUGGAGGUACUUCUUAUUUAAGAAAUCCUUGCAAGUUGGUGGGAAUUUAGAUUGAGUUAGUGAAAACUCAAUCUCAUUUUCAACUUUUGUCCUAGCAGGAGUUUGAAGCCAUAACACAGUCUAACUACACACAUAAAAAAUCACACUUACUAACAAGGAAUAGUCAGAUUAUACUCAUAACACAGUUAAAUUGGCAACAUAACAGAGGCAAAUUGUAUUCAUAACACACACAUAACAUAGAAAGACAGUUAAGUAACUUUGACGAUUCAAACAAUACUUGUAGUAAUUGAAAUAAGCCCAUAUAGUCUUUUUAUUGUGUUGUUGUUAGCCAGUAAAUUGUCAUUAUUGAACUGGUUGCAGAAUGCAUCAAUCAGUUUUGAUGUGCACCUGGUUUGAAUAAUAGACGGUCUCCAACUCAAGCUUCAUGACUUCCAUGCCUUUUUUUCCGGAAAGUCGCAUAUAAUGCAGCUGUUGAUAGGAAACAAUACUGCACUAGUUGUAGCCAUAACACAAAUGUAACACAAACGUAACAAAACGUAACACAAAUGUAACACAAAAAUAAAGGAUAUAUAACAUAGUGAGAAAUGAUAUGUACUCCCUUUCAACACUAGAUAUGGCAUAAGUUACUAUCUUGCUCUCAACUAGUGUUAAUUCAUGUUGAAGUCUAUUUGUGAGAACGAUCUUCAUGCUAGUCUUUUGUCGGUAAUAUGCAAUUGGAAUUGGAUUCUCUGAAUCACCUACCAAGUCCACUACAACUUGUCUCCACCCGGAGUUGCCUUUGUCGAUCCACCCACUAACUCCAAGAUGGCUUCUUUUGCGGUCAUUCUGUUGGUCCACUUCAACUUCCUUCUAUUUUCCUUGGCAACCUGCUCCUCUUCCUUUUCCUUUUCGGCUUCAUUAUCUUCAACCUUCUCUUCUUUCUUUUCUUCAUCCCUAUCAUCUGACUUCUCAUCUUACUUUUCGUCUGCAUUUGCAUCCUCCUCACAGUCACUACCAUCACAAUUUUCACCCUUGUUGUCAUCAUCAUCAUCAUCAUCAUAACCAUCGUCAUCUUCCUCCUCAUCUUCACCAUUGUCUUUAUCAUCAUCAUCACCAUCGUUAUUGUCCAUGAAAUCACCGUAGCUCUCGUCUUCAAACUCAUUACGAAACUCCACGUCAACAACUCCCUUGCCCUUCCCUAGUAAUAGGUUCUGGACAGACGCACUCCUAUCCAGUCACAACUAUAAUUAGCAAGGCAGUUGUCCUGCAUUGCACCUCGAUCGUCGCAACCUCUGCUAACAAUGUUUGCUGCAAUCAUGGUAUGAAGAUGCCUUCAGAUUAACCCAUAUACGAGAUAUAUAACACUUAGGUAAUUCAAAUAUACCACCAUCAGAACAGUACAAUAGUCGUGAAAAGCAGUUCACUGGCACAUAACAGAACAACAACAUAUCUUACGUUUAACGUCCAUAGAACAUUGUAAUAACACCCAUGGAUCAGUUACCUGUUAUGAAGAUGCAAGUUGUACUAUCGCCGUCUACUUGUCCAUUCUAGGGUUCGUUAAUCAUGUUCCCCUAUGCUGAUGCACAUUCACCCCAAAGGUAAGGAAAUCUAGCUCGAGACUUUGUCGAAAAUGUCUUGAGCCUAAGUGGGAGUAAUAGGUUUCAAGCCAGCUACAAGAGACGCCCUCUCACUCAACAUGAAUGACCAGCUGCCGUUAGGAGUACUUAUCCUUCUCAUCAUUUUGAUGACAACAUCGCAUCUUAGUAGGAACAAGUGGGAUGCUCUUUCGGAUCGAUACCAGAAAGAUCAACCAUGUCCAGAAAAUGCAGCUGACACAAACAACCGAGGAUAUCAAGAUUAGACAAUCAACCAACAGUAGUCUGCAUCAACAUAAGAACACUGUACAACUAUUAUAACACAACGAUAGCAUAAAUAUAAUAGCAAUAUAACUUAACAGUAACACUUACCACCAUGAAGUUCAUGUCCCUGCUGGGAUAGGACGCCUUCUGAUUCUUAUAGUAGUCCUCCAGACCUCUUAGCAGAUGAUUUGAGACGUCAGCCGCCCAAUUAGGAUUAGCAAUCUCAAAGUUGUGAAGGUGAAGAUACUUGGAAAACUUCAUUAUAACCCACCGGGUAUUUGUUGGAACAAGCAACGACUCAAGGGCAAGCAACAUGUACAACUUUGUAUAAGCCGUGGGAUCUUUACAAUUCUUCAUUGCAGCUUGGAGUUGAACUAUGUUGAUGUGAUUGUACUUAUUGCUCUUUGUACCGGUCACCCUUUCAAACUGCUUCAAUACCCUUAGCCCGAAAUGUUGGACAUCCACGUCGGCUAGACUUGUAUACAAGGGCAGACCAUAUACAUGGUGCACGACCUCUGACGUUACGCCCAACAGCUGACCAUCCGGGAACUUGAAAAGACCAAGUUCAGGAACAAAGGAUUGGAGGAGGAAUUGAGGAACCUCCUUAUUAAUCAUCUCUAGUUGUAGAUACAACAACCCAUAGAAGCCAGCGUCAUUGAGACAUAGACAGAUGUUAGUACGAUGCGGGUGGUCGUUUUCAAGUAGAUCAUUGGCAGCCACCAACUGUCCAAUUUUGCAACAGAAUGGCUUGCCAUUUCCCUUCUUUUUCUUCAAGCCAAUCUCCCCUAGGGGGCCCUUCUUUACAAUUGGUUGCUUUGUGGCAACUGCCUUUUCGUUAGCACAACCCUUCUUUGUCGGAUUAGUUUUGGCCACCAGACAAUCAAAUAACAUACUCAUAUUCAUAAUGUACCAAUGUCAUUAUGAUUCUCAUAACAACAAGACCAAACAAAGAUCGACAAUCAUACACAGGUACGUGAUCAUAUCAUAGUAAUAUCAUAUACGUAACAUAGGCAUUACGUAAUACUAAGAAAUACAAAUAGAUACACAAUCAUAUCAUAGACAUAAGAUAGGAAUAACAUAGGCAUCUAAUAUGCAUAACAACCAUAAACAGAAAGAUAAAUUGUAUUACACACAUAACAUAGGAACUUCAUACUAGUAAGUAGCAUAAACAAAAUAACAAUCAUAUCAUAGACAUAACGUAUGCACUUCAAAAUUGUAACAAACAUAGGCGGUCCUCAAAUCUCCCUUUUCUUGGGGGUUAACAGACACUAAUGGUGUUUUGUAGUUAGAGUCAGACUCCAAGCUCUAAAAGGAGGACGAUUCUUUCCGUUUCUGUUUCCACUUUUUGUUGCAUGAACCUUUCUGUACCCCACGUUGAGAUUACUGUAGCUCUGUGAGCCAUUUUAAAGAUUGAUGAGGGGAGAUGAGAACUCCUUUGUUAGUCUUCUCUAUAGGAAACUACGAGAAAGGAGGAAAACUUAUUAGAGCCUUAUAAAAUACCCUAAAAACCAAUCAUAUAUAUACGAAGCCUUAAGGAAGGUACAACAUAAAAAAAAAGUUAUCAGGUUUGGUGGUUCUAACCGUCAAUGUAUAGGUGGAUGAGGAUGAAUGUAACUGCUUUGGUGGAUGAGGACGAAGGUAACUACAACUUCACCAAGAGAGAGGCCUACAAACCUGAAGCCACCUUCAAAACUUCCACCCAGUACUUUGGAUCUACUGGCGGAUGAAUUUGAUUCCUCCAUGCAACGGCUUCACCGUCGCCGGUGAGAGGAGAGAGAUUAACAGGAAGAGGGAGACACUGAUGUUGAAGAAAGAGAUGGAGAGAAUGAAGAAAGAGAUGGAAAAGAGGGAGAGAAUGAAGAAAGUGAUGUGAAAGAGGGGUGACAGAAUAGUGAUAUGACCGGUCUGACACAAGGAUUGAAAAAAAUCGCAAAACAUUUUCAAUUUCCCAUUCUCGAUAAUGAAAUUCGAAUCUACGGAUGAAAAAAAGAAUUGAAUAUUAAAUAUAAAUAAAUAAAUUCUCGUUCCCAACCCCUAGAAGAAAGAUAGCCGUCUGAUCGAAGUCAACGAGGAGACGGAUUCCCAGUCGUCAGAUCAAGCUGUCUAGCCGUACAACUUGACUUUCCAUGCCAAUCAUUAACAUUUUUGCCCAACCGAGGCACCCUGUUUGUCUCCAGUUUGAUGAGUUCUUGCCGGUGAACCAAUCAACAAUGAAGAAGCUCCGAUGGAGGGCCCAUAAACUCACUAACAACUAGGUAAGGAUCAUGAAUGUUUUCAUAAGCUUAAUUUAAUAUUUUCUUAAGCUUAACCAGAUCUAUACAACCCUCCAUUGCCAGAUUCAAGUUUCGCCAGAGCCGCCGCCGUCUCUAUUUCUCAAUUUAAUCUCCUUUAUUUUGAAACCAGGUGAGGAGAGUUUCCCCUAAGUUAAUUUGGGGCUUCACAAUGGUUUGAAGUGGGAUUGAUCUCACCUGAGUUGACCUCCAGAACCCGAAUUUUGGAAUAUGGGUUUCGGCUCAUCGGGGAAGACGACUGGAAAACAUGUCAUGACGGUGCCUGAAGUUCCAGUGAUUUCAAUUCAGUCAUUGGACUUCUUGAGGCCAGAUCCGGUCACCUAAAUUUCCUAGAUGGCAAGCGUAAAACAAUACUUUAAAAUGUUAACAAAUUGCUUAAUAACGAGACCUAUAUAUCUGUUGUGACUCUAAACUUUAGGAUUAUGACAUUUGACCCAAAUACAUAAAAGAUAUUUAAGUGUUGAGGGUUAACCCUAAUUGAUCUUGAUAUGCUAUUCAAGGACAUUAAGGAUAAAUACAGGAUUUCUGAACUCGUAAAAGGAUUAAGGAAAAUGGAUUCUUUCGUUAUAAGGGAUCAUUAGUAAAAAGUAAUCAUGAUUUUGGAAAAGCCUAGUUUUUCCUUAUCACUUUAACAAUGGAGAUAAACUACAGAUACUUUGAGUCAUCACUCAGAUCUUUUUAUUUCAAAUCAACUCUGAGCCUAAUACCUAAAUUCCCGUAAUCAGGUUCUCAGAGUCGAAACCACUUUCAAGCGUGGAUCUCGACCUUUUUUUUGGGACCCUCACCACUUCACUUUUCUAGGCAAGUGGUUUAAGGGGGUAAAUUCUUACGUUGCUGUGUUUAGGAAUGAACCUAGAAUUAAAUGAUUACUUGAUCUAUUUGUUACUAUGUGUUUUGUAGUGAGUUAUGAUUGGUCCUAUACUCAUGUUGAUGUUAUGUAUCAUGCUUGCGUGUUACUUCCUGAUUAGUUAUGUUACUAGUAAAUCCUCAUCGUUGCUAAAUUCAUGUUGAUGCCAUGUGUCAUGUUUCCAUGUUUUUUCCUUGAUAUGUUAUGUUUACUUUUAAAUUCUUAUCCUUACCAUAUUCAUGUUGUUACCAUGUGAUAUGUCUUGGUUAUUAUCAUGUUAUGUUAUAAAUCACCUAAACAACAAGUAAGCCUAUGAUAGGCAAUAUAAUAACACGUAUCUCGCUAACUAGACCGCCACCCUCUUAUGUUACCUUCAUGUUUCACGUUUGGGCGGAUGGUAGGAAUCAUGUUUAUGGUUCGAUGAAUACGUACUCCCGGACUCUCACGUUUACAUUUUGGUGGUUUGCUAGUUAAUCAGGAGGCCCCUAGAUGUCAUGUCAAGUAAGCAAGCCAAGUAAAUAAUGUCAAGUAAACCAUGUUAAGUAAAUCAUGAUAAGUGAAUCAUGUCAAGUCUAAUCAUAUGUAAUCCCUAAUAACAUUAUUGUUUGGAUUGCUAACCUAAUGUGAAUGUGUACUCAAGAACUAAAAGCUUAUGUAAAACACUAAUAGUUAAGCACGCAAGACUGACCCCAAACCACUCACCAGGUCAUACUAGAGAUACCGGCAUAGAGACUACCUAAAAGAACUUUAGUGGAUGUUGAGGAUGUCACAUGAGUUAGAGUGAGUGAUUUUGGAGGAUGGACUACCAUGUUUACUCUCUUUCGAGUUUCUAGUACUUGAGACUUGGGUUUUGUUUUUUAUUUUUUCAUACUUGAUUUCAGAUGUUCGGGUUGCUCACUUGUAAGAGCCGAUUUACUUUGGAUUUAUGUGUAGUUUUCAAAAAAGUCUAUACCUUUCUCUUUUGACUAUCUUGAGUCUUGUGAUCUCUCCAAGGAAAUUUGGUAUUUAAAUAAAUGAAAAGGAUUUGUGAAAAUUUGGGUCGUGUCACAUACCACUUCCCCUUGCAACUCCUUUGAUGCCAAUAAACCUAAAAUACUCACAAAAUCACCCAAAAACCAACAUUAAAUGUCCCCAAACGGGCCAAGUGGAUAAAAACACAUAUUUGAGUUAAAGUUCCUAAGAACUACCCAGAAUAGCAUGAUAUGCACGAAAUUUGGCUUAAAAUACGAUAGAUGAAUGCAAUAAAUCAAACACUACAACUAACCCCACACUUAAGCUUUGCUUGUCCUCAAGCAAAAAACUGAUAAAAGCUAUGAUAAACAUCCACAAUUGAAUGACGUUACUAGCAAGGCAAAGCAAACCCAUAUUCCACAAAGUACCCCUAUAUUUCAACACAUGCAAGUAAACCCUUAAAAUCAACCAAUCUAGGAAGUAAGGGUCUCAUCAAAAGUUGUCCAACUUUUCAUACAUCAUCCGCCAUGGUAUACCACCCAUCUAGACUUUCUCUCAAAUGGCACAAUUUAAAAAUGAAGUCAAGAUCAUCUCACUCAAAGUGUUUAGGGAUAGUGUUUGUGAGCUCAUUCCUCAACUCUGACGCAAACUUCAACACUCGCACAUCAACCUACUUUUUAAUCAUUACAUCAUAGAACUUCAAACACUAUUCUAGAGGUCUUUUAUUAAGGAUUGUAAUCUGAAAAAAAGAAUAAGAGGAGAAAUGAAUUUGGUGGUAGGUGUACAUAUUGGCCGACGAUUCAGUCCACUCUAAACAUGGAGCUAAAGCUACUUAAAACAAACAACCACGAUGCAAGGAUUCAAUUUCCAUCAAGAGCUUAAUACUAGCUCCUCUAUCCCUUAAAUAAGCUACUACUCCUUCGAGCUUUUCCAUCAAGAGCUUUAUACUAGCUCCCCUAUCUCUGAAAUAAGCUACUACUACUUCAAGCUUUUCCAUCAACACUUGGCCUCAUGUGCAACAAAAUCCAGAAACUGGGUGAGGAACACGAUUUAGACAACAAAUGUAGCAUCCUCUGAUAAUGCAGAUAAUAUUUCCUUAAGACCUCAUGUUAAGGCAUUAGAAAAGAAGCUAAAUGAUUUUACUUUGAAAGUUUCUAACCCCCUGCUACUUAUGUUUAUACUUGUGCUUGGGGUGAUGUUCCUUACAGCCAGGUAGAAUGUGAUAUUUUCCUCACCAACAAAUUCAUGAUGAUGGAAGAAGUGGAUUUUGUGCGACAGGGCUACCCCUUCAAUCAGCAGGGAUAUCAGGAAUUCAGAGCAAAGAACGCCGAAGGCCGACGAUUCAACUUCACAUACCCUGGAAGGCGUUGUGACUUCUACAAGUGUAGGAUGGAGGAUUACAAUGUCAAAGACAACAUCACUCCCCAAAGACAAAACUCACACCAUUAAGGAAACUCGAGCAACAACUACCAAGGUCCACCAGGAUUUCCAAUCAAGCCAACUAAGCAGCAACAACAACAUAAUUCGGACCCUGCUGGAGGAAUAAAUGAAGACAUCAUCCAGAUGAUGAAAACCAUGCAUGUCUUAAUUAUAGCUCAAAAGCCUGCCAACACAAACUUUAUCCUCACUCCAGAGGAAAUCAAGAAGCAUGUUCGAUUCUAUAUCCAUUGGUAGUCAAGAAGAAGGGGCUUUGAAAGGCAUUUUAGAGAUUUAUAGAGAUCAUCAAGAAGAAGGAGGUUACAUUAACCUUUCUGGAAGCUUUCAUAAAGAUUCUAGCAUAUGCAAAGUUCUUGGUGAUGCUAAACAAGAAGAUAAAUCUUAGUGAUGCCACAGAGGUCUCACUCUAUGAAGAAGGAGCAAUAAUCCAAGUUGGAUCGACAAAGCAAAAAGACCUAGGGAGCUUUACUUUACCAUGCAUGAUUAAGAAUGUUAAAGUCUAGGGAGCUUUAUUUUACCAUGCAUGAUUAAGAAUGUUAAAGUUAGUUAGAGUCUUGCUGAGCUAGGUGCUAGUAUAAAUGUUAUGCCCCAAAGCUUAUAUGAGAAACUAGAUAUAUGUGAACUUAGACAAACUAAGAUAGUUCUUCAACUUGCUGAUAGGUCUUUGGUAAAACCCAGGGUAGUCGUAGAUGAUAUUUCAAUUUGUGUAGGACCUUUUGAAUUUUCUGCUAAUUUUGUUGUUCUAGAUACCCAUGAGAAUGACAGUCAUUGGCUUAGUCCUACGAAGGUUGUACCUAAGAAGGUGGGUUUCAGGACCAUUUUUGUUUGAUGAUAACUAUAUACAUGCAUUUAAUUUUCUAAAAAUGAAGUUGACCACUGCGUCGAGAUUAGUCUCCCCGGAUUGGGAGGCACCUUUGUAACUAAUUUGUGAUGCUAGUGAUUUUGCAGUGGGUGUAGUGCUAGGACAGUGGAGAGAGAAGAGAUUACAUCCCAUAUACAUCAUGAGCAAGAUGCUUAAUGAUGCACGGAAAAACUACACAACUACUAAGAAUGAGCUCUUGUCGAUUGUCUUUGCAUUCAAGAUGUUCAGGUCCUAUUUAAUGUUUAUCCCAGACUAUGGUUUUCACUGACCAUUCUGCUCUUAACUAUCUUCUAGCUAAACAAGAUGCGAAGCCGAUAUUUAUUCGUUGGGUGUUGCUCCUUCAAGAAUUUGACAACACUAUUAAGGACAAUGCGGGGUUAGAGAACAUUGCAGCUGCCCACCUAUCGCGCGUUGAACGGCCUCCUCCUGUUCAAUUAGCUCAAGGAGAGAUAAAUUAGCUCUUCCCGGAUGAUCCACUACUCCUCUUGGUAGAAGCAGAGAAAGUCUUGGAUCAUCAUCCUCAACAAACGCCCAUGGUUUUCGUACAUAGCCAACUUCCUCGCUUUCGCGGCAUUUCUAGAAGAUUAAAAAAUCAUCAGCAGCAAAGGAAACAGGUCUCCGAAGCCAAGCACUACAUCUGGGAUGAUCCUUACCUCUACCAUUCGGGCUCAGACGGAGUAAUCAAACGAUGUGUUAUGUUGCAUGAAUCACUCCACAUCAUGCUCCCUUGCCACACUAGACCUGUUGGGGGACAUCAUAGUGGAAAUCGCACAGCUCACAAGAUUUUAGAUGCGGGUUCCUACUGGAGGACGAUCUCGAAGGAUUGUGGCAGAUACGUGAAGAAAUGUGAUGCCUGUCAACAUACAUGUAACAUUUCAAAUAAGAAUGAAAUUCCUAUUACCAUCUCCAUGCUUGUAGAAGUUUCUAUUGUGCGGGGUAUUAGUUUUAUGGCCAUUUCCCAUAGUCCCAUGGUAACAAGUAUAUCCUUGUUAUUUUGGAUCAUGUGUCAAAGUGGGCAGAGGCAUAAGUGCUGCCUACUAACGAUGCUUGGAUAGUGGGAAAGUGUAUCACACGGCUUUUCAUGCAUUUUGGUGCCCCUCAUGUUAUUGUUAGUGGUAGGGGCACUCACUUCUAGAGUCAAUUCGAUCUUGUGUUCCAAAAAUUUGGUGUAACUCAUCGAUUAACCACUGCUUAUCAUUCACAUACAAGCGGUCAAGCGGAGGUGACGAAUCGUGAGCUGAAGCGGAAUCUUGAUUGACAGUCGAUCAGUCUCACAAGGACUGGUCAAUUCGGCUCGAUGAAGCUCUAUGGGCUUAUCGAACUGCCUUCAAGACUCCUAUCAGUACUUUGUUGUAUUAACUAGUUUAUGGCAAGCCUUGUCAUUACCGAUCGAGCUUGAGCAUAAGGCAUGGUGGGCCAUGAAGCUAUUAAACAUGGAUGAUAGUUUGUAGCUUCAAAACACAAAGAUCAGCUCCUUGAGCUAGAGGAGUACAAGUUUCAUGCUUAUGAGAGCUCAUGGCUAUACAAGAAGAGGAUGAAACGCAUCCAUGAUGCCAAGCUUCAAGGUGUCAAGGACUUUGAGAAGGGAGAUAAAGUGUUUCUUGACAACUCCCGCCUCCGACUGUUUUUGGGAAAAUUACAAUCAAGAUGGUCGGGACUAUAUGAAGUCACACAAUCAUUUCCCUACGAUACCGGGAAGAUCACACAUUCGUGCCAAGGAACAUUCAAGGUCGACAGUCACCAUCACAAGUGAUAUCACAGUUCCAAGCCUACUAAUUGAGUCAAAGUUCAUUACUUCACUGAUGGUAAAUAAAAGGCGAGGUAUCGUCUAGCUCAAAGAGGUUAAAAAAGAGCGGUUCAUGGGAGGCAGCUCAUGCUUGGAGUCUAUAUUUUGCAUUUUAUUUUGAGUCAAAUUGCAUGUUUAGGUGUUAGAUCGAGUCUAGAACAUGAUACUUGAGUCCCAUUCCUAUCCCAAGUCAUCGAUGAGAAGCGUUUUGAAUUUUGUGUGAAGGGUGGAAGGUCACAGAACAAUAUGUCAACCUUAGCGCUAUAGAUCUGGGUCAAACAUGAGCACCAGAGUUGCACUACCCCGCCCACCGCCACCACAUGGAUAUCAGCGACCGCCAAUAGAGUUUGCUGGCAUGGUGAGGUCAGUAUAGUAGUGGCAGAUCAAUUUUGGGGAGGGUAGUCUUCCAUGGCAGCAGUAGUAGACAGCCUGACAGACGUCAUUUGAUUUGGGACAGUGACCUUCAUAGAUCGAGCAGAGGAGAGUUGAGUAGGAACACCAUGAUCGAGCCCACCACACUCGCCUUCACUAGAUGACUACUGAUCCAGUAUCAUCAUUCUAGUUUCUCAUUAUGUGUUUGAGUGUUUUUCAGAAGUUAGUGUCGCCACGAAGGUUGAACUUCAUGAGUCAUGUAUGAGCCUCUUGGAUUUCAGACAACAUCCAUGUUUUCCUGUGUAACUUUUCGCUUCAUUUAGUGAGGACACUUUCCGAACUAAGUUUGAGGUGGGUUUGCAUAGGAUUUGUGUAUGCUAGUCUUGUUGGGUAGUUGUUUUACAUGUGCAUCCUAAACUCAAGCUUGUUGGAACUAUCUUUGAAUCAAUUACUUGGCAUGCUUAGAAAAAUUCCUUGUGAUUUGUGCACUUGAAUUGCUGAAUUACUUGUGAACCUAGAUUUGAUAGGAGUAUAGGCCUAUGAUCAAAGUCUAUUGAUUCAUUCUUUAGAAGCAGAUCUGAGGCAUAGACUCUAACACUUAUAUCCCUUCUACAUGGAAGUUUCAUCAAGUUUCAAUGUGAAUGAAUUCAAUCGGAGACUAGAGGAGCUGGGAACGAUAAACAUCCUCCACCGGCCUAGGUUUCUUCUUCGUAGCACAUGGUUGAAAUAGAAAUGAAGAAAAAUCAGAAGAAACCAUUUGGAGGCGGAGUGAUGAUGGUGAUAAUGAGGAGGUUUUGGUACCUUGUAUAAUUCAUCUCCAAUUAAAAAGGUAUUAAAAAUUAACGGUUUUUAAAUUGAUUGUUUUUAUUGACGGUGAAGGAGGUAUUAACUGAUGAAAGAGGUAUAGUGAAGAAAAGAACUUAUGGAACUUAAAAAAGAAAAAGAAAAUAGAAAAUUGGAAGGGAAGUUCACGUAUUUAAAUCGAAUAAAUUUGGGUGAUCUAGUUGUAUUGUUUAGCAUAUUUGGGUGUUAACUCAAUAUUAUGUUUAUUAAAAAAUCGACCAAUAAUAUUCCGCCACAUAACAUUUGUACCGGAUGCAUGUUUCCACCAAAAUGUUUCCUUAUAUUAAACUGAUUUGUUAAGUUUGAAUGUAUAUUAACUUUAAAAGAAUCGCAACAAAUGGGAGGGUUUUUGCUUUUUGAGAUAGAGAGAGAAAAUAGUGGUAGAUGGUCUGAUGAGAAGAACCCAAGAGCAAUAUGCCCUACAAGUUCUCAUGCAAAAAACUGAAGGACUUGGGAUUGGAAUUCACACCAAUGACGCAGAGCCUGUAUGAAGCAAUCAAGUCCCUUGAGGAAAAGUGUCAUUUUUCUCCCCCUAAACAACAGCAGCACCACAAGAAGGAGGAACCCAUGAAAAUUCAGUCCUCUUCUUAAUAAUAAUUAAAUCUACUACAUACCUAACAAAUGGCAAUCCUUGUUCGUUUGCAUAAUUAAAUAUAUGAAAAAAUUAGAUUUACCGGGGAAGACGCCUUAUCUGAUUUGACCAACUACGUACUUGUUUGUUACUAUUUUGAUUGUAUUGGGGUUCUAUUAUAUUCUACAAUCCUUUGUAUCGGUUGGUCAUUCAUAUGAUGAAAGUAUCAAGUCUUGUGUUGUAAUUGGUGUUUGUUAGCCCUACUAUAAUUAAACAAAUGCUUAAGUUGUUGUAAGAGAUAUAAUAAGAGGGGAAAAAUGAAACAUAGGAACAUACCUAUGGUAAGUACCGAAGCAAUGAUAAUUAGUUCCCCGGCUACAGAAGAUACACCGAUUAGAGCAACAAUUAGAAUGGGAACUAUGGCCAAACAUCUUGUUAAGAAAUUUCAGAUCCAUGGCUUCAAUCGUAGAUCAAGGAUGCCCUGCAAUGUAUUUUUCCAAACAUGUGAGGAAACAUCAGAACAUCUCAGCUUCUUCUAUGAAAUCUGUAUACAAUUGCAAAUUUUAACCUAUAGAAUUUUCUACAGCUGCCGUGGAAAUUGAAAAUCUGGAGGAGAGGAGCUGAGAUGAGGUGGAGUGCUGUCAGUUCGUAUCUGUUGACUGUAACGCAGAGUGACAUCAAGGAUCGGAUAUUAGAAGCAGAGAUAUCCACGAUGUCAAUGUUGGGAUGAUUUAAAUUAAAUUUUCCAAGGCCAAUGCUUUAUUUGAGAAAAUUGAAAUCUAUUAUUAUUGAAUUUAAGUAAAGUGUCUAUUUUGUAAGUUGUUUUUUUAUUUUCGAAAAUUUUUAAAAAGAAAUUAAAGAAUGCAUGGCCCAUAUUCAGUCUUAAAACGAGCGGUCCAAAUCUGAUGAAAAUAGCGGGUGCACCCGGUGCACUAGAUGCACUGAAGACCUAUGCAUCAGCCAACACAACAAUAACCGCUUCACUUAAAUAUAUUUACAAAAGGUGCUUUAACUUAAUAUAAUUAAAAGUAGGAAACUUUGCCAAGGUGAUCCAUUGUCUCCUUAUUUGUUUUUAUUGUGCUCGAAAGAUUUUUCAGCUUCAAUUAACAAGUACGAGAAGGAAAAGAAGAUACAUGACAUGAAAAUUUACAACAGAGCCCUUAUAUUUUCCCAUUUAUUUUUUGCAGUUGAUUGUAUAAUGUUUGCAAGAGCAAAUAUGGAGGAAAGGACAAAAGCUUCUAAUGAGGCCGUGCGAAAGCUCUCCAUUUCUGCGCACUGAGGCGAGUUGCUGUCAUACAUAGCUCCGGCUGCGGGUGCGCUCCAGUUGUGCGACAUCCGGUUGUGACUUUGGCAAGCAUAACUAGGAUCUGAGGUUUCCUCAGAUCAUCUCUCUUCUUUUCUCGUUCCUCUUGUCUUGCUUGUAGAUCCAUUAAUGGCGAUCAUCUUCUUCGUUGAACUAUUCUAAAGUGGGUGAGCUUCUGGAGAGAGUUCCGAAGGUUGUGAUCUGGUUGGCGACCGCUUGGCGGCUCCAUGAUAGCAAUUUCGUUCUUCUUCUAGUUGAUUCUCCUCUAAUUAUGCGCUUCUAAUGAGUGAAGGUCCUAAAUCAUGGAUCGAGUUGUUCUCUAUGUCAAAUGACUUUAAGCUUGAUUUUGUUGAGUCUGACCAAAUUGAUGGUGCUCUUCAAAUCCCCAAAAUGUUGUGGAUGAAGGACUUCAGAGAUUGAAGUUAUGCCUCGUCGCACAAUUCCUUGGCGAUCCUCCGACUAUGCCUAAGCAACAAGUGAUUGCUAAUUGGUUAUGGGGGAGAGAUGGCUUCAUUAGGGUUUAUGCUAUGGAAAAUGGCCUUUUCAAUUUCAAUUUUGUUUGUUGAGAAGUUUGAUUGGAUCAUCGGCUCGGGGCCUUGGCACAUGAAGAACUCUUCUAUUCUCUUUCGCCGUUGGGGAAUAGACAUCCAUCUGAUUGUCAAUACGGAAAGUGUUACGCCUGUUUGGCUAAAGUAUCAAAUGUUUCGAUGCCACUUCAAAAUAAGAAAGGACUCACUCGGUUGGCUAGCACCAUUGGUAAGCCAUUGAAUAUGGACAUGACUAUGAAGGAUGUUGUUGGCUCUAAAGCCAAGGUUUGUAUUGCUAUCGAGACAUCUCAAAUGUUACCUGAUUCCAUUCCUAUCUCAGUUGUUGGUAAGCCUCCCAUUCUAGUUAAGGUGGAGUAUGUGCACCAUCCAUUGUGUUGCAUUUCUUGUGCAGUCUUUGGCCGUUGCAGCUGUCUUGGGACUUUGGUCGUUGCAGCUAUCUUGGGACUAGGGUAUAGGAUAAGGAUAAGGGAUGUGGGAUUGCUAAGACGCUUGAUAUCUCUAAAGUUUUGCAAGAACCUGUUUCUGAUACCCUAGAGGUGGUUAUUCAGAAUACUACGGCAGAGGUGUGUUGCCCAGAAUGUUGUUCCAGAGUUCGUUGUUCAAAAUUUAUCAGUAAAUGAGCCUGCUACUUCCAUGGGAAUCCCUGUUGCCUCAACUAGUAAAGUGAGAAGUGAAACUUCUACUAGUAAGCCCCUUGUGCCUGCUCAGACUAAGAAGCAAAAAGCAAAAUUAAAUAUGGAGAAUUGGUUCAACCAUCUGUCAUAUCAGUCGGAUGAUAUUCUCUCCAAUUUGGGUGACCAUCCCUUUGUUAAUGGUGAAAGUCGCAAGAAGAGUUAAUGAAUGUUCUUUCCUAGAAUCUUUGGAGGUAUAAUUCCCUUAAAAAUAUAGGUUUUUAGUUUCUUACCUUGAAAAGUAUAAUAUAAAUGUAGUAGCUAUACUAGAAACUAGAGUUGCUAUAGGUAAAGCUGAUGAUAUUAUAGUUAAAAGCUCUCUGUCUUGGAACUUCUUUGGUAACUAUGAUAAGAGCAAGUUGGGAAAGAUUUGGAUUCUAUGGAGAUCCAGUCUUCAUUUUACAUUUUCCUGCUACUCGGAUAAAUUUGUCUUGGUUGAGAUUGGUGGUGGUCCUAAUUUCAUAUUUGUAAUAAAGAAAAUGAAAGACUAAAGAUGUAUACUGAUUUAUUUUUAGUAUUAUUAAGGAGAUGACCACCGUGUUUGCUACUGUUGGGGACUUUAAUACUAUUCUCUCCACUACUGCGGUAGUAAUACCUCUAGUAUGAUUAAUUUCCGUAAUUGGGUGAUCAUCCUUCAAUUGGACUUGUUUUUACUUGACAUAACAAUCAAGAGGAGAAUCUAAUUGCACGAUGUUUGGAUAGAUGCUUGAUUAACCCACUUUGGUUGAGCUGUGUUUCUGAUAGUACAGUUGAAUUGUUUGCUCUUGGGGUUUUAGAUCAUUGUGGUGUUUAUAUUGAUUCUAAAGUUAAUCUUGAAAUCUUACCUAAACCCUUCAAGUUCUUUAUCUCUUUGACUGCUUAUGCUGGCUAUGAUGAUGUUGUAAGCUUGCAUGGUCCUCUAUGAAUUCUACUCGUCAGGGCACCUUCAGAACUGUUUAUAGUAAGCUAAACAAUGUUAAAACUGCUAUUCGUAAGCUAAAUACUGAGCAGUUUUCAAACAUUAGUGGCAGAGUGAAAAAGCUUGAAAAUGAUCAGUAUAAUGCCAAGAUGGAAGCUCUUAUAGUUCCCUCAUAGGUGAAUGUUGCAAAGGCUCAUAAGAGACAAGUUGAAUGGGAUUCUAUGAAAACUAUGGAGGAGUCUUUUCUCAGUCAAAAAGCUAAAGAGAACUGGCUCAAGCUUGGAGAUGGUAACAAUGCUUUCUUCCAUCCUCGUUGUAAGAAGCUCUCCCUCAUCAACCUCUAUUUUUUGGAUGAUCAACUGGUUUUCACUAGUGGGUCUGCUAUUGGGAUUGAGGGCAUCUACUCUGUUCUAAAGAAGUUUUAAAAGCAUUUCGAGUUGUAGUUGAACCCAAACAAACUGAAAUCUUCAUCUCUCACUCAGUUAAUCAGUAUACUCGUGAUUUCAUCAUCAAUAUGUCAGAACUUAAGGAAGGGAAUCUGCCAAUUCGAUAACUUGGAGUGCCUCUAAUCUCUAGUAGGCGCACUACUCAUGAUUGUGACAUCUUGGUGGAUAAAAUCACUACUAGGGUAUCCAGUUGGCGUGAUAAACUCCUCAGCUACGUGGGACUACAAUUAGUCACCUCUGUUCUUGCUUUUAUGAGUCAGUACUGGCUAUCAGUAUUUCUACUCCCUAAGAUGAUUAUAAAAAAAGUUGAACAAAAAUGCAGUGAUUUCUUAUCUUGUGGUCAGUCGGGCAAGGGGGUAGGAAAAGAGCAAAGUUUGUAUAGUCUGACAUUGGUAAACCCUAACAAGAAGGUGGUCUAGGUCUCAAGGACCUUGUAACAUGGAAUGUAGCUUGUGUCAUCAGGCAUUUUUGGGAAGUACUUUUGGAUGCAGGUUCUAUUUGGAUUGCUUGGCUUAUGCGCUAUCGGUUAAAAUUCAAUAUAAUUUGGAACUGUAAAAAGCAGCCUUAUCAUUCCUAGGUUUGGAAAAGGGUUCUGAAAAUCCGAUCCAUUGCAGCACCUUUUGUGCUCCUUUGAUGAAGAUGGUACUCCACUAUGGGAGGGCCCUAGUAUGCCUCAAUAUUCUAUCUCUUUGGUUUGGAAUUAAACUCGAUUACACUCAGCUAGAGUUAUGUGGUGUGACUUAAUCUGGAAGGGACCAUCUAUCCCAAAGCAUAGCUUUAUUAGUUUGCUUGUAGUGAGAGGGAGGCUUGUUACUAAUUUUUCUAGGACUACUUGGGGAUUACCCCGAGAUAUCUCUUGCUCUCGUGUGAAGAGGGUUUAGAUGACAUUAAUCAUAUCUUCAUACGUUGUUCUUAUAAGUGAUACUAUAUGUGCGUUCUUUAAUUUGCUUCUUACUAGGCAUGGUGAUUGGAUGAAAGAAGUGGAGAUUGUUGGUGGUAGAUUUGCAGGUACCACUGAUGCCGUGAAACGCAGGAGAUGUGUUUGGCAUGCUUUAAUUGCGAUGGUUUGGUAUGGAAGAUGCUCCCAAAAUGCUGGAAAUCUAGGGGUGAAGGUAGAAGACAUUAUAGAUAGAAUACAUAGAGUUAUAACUACGAAGAUGGGAUGAGUGGUUUUGUUGUUUCUAGAUUGUAGUUGAGCUUCUUUGUUGUAUUUGUGUAAAUGAAAUUUUUGUUCGAUCGGGUGUUAUUUUUUGAAGUUGUGAGGUUGUGGCUUCCUGCACGAUCCUGAUGAAUAAAAUUAUUCAUCAAAAAAAUGUGGAGGAAGGAAAAAGAUUCAAGGAAUUCUAGAUACUUAUGAAAAGGAAUCGGGACAACUGGUGAACAAAAAGCCGCACGUGGCACGGAGGCAGCACAGUUAUCCAAAUGACAGAUAAAAACAAGAGAAACUAGAGGCAAUGAACGAAGAAGAGUUUGACAUUCUGGUAAGACUUGACCAAAUCUAACAUUGUGGGAAGUGGAAGUGAUUAGCCGUACUGCUUCGGCAGAAUCUGAAUAGAUAAGGAUACUAUCUGAAGGUUUGAAGAGGUCGCCAAAAGAGCACAUCUAAUUGCAAGAAACUCGAGCGAAAGAUGGUCCAUAAUAUGGUUGAUGAUUUGUCUCGUUACGAAAACAAUUGAGUUGCAAUGCCACCGAAAAACCAUCCUUGUUGCGCCAUAACCUUCAAGGGCCGCAUCCUGUCUAACUGUUGCGUCAAUGAAAAUCCUCCAUGAAGAGUCCCGUAAUUGUGAGGAUGGAAGAGCUGUAUUAUUUGAAACCACUAGGAACGCAGCAAGGUCCCUGUUAGGAAGGCAUGGACCUGAUAGCCACUGAGAUAAAAAGUGACGGUGCAAAGUAUCAAGAGAUAGCUGGGUAUUCUCAAAGACCACAAGAUUCCUAGACUUCCAAAUCCUCCACCAAAAGAAAAUAACUAUCACUACUGUUGCCUUGUCGGAAGAAAGUAUCCUUCUCCGAAAAAUGACAGUAGGCACGUCGUUGACUAUAAAAGUGGAACAGUUUGCAGCACCAGCAAAUCGAAUAGUAACAGAGCAGAGGAAUUGAAGAUGAUGAAGGGUCUCUCAGACAAACCACAGACCCUACAUGUCAAGGGGAUAUGAAAAUUGAAAAUUUCUAAUGUAUUCGCUAACGGUAAGAUGUUAUGAAAAAAUUUCCAGAGAACAAAUUUAAUCUUAGGUUGAAUAUGAAUUCCCAAACCGCCGCCCAAAGCGAAGAAUCUGUUAGAUGAGGACGUGCUCGAAUUUCCUGACACUGAGAACGAAGAUGAUGACUAUACCCCAAAGCGGCGAAAUAUUUUCCAGAAAGGGUGAAGCUCCAAAUCCAGCGAACCGGGAUGGGGGAGAGGGGGGUAGAAAUUGAGAUAAUUCUCUGAACAGAGGGUGGACAGAAUAACUUGCGAAGCAGAUUUUCAUUCCAGGUCUCAUGAAUAAUAACCGUCGCAAAAACCUCUGGAAUUGGGAUUGUGCUGGGUGGAGGAAUAUGCGCCGAGGGAGGGGAGGUAGGUAACAAGUUGGACUCUAGUGAGGGGAUACCCAUAUCAGAGCCAACUAGUCAUCGCCCGCCGGCGAGAAGGAGUUUUUGACCAAAAAGAAUUCAAUUGCAACACGAGCUAACAGGGGAACCCUUGGAGGCUGUCAGAAGCGAAGACGUAAGGUAGUAACGACCUUCAAAACAUUUGCAGCCAAAGAAUGUGCAGAAUGCAUUAGACGCCAACACAAGGACGCAAGCAGCGAUUGAUUGAUGGAAAUGAAAUUUCUGAAACCAAGUCUCCUAUCAAGUUUAGGGUGACAAAUGUGGCCCAAGACUUCUAAUGAAUACGCAUAGUCGAUGGACUAGCUCCAGAAAUUUGAACAUCGACAUAGCAUAACACUGAAGGGAGGAGGCUAUAGAUUUGAUGAGAACUUCCAUUCCUGCCGGAGAUAAACAUUUAGCCUUCCAUCCUUAUACGAUGGCAGUGGAAGCUUGAGAACGAGCUAUGUGUGUUGGAAUUCCCAAGAAACGAAAAGUGGAAGCUCGAGAACGAGCUAUGUGUGUUGGAAUUCCCAAACACUUGUCACAAAUGCCGAUGUUGGGAAUUUGGAGUUGAUGACCAAUGAUAGCUUGUAACGCAGUUGAAGUGUUGGAACUAAAGUAAAUCGCCGACUUGGCCAAGUUGAUAGAUUGGCCACUCAGAGAUUCAAAGAAGAGAAGAAUAUCCAACAACUGAUUAGAGGAAGCCGAAGUAGCCUCGAGAAAAAAGAAAUUAUCAUGAUGGUUCAAUCGAAUCCUAGUGAGUUGGCGAGAUGAGAUAGCCGAACUAAUGAGGGUAAUUAAUCCUUAGAUAUAAAAUAGCAAAGAGAAGUGGUGAAAGGGGGUCACCUUGACAGAGACCCCGGGAUGAAGUGAAGGUUGAAGAUGGUCUACCAUUCAUAAGAACGGAGAAAGAUGUCGUGGAUAGGCAUUCAUAAAUCCACAUAUCCGGGUGGGAUGGAAACCAAGUUUGGUCAUGACGGUAAAAAGAUAGCACCAUUCAAUUAUAUAAUAAGCUUUUACCAUAUCAAGCGUGAGGGCCAUAAAAUGUUUUUUACCCUUUUUUCAUUUUAAGGUACUGCAGGACCUCAUGAGCGAUUAUGACAUUAUCGGAGAUAUCCCUUGUUGCUACAAAAACAUUUUGUGUUGGACUGAUAAACGCAUGUAAGAUCGAAGCUAGUGGAGAACAUAGAAGCUUUGCAAUAAUUUUGUAGAUUAGUUGACAGAGCCCAAUCGUCCUGACGUGUAUCAUUGACACCGCCCCAGGGACCUUAGGAAUUAACAUUAGCCAAGUGUGAUUAAUGCUUUUUAACAUUCUUAAGGAAUGGAAAAAGCCCCGAACGACUGAGCAAACAUCUGGACCAAUUACUGCCCAGAAGUGUUGAAAGAAAGCGGCGGAGAAGUUGUCCGGCACCAGUGGUUCGGAAGAGCCAAUGGAAAACCUUGCAUGACUGACGUCUAAGUCAUAAAAAGGUUGUGUAAGCAUCAAGUUCAUCUCCUGAGUGACCCAUACAAGGCCUCGAUCAAGGUUCGAAAUGUUUGGGGAAGUAGAAGAAGCUGGAAAUUGAGAUUUCAAUAAGUCCUUAAAGAAGGAGACUGCGUGUGAAGUCUUUGCAGCUUCAUCAGAAUAAAUUGUUCCAUCAGACCCAGUGAUACGACCCAAGCGAGUAAACUAUCGACAAGCUAUGGUGGAAUGGUGAAAAAUGCCAUCUUAUGGUCACCAAACUGCAACCAAUAUUUCUGACAUUUCUGCCGCCAAAAUCGACUUUCUUGAUCACAUGCUAAUGAAAGAUCUCGUUCAAGAGAUGAGAUUUGGUCCCAAGGGAUUGGAUUUCGACCAUGAAGAUCCUGCAGUGCGUCCUUGAGUUCUCGAAUCUGGCGUGCACUGUUAGAGACACCUAAACAUUGCCAUUCAUGCUGGGCAUGCCUGAGGAGUUUUAAUUUGGAGUGCAGAAAAAAAUAUUCUAGACCCCUGAAUGGGGCUUGACCAAACCAAGUGAAACAUCGGCGCAAGCUCUAAAUUCUCCAUCCAACGAUUAUCAAAUCGAAAGAACAUAGGUGCAUGAUCCUCAGGAAGCGAAAGUUGAUGAAAGAUGACCCUAUGAUCGUACCCUAGGUCGAUAAGUUGGGAUACAAUGGCAUAAGGGAAAAGAAGGUAGCAGGGGAUGUUAGACACAAGAAACAAUCAAGAUGGCAGGACACCUGCAGACUAGACUCUCUGCAGCGAUUAGACCAUGUAAAUUCAAGCCCUGUGAAAUUUGGGUCGAAAAGCCCAUGAUCACUAAUGUGUUCAAAAAUGAGCCACCAACCCAGGCUUGAUGGGGUGAAUGCCUGAUUUUUCCCUAUAUGUUGUCACUACAUUGAAAUCCCCAAAGACUAUCACUAGAAGCGAAGUUCAGGGAAUAAUACUCGAAAGGAAAGUAAACUCAUUCGAACGAGUAGAGGCAUCACAAGAUAUGUAAACUCCCAAUAAUAAGGUCUCUAAGUAAUUAGGUAACAUCAUCUUAACUGCAAUGUAAAAAGAGGAAGAAGAAACUACAAAGGCAUUACAAUCUGCUUGCCACACGAGUGCAAUACCUCCAGCAGAAACAUUACUUCAAUUAACUAUAAUACUAUUACUACUUGGGUAGCAAAGGGAACAAAAUAGAUUGGCUACAUUAGCAGAAGAGAACGUCGUCUCAGCAAGAUAUAAGAAGCGAGCCUGAUAUCUGGUGGACAGGUUGUGGAGAGUGUCACUGCCCAGGGCGCCACCGAUUCCCUCGUAGUUCCAAGUGAUAAUCCUCAUUUGGAUGGGGUGGGCCGCUCUGGGUGGGCCUCCGUCACCAUCGAAGUAGAUACAAUAUCGGUAACCGCUAUCAUGUCAGGAUCACCAUCCAGGAUAUCGUACUUGAGAAAUUUUGAAUCCAUCCCAGUGUUAGGGAAAUCCUCUAAAGUGAGACGUGAUAUGGUUUUUGGCUUCUUUGAAGAUCAAGAGGAGUCAUCCAAGUCAUCCUCUACGCAUUGGCUCUUUCUAUCAAUUAGAGCCAACCCCUAGAGAUCUAGGUGAUCACAAUAUACCCAAGGCAUUAAGUUGGAGAUUAAAGGGGGCAUGUAACAAGGAAAUUUAGUAACCACAGUAGAGGAGGAGAAUAGACAGAAAGAGUUGGCUAGAUUGAUAUUAUGCAAUGUUGAUUGAAUACCAGAACCAUCAUUGAUAGAUAAUGAGCCAACAGAAUAAUUACUUCAAAAUAUGUUGAGAGAGGGAGAAAUGAAACAAUGGUAGAAGCAUUUAGUUCGAAUACCAGAGCAGAGAGGAGCAACCGAGUUAGGGGCCUCGUCAGAUCCUUCAAUCACGAAAGAGAUAGCUGGAUCUAUACCCAAAAGAAUCGAAGCAGUCGAAGAGGAUAGUGAUCAGCGACAUGAACUGGAACCCAAGUCUCGAAGUCAGCAGGGAGUGGUUUGAGAUAUUUUAGCUGCUGUUUUGAAGUAGAUGCGUCCGAGAAGUCCGGAGACAUCACAAUAUGACUGUAAGGCUUUGCGAGCAUCCAAAGUCCUUGCUCCCUAGGAGUGAAGACAAUAGCCUUUGCAUAGGGGCAAUAAGUAUGGUCGUGGGAAAGAAGACUGCAAACAUAGCACACAGUCGUAAUCGUUUCAUAAUGAAGAAGCACCCAUGAUUAUCGACGACCAACGCGAGCCAUGAUGUGCCCCUGCAGACUCUUUGAAAGACCAAUUUUAAUAAUGCACUUGUGAAAUGGUGUCCUUGGGCAUUCAGACGAGGGGAGAACUUAUCUGUGCUGAUCAAAGUCCCUAAAAGGAUGAACCAGUUUUGCUCCAAACAUGGCAUCAUUGGGAGAAGGAGGCAGAUCUUUCAAGGCAUGAACUACAGACAGUCGAAAAGAUCCUAGCUCGGAGAUUCCCAGGCAACAAGAUGAUUUGUCAAAAAGAUCCUGCCUCCAAGGGGUAGACAAACUAGAGCAUCCCAUAACCCACUUCAAACACCUUGAGAUCCUCAAAAGGAAUUGGGCAGACAAAGCAUGAAGCAACAUAUGACAGGGCUUCAGCAUAGGCCAGAACACAAGACCAAUAAGGCUCAGAUCCGUCUGAUCUCGGUUUUGAUCAUCUGAGAAAUCGAUCGUGAAGUGGGAUCGGAUUAUUGAAGGGGGGAGAGGCUCCAUAUGAAUUGGGGUAGUGGUGACAGGAGGAUCUGAAAACAGGAAAUCCAACAGAGUAAACAAUAGGUGAUUAAAAAGAGAGCGGAAAUGGUAUAGGUGAGAAAUCAGAACCUAGGUUUGUAAAAAAGGAAAGAUCCUUCAGAUAAAUAACCGAAGAGGGGCAACAGUUUUGAGAUAGGAUAAGGAUCUGAAAACCACAAGAACCGUCGCUCUCCAACUGCCAGGGGGAAGAUGGGGAUUAAUGAAACAGCAAAAAAUGCCUAGAAGACGACAUACACCCGAAGAUGGGCAGGGGACGGUGCGGAAAAUCGCUACGAAAGAACGCUGGAAGAAGUCAACAUAAACCAUAAACCAUUAAAAGAGAGGAUGAGAUUGGAAAUGGAAAAGAAGGAAAAGAAGGGGGCGGACGAAGAAGCAAAGGGUCGGCGGAUAAAGCAAGAGGAAUCCAUUUGAGUAAAAAUGAAAUAAUAAUAAUAAUAAUAAUAAUAAAACUCAAAAUAUAUUUGUGUAAAUUUGAGUAAGAAAGUGAAAAAUAUGAAUGAUAAAUGUCCAAAUUAUGGAAUGAAGGGCACUUAAACAUUGCUUGUUGAAUUGUUGUUGGGUGGUUAUAAUUUGGUGUAAGACCCUUAUAUCACAUCUUUUUUUCAUAUAGAAGGUUUUGUGUGAUAUUGUUGGUGUAAGACACUUAUAUCACAUUUUUUCUUUCAUGUCGAAGGUUUUUGUGUGAUAGUUUUGGAAAGAAAGAAACAAAUUUUAAAAAAGUAAUACAUUUUUACAGGAAUCUUCCGAAGACCUGAAGUCUUCAUUGAACUGUUAUGUGAAAUUCAAGGGAGGAUCAAAAGCAAAAUUAAAAUGUCAGAAGGAGAGGUUGUAAAUGGAAAAAAUCACCAGUGGGGACUUUCAAGCUCAAUACUAACAUUGGCAUCAACAAUAGUGAUGGAAUUCGACUUGGUUGUGUUGUGAGAGAUUGGAAUGUGAUGGUAGUUCUUGCGGCAAACAAGAGUGAUAUAGUUAAAUGUGCGUGUGACAUUGCAGAAGCAAAAGCUAUGUUGUUUGGGAUGCCAAAAGCAGUUGAGAAUAGAUUCAAGCCUUUGAUCUUUGAGUCCGAUUGCAAGAAGAUAAUAGAUUUAGUCGAAAAGAAUGAAGAGUGUCGGCCGGAGAUUGAUAAUGUGUGCAGAGAUUGGUAAUGGGGGAGCAAUACCUCUAUUUUUUGUGUGGAGAGAUUCAAGCCUCUCAAUACCUCUAUUUUUUGUGAGACUUUAUGGAAUGAUUUUACCCGUCUGCAAUUGUAGAUGUUGUAACCCAGGAGGAUCCUUUGAUUCAUUCUUAAUGAAAACUCAUUAAUUUUUUUUAAAAUAAAACUCAACUUGAGGUUGCUAAUCACGAUUUGAAGAGAAUAUACUCUCUUUCUUAAAAAUAUAUAUUUCCUUUAUAACUACAGAACCCAAUCCUCCAUUUGGGGGGCCCUUGUGGUUGUCGGCAACAACACCACUCUCCCUUUUUAUUUGCCUUUUUAGAUUAUUUUCUAUAUAUGUUAAGUUUUUCCAUUUUCUAUCUUUCUUGCUUUAUGUCUAUCUUUCAAUGAAUUUCUUCCUAAGUUUGAGUUGAUCUUGAUGGUUUGAGUUUUGAACUAUUUAUCUCAAUCCGAUUUAGGAUUGUGGGAUGGAGUGGACAUUUUACUCUUUAUUAUUUUUCCUUCCAUGAUAAAAAAUUUACGUACAAAUAUAUUGCAUGAAAGUGUAGGGUUGAUCCAUGGUUAGGUUUGGUUGAGUUUGAUAAUAAAAUAAACUCAGCUGCUAAUUUGUGGGUCACUCUUCAUACGACCCACACUCACCCACUUAAUGAUGUUGGGUGGUUGCGUGUGGGUAAUAGCAGGUGGAUGGGUGGAUUUAGGUGGGUUAGGCGGAUUAGUAUAAACUCUAUUAAAA